UUUUUUUUUGUCCCAAUAAUAGCAUGCUAAAUCACUUUACUAUUUUCUUGUAUGUGUAUAAUUUGAUGAGAAUACCUAUUAAGGACUUACCUAGUUUUUAAUCCUGAUCCUUGAACAUUGGUUUUAAUCAUGUUGGGUAGAAUUUCUUAGUUGCUUAAUUUUGGGACGGUAAUAAUUUUGAGAAUAUUAAUCAUGACCUUUAUUAAUGUUAUACCGGCCUGUGUUAAUACAAGAUCACUUGAUUUAAUCGGAACAUGGAGAACCACCCAGAAAAAUAGUGCAACCACAAGUACUAUCAUGGCUCUUAUCUUGGCUAAUUAAUUAGAGACUCUAGUCUGGGGUAAUCUUACCGAAAGGGCAAGAGGGGCGGCGGUUGAUGGGUACAACCCGCUUCUCAAACUGAUCUGCUCUAUGGAAGCUUCGCAGUCUUGAGAGGGGCUUAUGCUCUACCACCAAUCCGAAAAUCUUAGCGGGUUACCACUUACUAGGGGAUUUUUGUAAAGGCCUCAUAGCGUCCCUAUGCAAUCACACCUCAGAAGUGUGGUAUUGUGCUUGGCCAGCAUAACAUGGUUGAGUUUAAAGUUCUUUUGAACUAUUAUGCUACUUGUGGGUAAAGAUGUGCAACAUCUGCAAAGUGUAAAACUGAUAUAUCAACCGUACUCAUGGUUAAGAGCGGCUUGGACCCUCACAUGAUAAUUGAACUUAAAGAUGAGAAUAAAUCAUGGUUCCUUUAUCAUUGGGUUUUUUAAUGCUUUAUGCUUAAGUGGGUUGGUAUAAACUUACACCUAAAAAUUAGGUGCUUGCUAUGCAUUCGGUUUUGUCCAAAAAAUGGGGUGUGAUAGAAGUGGUAUCACAGCUGUGUUGACAGUAGGAUGCAAGCCUAGAUAGAAAUGGUCUAAAUAAGGACUCAUCUUCUUAGCAAGCCAUGUCUGCUCAAAAAUAUCUUAUUUUCCUCAUAAAAAUCUAUUUUAUUUUUGUUCUUUGUCACAAAAACUUGUCUCUUUUUGUCUUUGUUUUGAGUAUCUCUUGUUUCUUUGUCAGAUGGCUAGGACCAAGUUGACCACUCACAAAAGCAUUGGAGGGUACUUGGUUGGCCUUGCCCCUGCUCAGCCAGCUGCUCCGAUUCAGCAUGUGGAGGUGGUUGAAGAAGAUUUGGAGGAGGUCUACAAGCUGCCUCAGCUUCAGACAGACACGCAUUAGCUACCCCUGCAUCGGACGCUCCAGCACCAGCCGAUCUUGCUCCAGCACCUGCUGUCGAUGGUGGAGACCCGGACGACUCCGGGGAUGACAGCGAUAAUGAGGAUAAAGAAGAUAACGACGACGACUACAACAAAAACAACGACCACAGUAGCAACAAUGACCAUGAUAACAAUAGUGGUGACGGAGAUGGAAAUCAAAAUGGUGGACCACAGAAUGUGACACCAGCUUGUGACUACCACACUUCAGAGGAUGAGUCUGGAUACUUUCCCAAACUGCUCUGGGAAGUACUAUAGAGUUUGGGAAGCACUAUGAAGCCCCUCUACGUCACUCACCAUGUCUUCCACUCCACCAUGGACGACUACUAUGCCAGUCAAGUCCACAUCAGGGAACGGUUGGCAACUUCCAGAGUAUUGAGGAUUUGCUCGGCACACGACUCCACUACGGCCCACGCCACCUAUGCCUUAGCCAUCAGCGACACCGCCAGGAGAGCUCUGUCUGCCCUCUGCUUCACCCAUCUCCAGGAGUUGAGAAACACCAUCUACCAUCACCUGCCUCGCCGAGCUAGUGGCACUGAGGACACAACUGUAUAGUUGGGAGAAGCAGGAGAAGAUUGCAUCAACAUCCUUGCUCGAGUCAUCGCUGCUCUCAACACCAACCUCGACGGAGCUACUGCAGAGCUUGCCAAGAUCAAUGAUGAGCUGCAAGAUGCUCACGCUAGGAUUGCGUAGCUUGAGGCACAGCUUGCCAAAUAGGAGCCACCUGAGGAGGCAGCCGAGUUCCACUGCCCCACCGUUUCACCACCCCGCAAGAGGCUUCACUAUGGCGUGUCUGGCUCCAUCACCGGUCUUUUAGACUAGGUUGUCUUUUUAGGUUGCCUUCCAGAGUCUUUUUGUUAGAACCGUUACUGCGAGGACGUGCGAUGUAAUAAUGUUUGCUGGUUGAAAACAUGUUUGAUUUGGACCUUUGUAUUUUCUAGGAUAUUUUGUGGAGUGAUGGCCACAAAUGCAUCAUUACAUAAAAUAAAGUUAAUAGUUUAUUGGGUCUAAAUCUUGGUUCUUUGCCCCUAUAUCUGCCUUAUCAAAUCAUCAUUCUUAUCUGAGAUUUAUUCGUCUAACACUCAGAUGGUAAACACCAAGUCAGGAGGAGGACAAGACAUUCCAAGUCAGAGGCGUGCUCACAUAAUUAAUUAGCAGAAUCAAGCACCACCUCCACCACCAAGUUUGACAAUGGAACAAUUUUUGGCUACUCAGAUGCAACUACUAUAGAACCUCAUUGCUACUAUUUAGAAUCUACAAGCUUAGCAGAAUCAGCAACCACCACAAGCACCUCAGGCACCAAGAGAUAAGCACAGGGAAUUCAUGAGCCACCACCCUCCUCCUUACUCUCACUCAGUGGAUUCAUUGGACGCUGAUGACUAGCUGAAGGUCAUCAGUAAGAAGCUGGAUAUUACACAGUGCAACGAUCAUGAGAAGGUCUUGUAUGCUGCAGGACACUUAGAAGGAGAUGCAGCCGACUAGUGGGAUGCCUAUACUACUGCCCACGCCAAUGUUAAUGCUAUUACUUGGGAAGAGUUCACGAACAACUUUCGCACACACCACAUUCCAGCUAGUGUGAUGAAGCUCAAGUAGAAGGAGUUUCUAGCUUUAAAGCAAGGCAACAUGAUAGUCAGUGAGUAUCAGGACAAGUUCACACAAUUGUCUUGUUACACGCCAAAUGAGGUGGACACCAAUGAGAAGAGACAUGAAAGUUUCCUGGAUGGACUGAUAGGGCCACUUAACUAUCAACUGCAGAGUCACACGUUCCCUAAUUUUUAUACACUACUAGACAAAGCCAUUGGUUUGGAGAACAAACGUAAGGAGCUCGGGGAACAAAAGUGGAAGUUUCAGUCACAAGGUCAAUCUAGCAGCAACACCUGCCCUUGCUUCAACUCAUCACAGGGAUCACAAUUUCGUUCAGGAGGACAAGGUGAAAGCUAUCAACAGAAUCAGCAAUUCCAAAGUACCACUCAACAACCACAGCAAUUCAAUCAAUAGGCACAGCACACCUGAAACCCACAGCAAAACUGAGCAAACAAUACCACAGGAGCACCCAUGUGUAACAAUCCAGUUACCCCAGUUCGACCCAAUGGAUGCUUCAAGUGUGAUGAAGUGGGACAUUAUGCCAAUAACUGCACCAAGCACGAAAUGUAGACCCCUCAGAAGACCAAUGGUUAGAAGUCUGGUCAGCAAUAGUUGCAAGCGCGUAAUGCAAAUCCAAACUCUCAGGAAAACAUGGCUAGCAGAACUUCAUGCAUGGUAGGGCGAACCACGUGAGAAUUGAGAUAGCCCAGGAAGCUCCAGAUGUUGUUUUCGGUAUGUUCCUCAUCAAUUCUGAAUCUGCAUCAGUUUUAUUUAAUUCUGGAGCAUCACACUCAUUUAUAACCAAUCAAUUUGUGGCAAAGUAUAACAUACCUAUGCAACCUAUGAAGAAAACUUUGCUAGUUAGCUCACUAGGUGGUGAUAUAAGAACAAGUCAAAUAUGCUUACAAGUCAAUGUGAAAAUCAUGGGGGUAGAUUUCAUAGCCCACCUAGUGGUCCUAAACUCCAAAGGUAUUAAUGUGAUUCUUGGAAUGAACUGGUUAGGAGUAUGUGAUGGAAUUAUCCUAUAUGCCAAGAAGUCGGUGCUUUUUAACUAGCCCUCAGGGGACAUAAUUGAGUUUGUGGAUACUACCUCAUCUGAAGAAAAGGGUAUAGUCAAUCAAAUAAAAGGAAAAUCUUUGAAGGAUAUCAAGGUUGUAUGUGAAUACCCCAACGUCUUUCCCGAGGAUUUACCAAGUAUGCCGCUUGACUGAGAUAUUGAGUUCUCCAUUGAUCUUUUACCUGGCACUUCACCAAUAUCUAAGACCUUAAAGAAUAGAUGUUAAGGAUUUGGUUGAGUUAAAGAAACAAAUAGAAGAAUUAUUAAGUAAAGGUUUUAUCCGUCCUAGUUCUUCACCUUGGGGAGCACCUAUACUUUUUGUUGAUAAAAAGGAUGGCACCAGAAGAAUGUACAUGGAUUAUAGAGCUCUUAAUGAUGUGACCAUUAAGAAUAAAUAUCCACUCCCUAGGAUUGAAGAUCUAUUUGAUCAGAUGAGAGGUGCAAAAGUCUUUUUCAAAAUCGAUCUGCAAUCAAGCUAUCACCAGUUGAAGAUCCUAGCAGAAGAUAUACCUAAAAUGGCGUUUACAUCCAGAUACAGCCUAUAUGAGUACACUGUGAUGUCUUUUGGAUUGACCAACACUCUAGCAUAUUUCAUGUACUUGAUGAACAAGGUGUUUAUGGAGUACCUAGAUAAGUUUGUGGUAGUGUUCAUCAAUGAUAUAUUGGUAUUUUCUCGAAAUGAAGAAGAGCAUGAGGAGAACUUAAGAUUAGUGUUACAGAAGCUUCUAGAGAAUCAAUUAUAUGCCAAAUUGAGUAAGUGUGAGUUUUGGUUGAAAGAAGUUUUCUUCCUUGGACAUGUUAUCACCGAUGGAGGAAUCACAGUAGACUCAAGCAAAGUUCAAGAUGUGCUGAAUUGGAAUCCGCCCAAGAAUUUGUCUGAAAUCAGAAGUUUUCUUGGAUUAGCAGGUUAUUACCGCAUGUUUAUUGAAGGUUUCUUGAAGAUUGUCAAACCCCUCACUUCAUUGUUAGAAAAGGGAAAAGAGUUUAAAUGGGAUGACUAGUGUCAAGUGAGUUUUGAAGAGUUGAAGAAGAAGUUGACUACAACCCCUGUACUGAUAAUGUCUGAUAUACACAAAGGCUUCGAUGUUUAUUGUGAUGCUUCACGUCUAGGUCUUGGAUGUGUACUAAUGCAAGAAGGUAGAGUAGUAGGUUAUGCCUCAAGACAGUUGAGAAACCACGAGCAAAAUUAUCCAAGUCAUGACUUGGAACUAGCUGUCGUUGUGCAUGUAUUAAUGAUUUGGAGACAUUACAUGAUCAGGAACAAGUGUCAGAUCUUCACUGACUACAAAAGCCUAAAGUACAUAUUCACUCAGAGGGGUCUUAAUUUAAGGCAACACAGAUGGUUAGAGUUGAUCAAGGACUAUGACUUGGAUAUUCAGUAUCAUCCCGGCAAAGCAAAUGUCAUAGCAGACGUCCUAAGUUGAAAAGGUCAAGCUAAUGUGACUAUAGUACUAUUGAUAUCUCAAGAGUUAUGUUGGGAAAUGGAGCGACUCAACUUGGGAAUCGUUGCCCAUACUGAAUCUAUGACCAUGGAAAUUGAACCUACACUGGAACGAGAGAUAAGAAAAGGGCAAUUGACGGAUGCUAAAAUCAAGGUAAUCAAGAUCCAAAUUGAUUUAGGAAAGGCCCCAAACUUCACUAAAGAUUAUCAAGGAAUGGUUUGGUUCGGGAAAAGGAUCUAUGUACCAGAGAUUGACCAUCUUCGUGAAUGCAUAUUGAAGGAAGCACAUGAUUCAGCUUAUUCUAUUCACCCUGGUAGUACUAGAUGUAUCAGGAUUUGAAGGAAAAAUAUUGGUGGUAUGGUUUGAAAAGAGAAGUAGCAACCCACGUUGCUUUGUGUGAUGUAUGUCAGCGAGUGAAAGCAGAGCACCAAAGACCAGCAGGUUUACUUCAGCCAUUGAAAGUACCUGAGUGGAAAUGGGAAGAGAUCGGAAUGGAUUUUAUUGUUAGGUUACCCCACACUCGCGACGACUAUGAUUCCAUAUGGGUUGUUGUGAAAAGAUUGACUAAGGUUGCUCAUUUCAUUUCGGUUAAAAUAACCUAUAGUGGAGCCAAAUUUGCAGAGUUGUAUAUGUCAAGGAUUGUAUGUCUACAUGGUGUUCCUAUUGCGUUCCAAUCUCUUGCGAGGUUAAGAAACAACACAAUAGCUAGUAAAUGAAUUGCUCUCUAUUAAAUGAAGUGUCUGAAUCUCGUUACAUGUGGGGAGGACCCCCUUUUAUAUUGUCCGGAGGAUCCCUACAAUUUACAAUUUUACCCUCUCUCACCCACUACAUCCUCAGUAUAUUCUGUACACAUUUGUCAUCUCAUGAAGUCACGUUUUUUGUCCUCCCGACAAUCCCGUAAAUCACGCUCUCACAAGGUAUCGUAAUUGGCGUCGUCUUGUCGAUCACGUCGCCUUCCCCCUUAGCUUUGUGUCCAUGCCCUGAUUCGUCCGCCACUCCUCAAUGAUGCCCCUGCAGCAAGUUGGCUUCAGUCUCUCGUGUUAUACUGACUUUGGGCCCAUAAGUCCCCCAGCGAGGUUGAUGCUGCUACUACGGGCGCCGAAGACAACGGACGGGCAAUGAGUCAGAAAAACAAAGGUUAGCUCAUCUUACCUCCGCCUUCGAUUUUGGUUUGUCCCGAAGCUGAGUAAUCAUGGCCCCGAUCGAAGCUGAGCCCUUGGCGUGAAGCUGCGAAGUCCGAUGAGCCCUGGCGCAUAGAAAAUAAAGGUUAACCCACCUUGCCUUUGCUUCCGGUUUCGGUUUGUGCCGAAGCUGUAAAGUUCACCGAAUCUUGUCGCAUCUUUCGACAGAGAGACGACCUCGAGGGGGGCUGUUUUGGGCGAUUCCCCAACAGUUCCAAAGAAGAUAGUUUCUAAUCAAGGUACUCAAUUCAUGUCACGUUUCUAGCAGAAGCUACAUGAAUCAAUGGAUACAAAGCUUAAUUUCAGUUCUGUGUAUCAUUCACAAAUGGAUGGUCAGACUAAAAGAAUCAAUCAAAUCUUAGAAGAUAUGUUAAGAGCUUGUGCUUUAAAGAAUAGAGGUAGUUGGGAUAUAAGUUUACUAUACGUAGAAUUCACUUAUAACAACAGUUAUCAAGCCAGUCUUAAGAUGGCCCCGUUUGAAGUGUUAUACGGAAGAAAGUGCAGAACACCAUUGUACUGGAGUCAGAAUGGAGAAAGCCAAGUCUUUGGACCGGAAAUUCUUAAGGAAGCCGAAAGACAAGUUCAGAUAAUUUGAUAUAAUCUCAAGACUGCAUAGUCACGACAGAAGAGUUAUGCUGAUACUCGGAGGAGAGAAUUGACAUGUGAUGUUCGAGAUUACGUGUAUCUCAAGGUAUCACCUAUUAGUGGUCUUUGUCGAUUCAAGAUUAAAGGGAAGCUAUCACCUCGUUACAUUGGUCCUUUUCAAAUUUUGGAAAGAAAAGGAGAAGUGGCAUAUCAGUUAGACUUACCUGCUCAGCUAUUAGAUGUUCAUGAUAUGUUCCAUGUAUCUCAGUUGAAGAAGUGUCUAAGAGUACCGGAAGAACAAUUACCACUGGAAGAACUCAAUGUGAAGGAUGAUUUGACUUAUUCAGAGUACCCUGCCAAAAUACUAGAAAUAUCUCAGAGGGUCACUCAGAGCAAGGUAACGAGAAUGUGCAAAGUAUAGUGGAGUCAUCACUCAGAAGAUGAAGCUAUUUGGGAAAGAGAAGAUGACCUUAUCGAAGAAUUCCCUCGGUUGUUUUCCAAUCUCUCUGAAACUUGAGGACGAGAUUCUCUUUAAGGGGUAGGAUUUGUAACACUCAAAAAAUCCAUCAUAAACACAAUUUAAAAAACAUGUGGUCUAACUCUUUCUUUUCCAAUGACUAAAUAAAAUACUAUUAUGAAAUUAUGGCCUUUAAUAAAUUAAAGAACAAUUGAAAUAAUUGUUUAGAGACAAGUGCUUGUUAGGGUUCUUCGUUUGCUUCGGUUUUUUGUUUGCAUUUGCAAAAUUUUAAAUCAAAAAUAUUAUCAAUCUUCUUUAUCUCUUUUUGUCCAACUCAGCAGGUCGGCCCACCUUUCCUCUUUCUUUCCCUCCGGGCCCGCUCUCUCUUUCCUUCUCCAGCCGGCCCACCUCCUCAUUUCUUUGCGCCAACCCAAGCUGAUCCGCCGGCCCCUCAAGCACCUCCCCAGCCCAACUCCCCCUCUCCUCCCACCGACAGGCAUGGCCCGCCUGUCAGGCGCGUCCUCAACCUCCAGUUGUACCGCAACUCCAGUGCCUGCUUGCCUCCUGUCGCCACUCGAGCUCCUGUGCCCCUCUGCGUGCUUGCACCACAUCGCCUUCCCACGCGCACGCGCCGCUAGCGCCCUCUCUCCUAACUCCAGUAACCAGCACCCCAUUUUCCACCCACCAUUAAUGGCUACCGGAGCUCGUUUCCUCUCAGCGGGCGCCGUCUCAACUCCUCAUGGCCUAUAAGUAGCGCCUGCUCCCUCUCCCCGGCUCCCUUCGCCCAUUCUCGCCACCGCCACCGCCGCCCGCACUAGAGCGCCACCGCAUCUCACAGCACCGCCACUGCCCAAAUUCCUCCACCUCUGGGUCAAACACAGGCCUUUCUCGCCCGCCACCGCCGCUGGUAAGGCCUCCCUCGCUUUCCCCUCGCUCACAUAUGUCGCCUGCGCCACCCGCAUUGCUCACCGCCGUGCCUGAGCUUGUCGGCGAGCUGCCGGUCAUGUGCCUGUGCGCGUGCGGGAGAAAGGAAGGAGGAGGAGGAUAAGGCUAUUUUGCAAUCUAGUCGCUGAACUCUCUAAUAUUCUCUUUCUAGAUUCAUGUGUCUAGUAAAGCUUGCAAAGAACCCCCUGCAAUUCUUAUAACCUUCCUUUUUAACUCGAGCUCUACAUUCUUGUAGAUCUAACCCUAUACUUUUCUUAGCACUGUUCACUGAGUCUUGUGAAACUUCCUUGCUAGCCCCUGAAGUAUAUAGUUAAUUCCAUUUUAGCCCCUAAAACUUGUUUACUCCAUACCUUCGUUGUUUUAACUCCGAUUUCAGCGAUUCUCGCGAUCACGCGAGUAUCUCUGCAUGAUCGUUAGUUUUAGGAGUUUGUUUUAAUUCAUUUUUCUUGUUUAGUGUACGAUUUUAUUUAUUGUUUGUUUUGCUUUGUGUGAUCAUGUAAAUGACGUGCCGUUCGAGGAGACUUAGGAGCAGCAACUGUUCAAGGAAGAGUUCCCUUAGUUUGCCGAGGAAUGCAAGUGGUCAUCUCCCCCUGCAUAUUCUUUUUCGUCCCAAUAAUAGCAUGCUAAAUCACUUUACUAUUUUCCUGUAUAUGUAUAAUUUGACGGGAAUACAUAUUAAAGACUUACCUAGUUUUUAAUCCUGAUCUUUGAACACCGAUUUUAAUCUUGUUGGGUAAAAUUGCUUAAUUUUGGGAUGGUAAUAAUUUUGAGAAUAUUAAUCAUGACCUUUAUUUAUGCUAUACCUGUGCUAAUACAAGAUCACUCUCUCGAAACAUGGAGAACCACCCAGGAAAACAGUGUAACCACAAGAACUAUCAUGGCUCUGGUCUUGGCUAAUUAAUUAGAGACUCUAGUCUGGGGUAAUCUUACCAAAAGGGAAAGAGGGACGGCAGUUGAUGGGGUAUAACCCGCAUCUCAGACUGAUCUGCUCUAUGGAAGCCUCGCAGUCUUGAGAGGGGCUUAUGCUUUACUACCGAUCUGGAAACCUUAGCAAGUUACCACUUACUAGGGGAUCUUUGUAAAGGCCUCGUAGCGUCCCUAUGCAAUCACACCUCGGAAGUGUGCUAUUGUUCUUGGCUAGCAUAGCAUGGUUGGGUUUAAAGUUCUUUCGAAAUUUUACGUGACUUGUGGGGAAAUUAGGUGCUUGCUAAUUAAAAUUUGACCAACUAAAAUGCUAACCGCUUAAAGCCUAUGAGCCUCCCCUUGUUAGCCAUGCUUGUUUCCCCCACUUGCUGAGUACCAACCAUAAGUGUACUCACCCUUACUCAAACGCUAUUCAGAAGCUUCUGAUGUCGUGGAGUUCUUCAAUGACUUCGAGGAGUUCUAGGCGAGCGUUCACCAGUCAAACUUGUGGAGAAGCUACCACUGUGUGUGUAUUAAAUUUAUCGGUGAAUGAUUGUAGACCUUCAUGUCUACAUUUCGGAGUGUAAUAAAGUUAUCUACUAUUUUAUGUAUAUUUUGAACACUAUCUUUGAUGUUUCACUUAUGAAGUCCACCUAUCCACGUUGUGGCCUCCGCGGCGAUGCCAUCGGGCACACGCUCCAUAUGCAGGUCCCUGGAGCUUGCCGUGUUGCCGUCACCGAGGUACUUGCCGUCUUGCCGUCACCGAGGUACGCCACCACAUACGGCGAGCUCAGCCACUUCAGGAUCCUUAUCUCGCUCUCCAAGCACACCAUCGCCAUCGCCACCACCGACGAACUCUUUGUGUGGCACGAACGCACUGGGUGACGGAGCGCCUCCGAGGGAGUUGGUCACGACAGAGAGGAGGGAGAAGGGUGGUGGAGCCCACAGGGGCAAAAUCAUCUUUUCGUCUGACAUUUAACGAUUCUUGGAUGGAAAAUCCAUUACAGUAUCAAAUAAGGAACGAAAGUUGAACUCAGUGUUAAAUAGGGAACGAAAAUUUGUUGAGGGCUAAGAAAGGAACGAGUAGUUUUUUUAGUACCAAAUAGGGAAUUUUCUCUACUUGAAACUGGUGACUUGGUGAUUGAAGGGGGAGGGGAAGAGAGAGAGUGGGAGGGGGGCGGGUCAGGUGGGUAAGGGGAGAGGGAUUGUGGGGAUCUUCUUCACAAUCACUUUUUAUUAUAUCGUGGAUCUGGAUGACCAAUUUAAAACUUGAACUUAGGGGGUGUUUGGUUCCCACUUGCUUAUUUUUAGUCCCGUCACAUCGAAUGUUUAGAUAUUGAUUAGGAGUAUUAAAAAUAGACUAUUUACAAAACCCAUUGCAUAGAUGGAGGCUUAACGGCGAGACAAAUCUGUUAAGCCUAAUUAGUCCAUAAUUUGACAAUGUGCUGCUACAGUAACCAUUUGCUAAUGAUGGAUUAAUUAGGCUUAAUAGAUUCGUCUCGCUGUUUAGCCUCCAUCUAUACAAUUAGUUUUAUAAUUAACUCAUAUUUAGUCCACCUAAUUAGCCUCCGAAUAUUCGAUGUGACACGGACUAAACUUUAGCUUAAGGAACCAAACACCCCAGAACUCCGAAAUAGUUUAAGGACAUGCAAUGCAAUUCGCUCUAAAAAAAUAUAGCCUAUUUUUUAUCAUUAUUAAAUGGGUAGAAAUAGGUAUGCGUUUUCAAAAAGGAAAAAUGUCCUAUUAACCUCCCUUUACUAUGGGUCGAGUACGUGUUUCCUGUCGCGCUGCUUGGAUUCCCACCACACGCGCCACUUGGAUUAACUCGGCUUGCGAUCGCGCGAAGAGAGAGAAUAUGUUGCCAACCAUGAUGGGCGACAUGCAUGUUGGACAAAACCGGGAUGGAAUUGGGUCAGGGAGGUCAGUGUUCGAUAUUCCGUUUUAAUUAAUAAUACAAGAAGGUAGAACGGUCGAUUUUCGAGUCACGGAGAAAAAAUGCGGACUUGCUCCGUUGUUUAGGGAGGUGAAUAAGGAUUUUUUCCCCCUCCCUGCAGGUUGUGACUGGUUGGACCGCAACGACGCCACAAGAAUCCAUAUAGACCACAGCAGAUUGGCCGUGAUGGGAGUUCAUCUUCGUGUGAAAGGAAUAAAGAGGUUUGGAUACGAAGUGCUAAACUUUAACGGGGUUACAUCGGAUAUUCGGAUACUAAUUAGGAGGACUAAACAUGAGUUAAUUAAAAAAACUAAUUGUAGAAUCCUAUGCUAAUCCGCGAGACGAAUCUAUUAAGCUUAAUUAAUCCAUCAUUAGCAAAUGGUUACUGAAGCAUCACAUUGUCAAAUCAUGAACUAAUUAGGCUUAAUAAAUUCGUCUCAUGAAUUAAACUCCAUCUGUGCAAUUAAUUUUGUAAUUAGACUAUGUUUAAUACUUCUAAUUAGUGGCAUCACAUUGUCAAAUCAUGAACUAAUAAGGUUUAAUAAAUUCGUCUCGCGAACUAAACUCCAUCUGUGCAAUUCUGUCUCGUAGAAGAAUAUGAGUCAUUUCCAUGUGUGCCAUUAUGAAAGACGGUAAAUUCGCACAAGCCAUUAAAAAGAUAAACUCCCACAAGUGCCAUCGUGCUAAACUUUGUUUUCUCUCCAAGCCAUUCCUUCCACAUUUUGUUACUUUGUCACCGUUUGGGAGCCCUGACAAGUGGGACCGGGCAGAGGAAAAGACCCAAAUACCCUUGAGUACUCACUGUCUUCCUCUCACUGGCUCACUAUCUCUCCCUAUCUGGCUCGACUCCUCUUCCCCAAAACCCUAGCUACUGCAGCGUGGAGAGAAGAGCACCCAAGCCCCCUGUCCUUGCGGCUGCGGCACAAAGAGAAGAGCCCCCACCCCCCUCCCUUGCGGCUGCGGCGCGGAUUGAAGAGCCCCCAAUCCCCCGGAAGAGGAGGCCUGAAGACCGUGGAUCUGCCGGAUUGGCAACGCAAUGGCCGCGAACAAGGGGGCGUGCUCGGGCGACCGACCUCCUUGGCUUCCUGACGGGUGAGUAUCCCACUUCAAUUGCAUCAUGUCAGUUAGGUGUAGUAAUCGUGGUCGAUAUAGUGUGAUUUUAGUUAGACAGAUGGAUGUGAGCUCGUUGUUGUUCAUCUGUAGGAUGGACCCUGCUAGUAGCUACAACCUAGAAAUUCGGAUAACUGCUCGCCAUACUCGUUGUCGAUGGUUUAUCUUGGACAAAGUCGUCGAUGCUGAUCGUACCAACUUCGUAGAUCUGGUUGCUGAAGUUGAGAAUAAGUAUCCUUAUGCUUAUGGGGAUGUUGUGAGAUUGUUUUACUUCUGCAUUGAGACACAGAUGAACAUCCAAGUUUGCAAUGACCAUGAUUUGCUUGACAUGUUUGCAAAACAUAAAGCUUCCAAGUGUUGCUUCCUCACUUUAAGUUACCACAGCCCUAGUACUGAGCCUCUUGAAAUACCUCCUUGGGAUUUUAGUUGUUAUUCCAAGUCUGUUGAUACACCCUUCACCCCUUCAAUGCCUUGUCCUAGCAUUCCACAACCAAGCCAUACCCAGAGUGAAACUGAAGAUGAUGAAUACUUGGCUAACCCAAACCCAUCCAAUGAGCAUGUCGGUGUUGAUGAGGAAGGGCUGUAUAUAGACCUUGGUCCUCAACAACCACCACCUCCAAUACCUCAGAGUCAAGGUUGCAACAUAGAAAGGAAUGGAUCUGAUGCAGAAACAUACUGUGAAACAAACAGUGAUGAUGAAUCUGUGUCUGACGAUGAAAAUUAUGAAAUGGAGGAUGUAGAUGAUAUUGUUAAAGAUAAUGAGCCUGACCAUAUGCCUGAUGCUGACUAUGACAAGAAGGAUCCUCCUAUGAUAGUAGGCAGUGUGUAUAGAGACAUGUAUGCAUUUAAGAUGGCUUUAGCUUCACAUGCUGUGAAACAUGAGUUUCAUUAGGACAUUGAAAAGAGUGACACAGGAAGAUACAAAGUCACAUGCUGUGGGAGAACUAAGGGUUGCAGGUGGAGAAUUCAUGCCUCAAUCAUGAAGGAUGCUGAAACAAUUAAGGUAAACUGUUAGUGCUACAUCAAAAUGUGUAUGCUUUUUUUAUCUGUCAGUUGUGCUUAGGUAUAAGUAUGUCAUUUUUAUGUCAUUUGCAAGUGAAGAAGAAUCCAUUUCCCCAUACAUGUGAAAGCAUAAGGAGGUCUGGGGUAUGUAAAGGGGUCACACAGUUUUGGGUCUGUGAACAAGUUAUUGACUGGUUGAAAGAAGAUGCAUCAGUUGGUGCUUCUGAACUCCAAAGGAGGCUGAAGGAUGAGCACAAAAUUUUGAUACCAUAUAGGAGGGUGUGGCAUGGUAAGAAUCUUGCAUUGGAUAAAAUUUAUGGGCCAUAGAAUAAAAGUUUUGAUAACCUGUAUAGAUUGAAGGCCCAACUAGAAGCAUCAUGUCCUGGUUCACUUGUUGUCAUUGAUCACCACACCAUUAACAAGAAAAUUAGGUUUAACAUGUUUUUUUAGCCCUGAAACCAUGCGUUGAUGGUUUCCUUAGAGGUUGUAGGCCAUAUUUGGCAGUAGAUAGCACUUUCUUGUGUGGAAAGUUCAGAGGUCAGUUGUGCAUAGCUUGUGCAGGUGAUGCCCACAACUGGAUGUACCCAGUAGCAAUAGGUGUCAUUGAUUCUGAAACAAAUGAAAAUUGGGAUUGGUUUAUGAAGAGGUUGAAGGAAGCAAUAGGGACCCCACCUGGUUUGACAUUCUCCACAGACUGUGGGCAGGCAGUAAUGCAUGGUGUUAGUGAGGUCUUUCCAAAUGCUGAACAUAGAGAGUGCAUGUGGCAUUUAGCUCAAAGUUUUAAGAAAAGGUUCAGUGGUAAGAUUUUUUAUGAGCACUUGUGGCCAUCUUCCUACUCUUGGAGCAAGUACAUGUUUGAGAAACACUACCAGGCCAUGGCUGCUGCCAAACCUAAGGCUAUGAAGUACCUGCAAGAGAAUCACAACAAGUUAUGGACCAAAAGUCAGUUUGGUACAGUUUGCAAGGUGGAUUAUGUAACCAAUAAUUUGGCAGAGUGCUUCAAUAAAUGGAUAAAGGCAGAGAAGACCAAGCAUGUCGAUGAUUUGAUGGAUGCAAUAAGGCAGAAGCUGUUGAUUAAAUGGAAUACUAGAAAAAAGGUGGCUAAACAGUUUGUGGGAAAGAUUUUACCUCAUGUUAUGCAGCAGCUGAGGGAAGACACCUUCAAGCUAGACAUUGAGGUCAUCACAGAAAAUGAAGGAGUUGCUGAAGUUUGUGCUAAGGGAGGGAUUGGGUUCAGAUUUGUUGUGGACUUAAGGAACAGGACAUGUUCCUGCAGGGCUUGGCAAAGGUUAUUGAAGCGUGCCCACAUAAGUAGAGACUAAAUGUGAUCCAAUUAUCAGUCCUAGGAGGCUGAUAACACAUUUAUUCAACAGAUAGUUCAGAAACCGUACAGCUCCCGAAGGAGCGGGCAGGCAAGCCACACCCAAAGUAAAACUAAAGCGAUAACAAUACAAAUCCAAGUUGCAGUCCAGUCGGACUCCGGGCUGCAAUCAGAACUAAGCGUCAGCGGAAGCAUCCUGCAAAAGGGCCAACACCGCAGGCAGCGUUGGGGGCAGACGCAACCUCCUACUCGAGAUCCUCGGCGACGAAGUCCGGAUCCUCCUCUGAAGCAACAAAACAGGGGUGAGUACAAAAGUACUCCACAAGUCCAACCCCAUCCACGGAGGGGAUACAGCAAGAAUAUGCAUGGGUUUCAACAAGGAUAUGGUUAAGGUUGAUUUGCAAUAAAGCUAGAUUUUUGACACAUGCAGGGUUUUAUUUCAAAGAAUUUUCACAAUACAUUUUCUUUGGUAACCGAAACAUUAAGUGGGGUUGAUCCUACACAAAGGAUCCAACUUUUAUCGCUACCGGACUCCCCGUCCGCCGUAGCGCACGGCACAACUGCCGGACACUUCCAAAAUCCAACACACACCAUAAAAACCAACCAUCUCCAAAUGCUAGUUAUGUGACCAAGCCGUAACUCAUCCAAUGCCGUGGAAACGGCUACCCGGAUAGGUUUUAACUCUGCAGAGGUUGUACACUUUUCCCACAAGUAGGGUACCGCAUCAUGAUCACCUUAGUGACGGUGCGGAUCCUAACAAAGCCAUUACCCACCUUAGCCAACACUGACUAGUCAACACGGAAGCACCCAAGGGGUUAACGACCCAUCCACGGGGCUGAAACCGGGACCUAAGUCACCCAGAGCUUAGUCCUUUUCCAUAGGCUCCCGUCGCUUCCCAGCACACCUGAAGCCUAGCAGUUUAGCUAGUGGGGUUUAUGCUAAGCCGUUGCCCAUACAACGGUUGAGUGGUUGCAUGAUGGUUGAAUUAGGCAAGAUGACACAUCAACUCGGUCCUUAGUCAUGACAAGAUGGAUAUCUCCCAACUCUGCUCAACCACUAAGGUACGAGCUCAACAAUCCGGCAUUCCACACAAGAAACGCCCAUCCAUCUCAUCCACCACCUUUCUUUACACCCAAAAACCCAACUCCUCAGUUGAACACACUCACACAUUUAUUUUCCGAAUAAACAGAUGUAGUCAUGAUUGAAUUUAGGUAACGAGUUCCUAAGCAUUCUAGCAGUAUUUAUCAUCUAAACAGAGCAAUUCAUAUUUAGAGAUAAAUAUGGGACAACAAGGAAUAAUCAUAACAACCAAGGGGUGGCUAUCCAACCAUGUCUUGCAAUAAAACAAUAUGCAUUUUAUAAAACAGGCCAAUAGGUGGUGUCUGAAAAAAAACUGGGUAUUAAAUAUGCAUCAAAGGGUGAGAUUGGACUUGCCAUUCUCAAAGCCUUCCGGGAGCUCCUGCUCGCGGUACUGGUCUUCGAGCUCGGGCUCGCGGUCGAACUCCUCCUCGUGCUCCUCCUCGGGUACUCCGCGAUCUACGGCACACACAAACGAGCACACAAUAAAUAAAAAGGAAAAAGAUUUUACCCGUUGAGCUCCGAACAGGAAAUGUGAACGGAAAAUAGGUAGGAAGGGUAUUUUCAUGAAAUUUGGAUAUGCCUCGGCGGAAAUAUAUGAGAGGAAGCCGUGGUCGAAUUUGGGAUCGAUCGGAGAAAGUUUGGUGCAUGAAAUGACGGGUUAACGGAGUAUUAGGGGCUGUAAGAUGAGGUUUAGGACUAAACCACGAGAACCAGGGACCUAUUUAUAAUUUUUUUCUGGAAGGUGGAAGGGCGUAUUCGCGAAACUUCUUUGAGAGAGGUGGGAGGGCUGGUUUGUAAUUAGAGGAAAGGAGGGGGUUAGAUCGAAAUUGAAGGGGAUUCUCCCCUUCUUCUUCCUGGAGCACGGGUACAGGGAGGAAGGAGGCAACCCGACGGUGGGCCGGCCAGUCAAGCUCGCCGGCGGCGAGACCAAGCGGCGGGGGAGGUAGAGAAGACCGAGGGGACUCCAUUUUGACCCUCACCUUGGGGAUUCGGCGAUGGGAAGCGAGGGGGCCGGCGUGGGGAAAAAGGGCGGCGGGCAGAGCUCUGGCGGCGGCGCACAGGGUCGGUGGAGAAGGGGGGAGGCGAGCUAGGAGGCGAGGCGAGGUGGUGGCAGGGGCGGCCGGCCUCGGCCCCUUUUAUAGGCAACGGGAGGGGCGGGCGGAGGUCGGAAGUGAUGAUGGUGGCCAGACUUCCGGCCGGUGGCGUGCCGGAGUGGACAUCCUCGUGGAUGGCGUGGUGGCUCGGUCGACGAGGAGCACAGGGAGUCCACCGAGGUGAUGGCCGGCGUGACGUGCGGUGGGACGGCGGCGACCGGCGGCCGGCGACGCGGCGCGUGCGGCCAGGCGCUAGGUGCCAAAGGCCGGGCGUGCGGUGCGCAGGCGGGCUCGCGGGCGCGGCCGGGCGGACUGGUGCGGAGGAGCGAGCGCGCUCCGGCGCGGGAGUGGCCGGGCGCAGCGCGUGCGUGCAUGGAUAAGCAUGGACGCGUGCGAGAGAGGAGCUGAGCGCUAGGUAGCAGUGUGCUGUGGUGCGUGCGUUGUGCAGGUGGGACCGGGGGCGGCAGGAGGUGGCAUGCAGCAGCUAUGCGAACAGUAGAGGUGCAGGGGGCCAGCGCUGGGGGCCAGGCAUGGGCCCAGGGAAGUGCACGCGCACCAAGAAAAGCCAGGCACUAGGGGACAUGCACCGGAGCAUGCGACAUGUACUGGAGCAUGCAGCAGGGGGGAGAGAGAAAAAGGACCAGGCGCAUGUGUGCGGAGCCAGAAGCAGUGCAUGCGGCCAGCACCAAGUUCCAGGAGGAAGAGAAAAUAAAAAAAGAAACGGUGCAUGCAUGCAUGCAGUACGUAGGAAAAGAAAGCAAGGAGCUGUUGGUGCGAGGAAAAAAAAAGGAAGAAAAGAAAGUGAAGGAAAAUGAAAGAAAAUGAAAGAAGGAAAAGAAGGAAAAAGAAAUAGAUGGUGGCGAUUGCGGAAAUGGUCGCGGGCACGCGCGACGGUCUUCCAUCCGGCACACGGCGAAAUUUGCGGGGAACGGAAAAAGAGGGUUGACGACGUCAGGUGCCGGGACGGCGGGUCCGGCGGAAAGGAAAUGAUUUCUCGGGAGCUCGACGGUCGGGAAAAAAAAAUUUGAAAUGAGUUUUUAACGAGUGAUUUAAUUUGGUAAAUUCCACGGGCGUUACAAACCUACCCCACUUAAAUUGAAUCUCGUCCUCGAGAUUCGGCUGAACUCUUAAUAGAUGGGGAAACUCCUUCUUUAACGCAUCCUCGCGUUCCCAAGUAGCUUCUUCUUCACCAUGCCUACUCCAUUGGACCCUGCAAAUCCGCACUACUGAAUUUCUUGUUCUUCUGGUGACGGUGUCCAGAAUCUUGACGGGUACCUCCUGAUAUCGUAGAUCUUUUUGUAAAUCUAUGGCUUCCACCGAUACUUGCUCUUCUUGCACCCUCAGGCAUUUUCUUAGCUGGGACACAUGGAAUACUGGGUGUAUAUCUGACAUUUCCUCGGGUAGUUGAAUGCGGUAUGCUACAGCUCCAACUCUUUUUAACACCUGGUAUGGUCCAAUAUACCGGGGGGCUAAUUUUCCUUGCAUUUGGAACCUUCGGGUACCUCGAAUCGGAGAGACCUUAAGGUACACGAAAUCCCCUUCAUUGAAAAUCAACUCUCGUCUUCUUUUAUCUGAGUAACUUUUCUGCCUAGACUGUGCUGCUUUCAACUUCUCUCGUAUCUCAGCCACUCGUUCUUCUGCUUCUUUGAUAAAGGUGGGUCCCACUAGGGUGCGCUCUCCUACUUCCGACCACAUCAACGGGGUCCUGCACUUUCUUCCAUAGAGAGCCUUAAACGGUGACAUGCCUAAGCUGGCUUGGUAACUGUUGUUAUAUGAGAACUCUGCAUAGGGUAAACUCUGUUCCUAGUCCUUGCCAUAAGUAAGGACACAUGCCCUUAACAUGUCUUCCAUGAUCUGAUUUACUCUUUCUGUUUGGCCAUCGGUCUGGGGGUGAUAGGCUGAACUAAAAUCCAGUUUGGUGCCCAUAGCUUUAUGCAGACUUUUCCAGAAUCUCGAGGUAAAUUGGGUCCCUCUAUCCGAAACAAUUCUUCUAGGCACACCAUGCAGCUUCACUAUGUUGUCCACAUAGAGUCGAGCUAGCCUUUCUCCACCAUAGGUGGUCCGUACGGGUAAGUAGAGGGCAACUUUAGUGAGUCGGUCCACUAUCACCCAUAUGGAGUCAUUCCCUUUUUGAGUCUUGGGCAAACCCACUACAAAAUCCAUGCCAAUCUCGUCCCAUUUCCAAACUGGAAUGGGUAGUGGUUGCAGUAAACCGGCUGGCUUCUGAUGUUCGGCCUUAACCCGUUGGCAAAUAUUGCAAUGAGUGACGAACUGGGCUAUGUCCGCCUUCAUUCCAUUCCACCAGUAUUUCUGUUUUAGGUCCAUAUACAUCUUGGUGGAUCCCGGGUGGAUGGAAUAUGCUGAGUUAUGGGCCUCAUCCAUGAUGGUUUGCCGGAAAUCACCUUCCUUGGGCACACAAAUCCUAUCCUUGUACCACAAGGUCCCUUUUACAUCCACUCUGAAGUCUGGGGCUUUAUUCUCUCCGGUUUGCUUGCGAAUCCUCACCAAGUCCUGAUCCGAACCUUGGGCCUCUCGGAUUCUUUCCUCCAAUGUGGGCUGAACACUUAGCUUGCGGCUGGUGUUCUGAGGGAUAAUGUGUACAUUUAAUCGGGCCAUUUCCUCUUGCAAGUGGGUGUCCUUAGGUCCGAUCUGUCCAUAGGAUUUUCUGCUCAAGGCAUCCGCGACCACAUUAGCCUUACCGGGGUGGUAGUGAAUUUCCAGAUUAUAAUCCUUGACCAAUUCUAACCAUCUUCUUUGCCUUAAAUUCAGAUCUGGUUGGGUGAAGAUAUAUUUUAGGCUCUUGUGGUCUGUGUAGAUCUCACAUUUGUUCCCGAUUAGGUAGUGCCUCCAGAUCUUGAGGGCAUGCACUACGGCUGCAAAUUCCAAAUCAUGGGUGGGGUAAUUUUGUUCAUGGGGCUUAAGUUGGCGGGAAGCAUAUGCCACUACCUUCCCAUCCUGCAUCAGGACACACCCUAACCCUUGUCGGGAAGCAUCACAAUAAAUGACGAAGUCCCGCUGGAUAUCCGGUAGGGUUAAUACUGGGGCGGUCGUCAAUCUUCUCUUCAGUUCUUGAAAACUCCUCUCACAUGACUCUGUCCAAUUAAAUUUCUUGUCCUUCCUAAGUAGCUCUGUCAUGGGUCGGGCUAUCUUAGAGAAUCCUUCAAUAAACCUCCGAUAAUACCCAGCUAAACCAAGAAAACUCCUGAUUUCACCAACAUUGGUGGGUUGCUGCCAGUUGGAGACGGCUUCAACUUUCUCAGGAUCGACUGCUACUCCUUCUGCGGUCAAAAUAUGACCAAGAAAUGCCACUUUCUCGAGCCAAAAUUCACAUUUGCUGAAUUUAGCAUAGAGUCGGUGGGCUCUCAAUUUCUCCAACACUACUCGUAGAUGCUGCUCAUGCUCUUGGACACUCUUGGAGUAAAUAAGUAUGUCAUCGAUAAAGACCACAACAAACUUAUCUAACUCUUCCAUGAACACCUUGUUCAUGAGGUUCAUGAAAUAAGCAGGGGCAUUGGUCAGUCCAAAGGACAUCACUGUAAAUUCAAACUGGCCAUAGCGGGUGACAAAAGCUGUCUUCGGGAUAUCACUUUCCUUGAUCUUGAGCUGAUGGUACCCUGAUCUCAAAUCUAUUUUUGAGAAAUAUUUGGCUCCUUUCAACUAGUCAAAUAGGUCAUCUAUUCUGGGAAGGGGAUAUUUAUUCUUGAUGGUGACCUCAUUCAGUGCGCGAUAAUCCACGCACAUCCUCAUGCUUCCGUCUUUCUUCUUGACAAAGAGUACUGGAGCUCCCCACGGGGAUGAGCUAGGUCUGAUAAAGCCACUCUGUUGCAGUUCACCUAACUGUUUCUUCAGCUCUGCCAACUCAGAUGCUGCCAUUCUAUAGGGUCUCUUGGCUAUAGGAGAGGUUCCAGGGAUAAGGUUGAUUACGAACUCUAUGGGGGCAUUCCAGGUAGUUCUUCAGGAAAGACAUCAGGGUACUCACUCACUACCGUAACUCCUUCUAUGGCCUUGGCUUCCAUGCUAAAAACCAUUGGGUCAGGUCCACUUCCCCGAGUGUGACAGGUCACUUGUACACCGUCCUGAUUAACCAGGCGUACCACCUUAUCGGCACAUCCUAUGUGGCCAUCAUGUAGGCUUAACCAAUCCAUUCCAAGGAUCACAUCUAUCCCCUUAGACUCAAGUACUACCAAGUCUGCUAGGAAUUCUACCCCACUUAAAUUGAUCCUUACCCGGGAACAACCUAGUCGACACUGGAUGUCGGCUCCAGGCGUCCGGGUUAUUAGGGGUACCUUUAGUAGUAUUGUAGGUAUGUGGUGCUUAUCCUCAAAGCCUGAUGAUAUAAAUGAAUGUGAUGCUCCAGAAUCGAAGAGUAUUGUUGCCAAGACUGAGCUGACUAGAAACUCACCGAGUACCACGCCCUGAGCUUCUUGAGCCUCUUGCGCGCUGAUGUGGUUGACGCGGGCUCGUCCGAACGACUGCUGGGGUUGCCUCAUCUGGUGGCUGUUGUUGUUGUUGCUGGGGUUGUUGUUGCUACCGACGGGAACACGGUUGGCUCCUGAAACUGCUGCCCUUGGCCCAGUCACUGCGUUGGAGAAGGCUGAUGCAGCUGGCUUGUUGGCGUAGGGGCAGUUGGCAAUGAAAUGCCCUGGCUCACGGCAGUUGAAGCAUACCCUGCCGUUGUUGGUGACUUGACUGGCACUGUUCUGAGGGGCCUUGGCAGGGUUCUGGCUUCUGAACGAGGCAUUGGGCUGAUGGGAACCGGAGGCUUGAGACUGGGUCUGGUACUGCAUGGGAGCUUGGGAUCUGGGCAUGGGGUGACCAAAGCUUCUUGGUUUCUGGAACCUGUCCUGCUGGUGGGUCUUGCUGUUCAGGAAUCUGCGCUUGUUGUCCCUCCUUUCAUCUGCCUUGGCCCUCUCAGUCAAGAUGGCCAUGUUCAUCAGAGUAUUGAAAUCAGGGUAGAUCUGAGGAGUAAGCAGGGUCCUCAGUUCUGCGCUCAAACCCUUCUUGAACAUGUCUUGCUUCUUCUCAUCCUUGUCUACUUCUUCUGGAGCAUAGCGGGCCAAGUCCAUGAACUGAUAGGUGUACUCUUCCACGGACUUGUUGCCUUGGCGCAGUUCACGGAGCUCAUCCGCCUUGCGCUUCAUGGUAGCCGCAGGAAUGUGAUAGCGGCGGAACUCUGUCACAAACUCAUCCCAGGUGAUAGUGGAGGCAUCCUGGGCGGCAGUGCAGUAGUUCUCCCACCAAGCUAGAGCAGUCCCAGUGAGUUGAUGAGCAGCCAGGAGAACCUUGUCCCUGCCCUCACAGUCGAAUGGCUCUAGCUUCCUCUGGAUGACCCGCAGCCAGUCAUCUGCGUCCAGAGGAUUGAUGGACCCGCCAAAAGUAGGUGGCUUGGUCCGGAGGAAGUCUGUCAGUUUCUCAUUCAUGCCCUGUCCGCGGGGCCUUUGGCGAGUGAUGGCAUUGGCCAAAGCUUCCAGCAGAAGGGUCUGGUUGUUCAUGACUUGGACCAGAUCAAUGACUGGUGGGGGCGGUGGCUGCUGUGCUCCCACUUGACUUUCCCCCCUGCCCUCGGGCUGAUUCACUUCUUGCUCCUCAUGGUGCACCGCUGGUGGGGGUUCCUGUCUUUCCAGCUGUCUUUCUGCACUAGGGGUGGCACGUGCUUGACUCGGGGAGGUCCUGGUGGCACGCUUGGGAGGCAUCUGCAGAUUGAGUGAACUUUCAUGAGACUUGGAUUUGGAUAUUAAGGUGAUGUUUAGUUAAUUAAUUCGGAUUUUCGAAGAGACAGAAUCCACCUCCUGUCGACAAGCACACAGACUAACAAACAACAAGAACAAAUGAUUUUAUUAUUUUGCCGGGGCGGUUACAACACAUGGGGUAGGGCCAAAACACGCACUACACGACCGGUACAACAACACAACUGGGGGGGUACAAGUCUAGACUCAGGAUAGCUUCUGGUGUACAACUCUAGGUGGGGCACUCUAUUCGCGGGACGAAUCUGCACACUGCGCGGAGUAGUCUUCUGGCGGAAUAAGGAGGGCCAGCACCUCGUCCCUUAGGGUCCCACCUGCGGGAGGGGGUUUCGAGGCUUCUCCAUUGGCCACCUCAGAGUCCCUUUCCAAAGGCGGUGGUGCUGGUGGGGCAUCAGGGCUCUUCCGCUUCCCGGACCCCUGGGCAACAGGGACUCCAUCCAAUACUGGGGCCUCGUCGUCCUCCACGACCCGCAUUUUCCUUCUUGUGCGGUUCGAGUGGUGGACUUCCUUCAAUGCCCGCGCGUGCUGGUCCUCGGCCUCUUUGAGGGCCUCGAUGGCGAGGGCCUCAUUGCUUUGGGUGGCCGCGGCUCGUGCCUCAGCUGCUGCCAAUCUCACCUGGAGUCUCCUCACCAUAACCUCGGCGUCCUCGGCUCUGCGGAUCUGCUGCUUCAGAUGGGCGGCCUGCUCGUCGCAGAGUUCAUCCAAAGUGAGGAGAUAGGCAGCCAUAUGGAGCACGGUGGGGUCAUCCUCGCGCUGUCCACGUCCUUCCAAAGUCCUCACCCGGGCCAGCCAAACCGGGCGGUUCUUCUUGACAGGCGGGUAAAACCUCAUCGGUGUGCGACCGAUGUGCCUCUCAUAAAUUUGGCACAGGUAGCGCAGGGCUUUCCGAGCUGCCACCUGGUAAGUGUCUUUCCGCUGGAAACCAGUGGCAGACACAUUCCAAGGCUAGACGUCGGGGAAGCGGCUGCUCCUGCCCACGUAGAUGGUCAUCUCGCAUCGGAGGGUCCCACGGUCUUCAUACUCCCGGCUAGAGUACUCCGGACGCUCGUAAAUCCCGAGGCGGUCCAUGCAGGCGAACAACAACCUGGGAAAACCGGGCUCCUCCAGGCAAUGGCUGUUGAUCCAACCUUCUUCGGCCAUCUGGAAAGAAUCGGGGUGUAAAUCAGUUUUGUAAUUGAGCAGAGGAAGCAAGAAAUUUUGUAAAUCAUUUAAUUUGGUCAAAAGGGCUUUUCCGGUCCUAAUGGUUACGUCCUACGGCCAACGACGGCUCUGAUACCACCUGAAGCGUCCCCACAUAAGUAGAGACUAAAUGUGAUCCAAUUAUCAGUCCUAGGAGGCUGAUAACACAUUUAUUCAACAGAUAGUUCAGAAACCAUACAGCUCCCGAAGGAGCGGGCAGGCAAGCCACACCCAAAGUAAAACUAAAGCGAUAACAAUACAAAUUCAAGUUGCAGUCCAGUCGGACUCCGGGCUGCAAUCGGAACUAAGCGUCAGCGGAAGCAUCCUGCAAAAGGGCCAACACCGCAGGCAGCGUUGGGGGCAGAUGCAACCUCCUACUCGAGAUCCUCGGCGACGAAGUCCGGAUCCUCCUCUGAAGCAACAAAACAGGGGUGAGUACAAAAGUACUCCACAAGUCCAACCCCAUCCACGGAGGGGAUACAGCAAGAAUAUGCAUGGGUUUCAACAAGGAUAUGGUUAAGGUUGAUUUGCAAUAAAGCUAGAUUUUUGACACAUGCAGGGUUUUAUUUCAAAGAAUUUUCAUAAUACAUUUUCUUUGGUAACCGAAACAUUAAGUGGGGUUGAUCCUACACAAAGGAUCCAAAUUUUAUCGCUACCGGACUCCCCGUCCGCCGUAGCGCAUGGCACAACUGCCGGACACUUCCAAAAUCCAACACACACCAUAAAAACCAACCAUCUCCAAAUGCUAGUUAUGUGACCAAGCCGUCCAAUGCCGUGGACACGGCUACCCGGAUAGGUUUUAACUCUGCAGAGGUUGUACACUUUUCCCACAAGUAGGGUACCGCAUCACGAUCACCUUAGUGACGGUGCGGAUCCUAACAAAGCCAUUACCCACCUUAGCCAACACUGACUAGUCAACACGGAAGCACCCAAGGAGUUAACGACCCAUCCACGGGGCCGAAACCGGGACCUAAGUCACCCAGAGCUUAGUCCUUUUCCAUGGGCUCCCGUCGCUUCCCAGCACACCUGAAGCCUAGCAGUUUAGCUAGUGGGGUUUAUGCUAAGCCGUUGCCCAUACAACGGCCGAGUGGUUGCACGAUGGUUGAAUUAGGCAAGAUGACACAUCAACUCGGUCCUUAGUCAUGACAAGAUGGAUAUCUCCCAACUCUGCUCAACCACUAAGGUACGAGCUCAACAAUCCGGCAUUCCACACAAGAAACGCCCAUCCAUCUCAUCCACCACCUUUCUUUACACCCGAAAAACCCAACUCCUCAGUUGAACACACUCACACAUUUAUUUUCCGAAUAAAUAGAUGUAGUCAUGAUUGAAUUUAGGUAACGAGUUCCUAAGCAUUCUAGCAGUAUUUAUCAUCUAAACAGAGCAAUUCAUAUUUAGAGAUAAAUAUGGGACAACAAGGAAUAAUCAUAACAACCAAGGGGUGGCUAUCCAACCAUGUCUUGCAAUAAAACAAUAUGCAUUUUAUAAAACAGGCCAAUAGGUGGUGUCUGAAAAAAAAACUGGGUAUUAAAUAUGCAUCAAAGGGUGAGAUUGGACUUGCCGUUCUCAAAGCCUUCCGGGAGCUCCUGCUCGCGGUACUGGUCUUCGGGCUCGGGCUCGCGGUCGAACUCCUCCUCGUGCUCCUCCUCGGGUACUCCGCGAUCUACGGCACACACAAACGAGCACACAAUAAAUAAAAAGGAAAAAGAUUUUACCCGUUGAGCUCCGAACAGGAAAUGUGAACGGAAAAUAGGUAGGAAGGGUAUUUUCAUGAAAUUUGGAUAUGCCUCGGCGGAAAUAUAUGAGAGGAGGCCGUGGUCGAAUUUGGGAUCGAUCGGAGAAAGUUUGGCGCAUGAAAUGACGGGUUAACGGAGUAUUAGGGGCUGUAAGAUGAGGUUUAGGACUAAACCACGAGAACCAGGCACCUAUUUAUAAUUUUUUUCUGGAAGGUGGAAGGGCGUAUUCGCGAAACUUCUUUGAGAGAGGUGGGAGGGCUGGUUUGUAAUUAGAGGAAAGGAGGGGGUUAGAUCGAAAUUGAAGGGGAUUCUCCCCUUCUUCUUCCUGGAGCACGGGUACAGGGAGGUAGGAGGCAACCCGACGAUGGGCCGGCCAGUCAAGCUCGCCGGCGGCGAGACCAAGUGGCGGGGGAGGUAGAGGAGACCGAGGGGACUCCAUUUUGACCCUCACCUUGGGGAUUCGGCGAUGGGAAGUGAGGGGGCCGGCGUGGGGAAAAAGGGCGGCGGGCAGAGCUCUGGUGGCGGCGCACAGGGUCGGUGGAGAAGGGGGGAGGCGAGCUAGGAGGCGAGGCGAGGUGGUGGCAGGGGCGGCCAGCCUCGGCCCCUUUUAUAGGCGACGGGAGGGGCGGGCAGAGGUCGGAAGUGAUGGUGGUGGCCGGACUUCCGGCCGGUGGCGUGCCAGAGUGGAUGGCCGGUGAUGGCCGGCGUGACGUGCGGUGGGACGGCGGCGACCGGUGGCCGGCGACGCGGCGCGUGCGGCCAGGCGCUAGGUGCCAAAGGCCGGGCGUGCGGUGCGCAGGCGGGCUCGUGGGCGCGGCCGGGCGGACUGGUGCGGAGGAGCGAGCGCGCUCCGGCGCGGGAGUGGCCGGGCGCAGCGCGUGCGUGCAUGGAUAAGCAUGGACGCGUGCGAGAGAGGAGCUGAGCGCUAGGUAGCAGUGUGCUGGGGUGCGUGCGUUGUGCAGGUGGGACGGGGGCGGCAGGAGGUGGCGUGCAGCAGCUAUGCGAACAGUAGAGGUGCAGGGGGCCAGCGCUGGGGGCCAGGCACGGGCCCAGGGAAGUGCACGCGCGCCAAGAAAAGCCAGGCACUAGGGGACAUGCACCGGAGCAUGCGACAUGUACUGGAGCAUGCAGCAGGGGGGAGAGAGAAAAAGGACCAAGCGCAUGUGUGCGGAGCCAGAAGCAGUGCAUGCGGCCAGCACCAAGUUCCAGGAGGAAGAGAAAAUAAAAAAAGAAACGGUGCAUGCAUGCAUGCAUGCAGUACGUAGGAAAAGAAAGCAAGGAGCUGUUGGUGCGAGGAAAAAAAAAGGAAGAAAAGAAAGUGAAGGAAAAUGAAAGAAAAGGAAAGAAGGAAAAAGAAGGAAAAAGAAAUAGAUGGCGGCGAUUGCGGAAAUGGUCGCGGGCACGCGCGACGGUCUUCCAUCCGGCACACGGCGAAAUUUGCGGGGAACGGAAAAAGAGGGUUGACGACGUCGGGUGCCGGGACGGUGGGUCCGGCGGAAAGGAAAUGAUUUCUUGGGAGCUCGACGGUCGGGAAAAAAAUUUUGAAAUGAGUUUUUAACGAGUGAUUUAAUUUGGUAAAUUCCACGGGCGUUACAGUUAGGAAUACCAUGCAAGCAUGCAAUUGCUUACAUAACUUCUAUACCUGGUGAAAAGCUAGAAGACCAUGUGGAUGAAUGCUAUUCUGUGGCCAAAUUCAAAGCUGCAUAUGAAGGUUCCAUCCCAUCCAUUCCCAACAAGUCAAUGUGGCCUGAUGCGACACAUGGAUUCUUCAUGCAUCCUCUCUUGCUUAAGUCCACAACUGGUAGAAGAAAGAACAGGUACAAAGGGGCACUUGAAGGAGGUAGAAGGAAGAAAUCAAAGAGACAUGAGUGUCCAAUAUGCCAUGAGUUAGGGCACCACUUGUACACUUGCAAGAAUGGGAGUCCAGCAGACAUAGCUGCAAUAGAGGUUGACAGGUGCACUUCUCUCAGUUACAUUUAUUCAUAUAUGGUAUGAAUUGCAUUGUUGUAAUGUAACAUUUAUUUGCAUGCAGGGGUCUACCUAAGAAGAGGCAGAAAAAAGUAGCUAAAGCUAACACAGAGACAAGCAUUGUUGUGGCCUCAAGGAUGGUGUUCCCUCCCAAUGAAGCAGUGGAGAAUGCUGUACACAAGAAAAGAAAGAGAUGUCACGUGGAUGUUCCUUCUUCUUCAACCUCUGUCUCCAAAUCUACCAGGUUUGCAACUUCUACAUUUCUUUAUCUUUUUGGCAAUGCCUACAGUCCCUUAUUACUUCAUGUUUCAUCUACCACAAGAUCUGGAACUGGAUCCAACGAGCCUAUUCCGCUUCAAGUUGUGCACCUUGCCCAUUGGCAUGAAGAUGUGGCAGUUCAACCUCAGCCACAUGAAGCUUCUCUGCUACAAUUCGUACACCAAGGAGGAAAGUUGCAAUUAAGAAGAAGCUAACACCAAGAAAAGAAGGGUCGGCCACUGCAACUAACCCUUCCAGUUCAGCAGGAAAUACCAGAAGUAAGAAGCAACUCAUGAUGUAAUGGAGAUGUUGGGGAACAAUCUGAAUCUGAACCAUGUUGGUGAACAAUUUUAUAUUUCUGGACUCUCAUCAUCCAUCCAUCAUUGACUCAUUCAUUCAUUGAUUCAUUGGCAUACAAACACAGUGACACACACACACACACAUAGAACCCUACUUUUUCAUUAUUGCAUACAAGGCAAGGAAGAUGGAAACAAAGACCAGUUUCUCAAUCCAUUUCAGUUGCUGCAUAACCCUGUCUUGCACUACCCUUCCAUCCUGACCACCUUCCUGGAUGAGAAGCAUUGAAGUGGGAGCUGGUUCUGGCACUGCGUGAAGAGGAAUAGGAGACAAAGGUGUUGUACGAGCCACUGUCUACACACUACUAUCUCCCAUUUCAUCCUCCCACUGAUAGUACUGACAACCUCCAGCCUGAAAACCAAAGCAACAGUACAUUAUGGACAAAGUAGCCGAAACAAACAUUCUAGAGCCAAAUAAAGAGCAAGUUAACAACACAAACUGAAAAGUAAGGACAAUUGUGGAAGACACGGCGCAUGUUGCUACUGGUCAUCGAUGUGAACCUAUUGGCAAGCACACCGCAGUUGGGGCAAAGGACCCGCCUUACAAACGAGCCUGAAGCUUCAGACAUGCUAGCAAGAAAAGAGAGAGCACUGGGUGGGAGCUGAGUGAAGAGUGUGGAGAGAUCUCAGUGGGGGAGGGGUUUAUAGGAGCCACCGGGAGCAUUUUUAGCGCCAAAGCUCCACCAUGUUGGCGCCAAAAAGAACUGAGGGCACGCCAGUCUUUUUCCCCCUCUGUCAGGCUCUGUUAGCGCUACAUUUGGACGGAAUGGCUUGCAGAGAAAACAAAGUUUAACACGAUGGCACUCGUGGGAGGUCAUCUUUUUAAUGACUUGUGCGAAUUUACCAUUUUUUAUAAUGGCAGGAAAUGACUCGAAGAAUAUUGCAAUGCGUUCGGGAGAGAGAGGACGUUGUACGUCGUCGCAUCCAUUCGAGGAGGGGUAGGACUAUGUAUCAGACAUGGACCCCUCGUCUCUGCCCAUUUCUGUCCUGUUGUAUUGCCGAAAAGAUGGACGCAGCUGCAGCGGGAGUACACACAAAAACACAUACACCAUCAGCCCAUCGCAUAGGUUUGGCAAGAUGAUGUUCAAAAAUCAAGUGCAUUAAAUAUAUGUGCGCUAAGAUCAAGUUACACACAUGCAGACAAUAGCGAAUAUCAAAGAUAGUGUUAAAACAAAUAUAGAGAGUGUUAAACUAUUUAUUACACAACCGAUAGUCUUAAAUAAACAUAAUCUUAAUUAAACACGCAACGGAAACUGAAGACGACGACGACGACACCAAGAGCAGUCGACUGAAGAACGAACGCCUAGAACUCCUUAAAGUCAUCUAGGUACUCCACCAGAUUGUCUUGGUCUGAACAACGGGUAUUGCAAUGGUGAGUACACUUAUGGUUGGUACUCAACAAGUCAUGGGGAAUAGUGUAAGGCCAAUCAAAGGAGUGACUAAGGCUAACAACAUCAACAUUUAAUUAAGUUGAUCAAAUUUUAUUAGCAAUUACUAAAUAUAAGUUUAUACCACCCAAAAUUAAGCAUGAAUAAGAAUAAAGCAAUAACAUGAAUAAAAUAACAACAAUUUAAGUCCAUAUUUUGAUGAAGGUAUCAUGUGAGGGUUCAAGCCGCUCUUGACCGUGAGCACGGCUGAUCGAUCGGCUUUACACACUGUAGAGGUCGCACAUCUUUAUCCACAAGUCGCAUAAACGUUCAAAGAACUUUAGAUCCAACCAUGUGAUGCUAGCUAGGCAUCAUACCACACUUCCGACGUGUGAACGCGUAGGGAUGCUACGAGACCUUUACAAAUAUUCGCUAGUAAGUAGUAACCCGCUAAGGUUUUCAGAUUAGUAGUAAGCCAUCACACCCUAUCUACCGUCGUCCCUCUUACCUCUUAACGAGUAAUAUUAUCCCAGACUAGAGUUUCUAAUUAAUUUGCUGAGACCAAAGCUAACUAGUUCUUGUGGUUGUACUAUUUUCCUGGGUGGUCGCUCCAUGUUCCAAUUAAACAUGAUGUCCUUGUAUUAAAAGAAAGGUAUAGCGAAAAUAAAGCAAUAUUAAACAUUUAUGCCAAUUAAACCAGCAAUUCCCACGUAAAGCGACAAGCAUAAGCUAUCCGACAAGAAUAUAAACCCAGUUGAUCAAGGCAAAGGUAAAUGAAAACUAGUCAUCCUUAAUUGGGACCCAUCAAAUUAAUCAUAACAUGUGCAUAGCAUAAUUGUUGAGUACGAGAAAGUAAAGGUGUAUAGGACUGAAAGUAGUGAUCAAGGAUACGACUUUCCUUCCUGGCCUUGCUCGUGCUGCUCGUACUCCUCGUAGGCUUAAUCUUCAACUUCCUCGAACUGCAAACCUUCUAUACGUGUCACACGAGCACAUACAAGCAGACACAAGCAAUAAAUAAGAAAUAGUACACCAAAACAUAAUAAACAGAGAAAAUAUGUUUUUAAAAGAAAUCUACCCAUUACAAUGAUCGCGUGGACAUAAAGAACGCUAAAAACGGAGCUAGGAUGCAAAAGAUAUGCUAAAAAUAAAAUACAGGGGCAUAUCUGCGAGAAAACUAAACUUCUAGGAGUCUAACGUGCAAAAACAGGGGGUCUAACGUGCAAAAACUACGUUACGGACUGCGGGUGAGAUUUUGAGAAAAUAGAGGGGCCUGCGAGAAAAAUGUGAGGGCGAUUUUGUAAAUAUUUUUGACUUGACUAGGACCGUGGGUUGAUUUGUGAGAAAAUUAGGGGCCCUUUUGAAAAAAGGCUCGGGUGCGGGCGCACUAACCUAGGGCGACGAUCUCCAGCCGUUCAAUCAAAGAUGGACGGCCGAGAUUAGAUCCAACAGCGGCUAUCGAUGCGGCCGUCGGUCUGAGAUCGGAGGCCGGUGGCCGUCGGUGAGGGCGGACAGGGCAGCGUGCUGGUUUCUCGUGCUGACCGGCGGCGCAGCGCCGCAACGAGGAGGGGGAAGGCGGAGCUGGCCUGCGCGGGGGAGGUAGGAGCGGGCGACGUUGCGCGGGCGAAGAGCUGCGGCGGCGUGCUCACCUCCGGCGGAACUCCAGCGGCGAAAGACGGCGACGGCGGCGAGUUUGGCAGGCGGCGGCGCGGAAAGCUUGGAGAUGGCGGCGGUGCAACGCUCGGCUAGGGUUCGUGGCGACCCCGGACGGCGCGACAUAUUUAUAGGGCGGAGAGGAACGCGUGAAUAGAUAGAGGGGCACGGGUUUGAAUCGAGGCGGGGAUAAGAUUUCGCCCGGAAGAAACGAAGCGGAGGAGGCGGAAUCCGUUGCGGCGGCGGAGCGGAGUCCGACCGGACUCGGCCAGAGGAGGAAGACGAUGUGGGCCCCACCUGCCAGCGUCCGCGGGCGGGGAACGGGCCGUCGCGGCUAGCUGGGCCGAUGAACGCUUCGCGGGCCGGGGGAAAAGGUGGAGCGGGCCGGGUGCAGCAAGCUGAGGAGGCUGGGCCGAAAUUGAGGGAGAGAGAGUUUUCGGCCCGGAGAGAGGAAGAAAAGGGGAUGGGGUUUGAGAUUUUAGAAAGAGUUUAUAUUUUGAAAUUUAAAUUCAAAUGCACUCAAACAAUACAAAACUUUAUGCUCCGGCAUGAAUGCACAAAAACCUCCUACGGUUUGAUUAAUUUUGAAAAUACGCUUUUAAAAUGCCUACAAAUUCAAACCUGCCCUUAAUUUAAUUUAAAUUUUUAUUAAAUUUGAAACCUCAAUUUUAGGGUGUUACAGAUGAUUUUUUUUCCGUUGUGGAUAAUGGGUGCGCAUAAAGGACUUUGUUUUUAGACCAGUGCGCAUAAAGAAGUUAGAGACGAUGCCAGAAACAAAUUAAUAAGCACAGGACGAACAAAUUACAGCAAUACUCUUUCUCUUUCUAUAGCACAUGAGCAUUUUAUCGGUGCCUAUGUAGUUUUCAGUGUAUAUUUUUUAGGCAUGAGGGAGAAAAACAUAAGAGAAAGAGGAGAAAAAAAGAGGAGAAAUGACUGACCACACAUAGUUUCCAAGUGAACGCAGCGAUGCAGUGUACAGUUCAGAACCCAAACGAUUUUUGGUGUUGUUUUGAAGCACCUGACUAACAACUGCAUCCCGAACUACUGACUCUACACCUUCCUUCUGCCAAAAGAUCUAAAAAAAUUAAAGGAUUGCUAAUAAGGACCAGGACACGCUCAGAUUUGUGGAUAUCUAAAUAAGUUAACUUCCAGCUAGCAUGGAUAGUUAACUGCAUAGCACCACAUCCAUCCUUCCUCGCAUUGAGCCCCUUCUUCUCUCCUUCUCUCCUUACAGCAGACACAAGCGUAAUGGAGACGUACAGGUGCAGGAGGGCGAUCCCCAUCUCGACUUCAAUUUGGCCAUGUGGAAGUAGGACCACCACCAUGUGCAGGAGGGCGUCCCCCGUUAUGCAUCAAUGCUGCACCUAAUGACUGUGACCUGACAGCCCGACAAUUGGUUAUGGGAGCCAUGUGAUUUCGCAUCUCAAAGGCAUCGUUUAUCCUUCCUCUCCCUGCUGCUGCUCAUCCUCCCUUCACCGAACUACUUGUUGCAAUCAGAAGAAAGAUCAAUCGAAUUGAUCAAGAGACAGAUUGGAAGCUAGUCACCGUUGAUGGGUUCGUGAGUGAUGUUAUGAUCCGUCCCUCUAUCAUAACCGUUGGAACGCAGCUGGUGCAGAAGUUAAUUACCUGAAGCAAUUUGUAGAAACGAAUAGUACUGGUUCGUUCACUUAUUUCUUUGUUCAAACUUAAUUUCUGCUUAGAGUUUGUGCCUUGUGGUGAGACUAAAUUAGCUGCUUACUAGUCCACCAACUCGUGCUCCUGCACAUGCUAAUGUUAUUAAAAGAUAUUGUAUUUAAAAAUUAUUUAGAAAUUAAACUCCUAGCUAAUAAUCAAAAUUGUUUACCUACUACUCUCUUAUUUUUUCAAUACUUCAACAUAAUACUUAUAUAGAUAUGUACCUAUCUUUGUCUAGUUGUGAUUGAUUUUUAAUUAAUAAUUACUCUAUGCACUUUUUCAUCCAUAUUCAUACUUUUUUAAUUUUGUAUCGCAGCUACAAUUCUCUAGACAUUAUGUUUAUCAUACAAAUCAAUAUUUUUCAUCGAUUCCUCACAUACAUGUAUAAAUGGUCUAAAUGGUGGGACUCAUCAUGUGUAUAUACUUUAACUUAGUAUUUUUAUAUUAAUAAUGAGAUAAAUAGGUAAUUUAGAUUCAUAUAUUAAUUUACUUUUUGACGUAUGAUGCACAUGAAGAUAAUUAGAUUAAGAUUUAGGUGUUCGCUUUAGGUUAUUUUUAAUAGCGACGUGGGUAACAUAGAUAAAAUUUUAGAAUGAUAUUUUAAGUUAUACUUUAUAAUGAUAUGAAUUAGUAAAUUUUAUGAAUAUUAUUGGGUUACUUUAGAUUAUUUUUUAUAAUAGCUGAGCUCAGUAAUUUAAAUAUAGGUUUAGAGCUCAUUUUUUAAUAUUUUCACAAUGAUAGCGGUGGGUAACUUUUUAGAAAAUAUAAUAAAUCAAUGGCUAUGAUUAUUAGAGUCGACAGGAUUGGUGUUUGAUGUUUUUAUUUUUUAUGAGAAUUGUCUCUUUUUUCUAGUUUGUCUCAUGGGAACUAAUGCGGAGCCUCCAAUGGAAAAAAAUGAUACUAUAUUGCUACAAAAUUAUCACCAUAAGCUACCUCUCGUUUGUUAAAUAUUCGAACACAAUACUUAUAUAGAUAUAUACUUAAUAUCUUCAUCCAAUUGUGAUAGAUUUUAGUUAGUAAUUACUCUAUAAUAUUUUUAUCCACAUUUAUAAUAUUUAACUUUUCACUUUGCAUCGCAGAUAUGCGCUUGAAUUUGUUUAAUGAACCCUAAGUUUGAGACACAAUUUUAACAUAGAAAUCUAUAUUCACAUCACUUUAUAUCUUUAUAAAUGGUGACACACAUCAUGCGUAUAGAUCUUAAUUAUUAUAUCAUAUACCAACAGUGCAAGAUACAGAGGAUAUAGAAUCAUAUAUUGCUGUAUAUUUUUAAUUAAAGUUAUUUGAUUCAAACGUAGGGUUACGUCAUGUUAUUUUUAAUAAUAGCAUGUGUGAGUAAUAUAGAUGCAAAUUUAAGGAGUUACUUUAAAUUCUUUAAGUAAUAGUGGUGUACAAUUCAGUUGCAAAUUAGGGGGUUAUUUUAAAUAUUGUUUCUAAUGGUAUAAGUGGGUAAUUUUGAUAAAGAUUAGAGGGUAACUUAUAUAUAGAUUUAGGGGGUUACUUUAGGCUAUUUUCAUAAUGGCAUGGGUACUUUUUUAGAAAACAUAAUAGAUCUAAUGGCUAUGAUGAUUUGAAUCUAUCGAUUGAUGGUCGGAUGUUUUGUUUUUUUGUGAGAAUUCUAAAAUUUCUCUCUUUUUCUAGAGUGUCCACCUAGGAAUCCUAGGUGGCUUCACCUCGAGGCUUCAAAAGGAGCCUCCAAUUAAUAAUAGUAAGAUUAUGCUGGUUGCAUGCAGGAGAUCGAGCUGCGGGCGCACAGCCGUAUCGGAUGAGGACAUAUCAGCUGGGUUCCUGUUGGUUGUAUACUUGUGUUCCUGCCGGCGGAGAAGCAACCAUGGCCGAGUUAGUGAUCGGGCCACUGAUCUCCAUGGUGAAGGAGAAGGCAUCCAGCUACCUGCUGGACCAAUACAAGGUGAUGGAAGGAAUGGAGGAGCAGCGCAAGACCCUGGAGCGCAGGCUGCCAGCAAUCCUGCACAUCAUCCAGGAUGCAGAGGAGAAAGGAGCCUCCCGACCUGAAGUAGCAGUUUGGCUCAAAGACCUCAAGGCAGCGGCCUAUGAGGCCAACGAUGUCUUUGAUUAGUUUAAGUACGAGGCGCUUCGGCGAGAAGCCAAGAAGAAGGGCCACCACAGCAAGCUUGGACGCCGAAGCCAAGAAGAAGGGCCACCACAGCAAGCUUGGAGCGGAGGUAGCAAAACUCCUAGUCCCCGCUGGUAAUCCCAUUGUAUUCCGUUACAGGAUGGGCAAGAAGCUACGCAGGAUUGUGCAGACCAUCGAGGCUCUGGUCACCGAGAUGAAUACAUUUGGUUUCAGAAACAUGUAGCAAGCACAGCCAUCAAGGCAGUGGCGACAGACAGAUUCCGUAAUCAUUGACUUCGACAGAGAUAUUGUUAGCAGAUCUAGAGAUUGGGAAAAGAAGAAAAUCAUGGGGAUGCUCCUUGAUCAAGCUAGCAACAUGGAUCUCAUGGUUCUUCCAAUUGUUGGGAUGGGUGGGAUGGGCAAGACCACCUUUGUGCAACUCAUUUACAAUGAUCCUGCAAUCGAGAAGCACUUUGAGCUUCAGAGGUGGUGCUACGUGUCAGAUGAUUUCGAUGUUAGUACCAUUGCAAGCAACAUCUGCCAGGCAAACACUUCCAAUUGGCUAUUUUAGAAGUCUUCGUAAGUCAACCAUAUGCAAGAUACAUCAUCUCAUGCAUGACAUUGCUCUAUCUGUUCUGGGGAAAGAAUGUGUCACUAUAGUUGGUAAGCCGAGCGUCAAUAUAUGGUGUUAGUCCUGUUUUCUGGAAAGAACAGGUUACAAGUCUACUGGAUCAUCUAUUGAAGAAACAAACUGCAAUGCUCCAUACGUUGUUUUUUACAGAUUAUUUUGGUGUUCCCCUUGAUAUAUCAAAGUAUACUUCACUGCGAGCAUUACACCUUCCAGCACGUACAUAUUGUUUCGGACAGGAACAGCUUACAAGACACAUACAACACCUAAGGUAUCUUAAUCUGUCGUCACAUGAUUUCGAGAAACUUCCUGAAGGUAUAAGCAUUAUGUAUAAUCUACAAACGUGCAUGCCUCUAUACCAAUGGAUGCAAAUCAUUGACGUGCAUGCCUCCAGGACUUGGACAGAUCACUUCUCUGCAGACUUUAACAUAUUUUGUUAUUGGUGAUGGAUUGGGAAGUAGUACUAUCGGAGAACUUCAAAACUUAAACAUUGCUGGAGAGUUAGAGUUAAGUGGUCUGCAAAAUGUAACAGAAGUGCUUGCAAAAGCAGCCAGUCUUGAAAAUAAAGAGAAACUCACACACUUAUCUCUCGAGUGGAAUGAUGAUGCCUGUGAGAAACCAGAUUCUCAUAAUGGGGUGUUAGAUGCCCUUAAACCUCAUCAUCAGCUGGAGAUGCUAAGAAUAAAGUCCUACAAAGGCACCAAUUUACCGUCAUGGAUAACAGAUCUUAGUCUGUUGCAGCACUUGACUGGGCUCCAUCUGCUUGGUUGUACGCUGUGUGAGGAAUUCCCUCAAUUCUGCCGUUCCAAAGCCCUUGAAGUUCUGUAUUUGAAAAAGUUGGACAAAUUGCGAAGCCUAUGCAGCCAUAUGGUGUCUACGCCAUUUCCAGCACUGAAGCAACUCUGGUUACAUGAUUUGGAGAGCUUGGAGAGAUGGGGUCGCAACAGAAGGAAAAGAAGAUGAAUUAACCUUUCCUGUACUCGAGGAGGCACUACGGGAAACAGUAGAUUUGCCGAGUGCCACAGGCACUCGACGAAGGCCUAAAAACAUUCGCGAAGGCCUUUGCCGAGAGGCAAAAAACACUUGGUGACUUUGAACCCUCGGCGAAAACGAGGGUAAUGGCAGCCAUGGUAACGGCGAAGUUGCCGAGUGUCAAACGGCCGACACUCGGCAACCUCCAUAUAUGUUGUCGAGUGCCAAGGCUCGGACACUCGGCAACUAACUCUAAGUUCGCCAAGUGCCACACUCGGCGAAGAGGCGCCACCGGCCAGCAGCUUGCUUGUUUGCUGAGUGUUAUAGCAGAAACACUCGGUGAAUACGUGGACUUCGCCUAGUGUUGUAGCCAAAACACUCGGUGAAUACGUAGAUGUUGGCCAAGUUCUCGGCAAACCAUCUACACCCGGCAAAUAAAUGCUAGAAUCACAGGAAAUGGCCUCUUUGCCGAGUGUUAAUGCCAAAACACUCGGCGAAGCCCCUCUUUGCCGAGUGUUACACUCGACAAACUAACCAAAUCACCCCUAUUUUUAUUGUUUUGUGAUGUAUAAAAGACCCCUCUCAACAGAUAUCACAGGCAUAUAUCUUACAUCACAGACAUAAUUCACAACCUCCAAUACAGACAUUAUUCAUAAACGUCUUAGUCAUAAUCCAUUGUAAGCAUCAAACAAGCCAUAAGUCCAAGUUCAAGUCACAACUAAGUUUCUAAUAAUUAAGCCACAAAUGCAAAGCCUAAAACCAUGGAGGCCGUGGGGAGAACUGCGACAAAUCCGGGUCUUGACCUUGAGUAUUCGAAGCUGCCGAAUGAUUCUGCACGCAGGAUAAGACAUUUUGAGCUAACAUCUAAAGUUGUCUAAGUUAAACUAUUCAAUGUUAAGCAUAAUGUGUCAAGUGACUCACAGGAGUAGUUGUGGGUGGCUGAGGUGGAGGGAAUAGCAUCGGUGGCGGUGGCAAUGGUUGACCCAUACUUGAAGCAAAAUUCUGCAUGUAGUGGAACAUUUGUUCCUCAACCGAUUUUCUUUCUCCACCCUCCUAGUCUCGGCCUGUACCCUUUGCUGAACCAUCUGCUCCAUCGUCACCGUCAUCUCCUGUUGUUGCUUCUUUGUUGCUUCCAACUCGGCCUACAAUAUUUCAUCGCAAUGCUACAAUGCAAAGCUAAAGUACGUAACAACCAACUAACGAUGAAUGGAAUAGAAAGAACCUGGAGAGCCUCCAUCUGGUACUGUGCAGUGGUUGGUCAUGGCCGUAUCGCUGGGCUCGAGUCCAUGCUCCUUGCUCGGAUCUGGGAGAGAGUGAGAGUAGAGGUCGUGUCGAUUACGCUAUCGCCAAUCCAAUACCGGCCAUGCUUCUUGCCUCCUCCCACCAUCAUCACGACUUCUCCAUCAAUAUCCUCGGAGCUCGGGGGCCUCGCCGCUUUACCCUUCCCUCUAGCCUUCCCUCGAGGCCUCUGGACCUCUUCCUCCUCCUCCUCAAAGCCGUGGAGAAUAUGACAUCACUCUGGAAAGGCUCCUCGAGAUAUAGCACCAACAUUAUAUAAACUGGCAUGCAUGGAGAAAGCACAGAACUAUCAGGGAGGACAUGGUUGAUCAUAAUUGGACUAGAGGUCUAUAGAGAAUGCAAACUAUGGAGAAAAUGGCAGAAUUCAUAAUCCUUUGGGAUUUGGUGCAGGAUGUGGACCGCAUGUGGAUCUUACACUUCAAAAUCAGUAUAUGAGGCACAAUUCAGAGGAUCCUUUACCACCUUUGAACCAAGCGACAUUUGGAGGGCCUACACUGAAGCUAAGCAGUACAAGUUCUUUGCAUGGCUGUUAAUUUAGAGCAAGAUCAUGACAACUGACAAGAUGAUGGCCAUAAACUGGGACUCUCACAUGAUCUGCCCCUAUGUGAUCAGGAAAAUGAAACAGCUAUCCACCUUUGCCUGAACUGCUGUUAUGCCAAAGAAAUUUGGGUCCUAGUAAGCAAUUGGACGUAGGAGCUAUCUGCAUGCCUGCAACUGAUGAGGAUGAAAUGGAAGCGUGGUGGACUCGAUCCUUACAAGCUUUCAGCAAAAAGCAAAGAAGAUCAAUGGCUACAUACAUGAUCAUGACAACGUGGAGCAUAUGGAAGGAACACAAUCGUCGAGUUUUUGAAGGAAAAUCCCUAAGGGCAAUUCAAUUUUUUGAUUUGCUUCAAGAGGAGGUGAUGAUGCAUCAUGGUGUGGUACCCCAGAUUUGAGGUAGUGUAUCUUUAUUUUGGUUAUGAGUUAUCUUAGAGACCUACUUAAUUUAUGUAAUAUCGAUCUAUACGUAACUUUAAGCUUCUAUCUCGUUAAAUGAAGUAGCAGUGCUCAUGCUUUGUUUAAAAAAAAAUCUGAGUCCUUCAGUUUGCCACGUGAGCCGAUGAAGCAGAAACAGAUGAUGAUGAUGGAUGAUAUAGCCGCCGGGACCCACUGCAACCUCGUGCACCAAUCAUGACGAUCUCUAACGGCAAAGGCAUGCAUCCAGUAUGGCCUGAUGAAGUAAUUUAGGCUGCCGAAUUUGUUUCUGCUCGUUGCGCAUAGAAGGCGUCUUUUCGUUUCCUUUUUUUUUUCCCACUCGAGAAGGAAUUCAAUUCGGAUCAUCAAAACAACAGCCCAGUCCAGACUGAAGAAUUUGGUCACCAAAUUUGGAUGGAGGUAAAAAGUCACUAAUUACCUGCAGCACUGAAUAGUACUGGUUCGUUCAUUUACUGUUUCCUCAAACUUUCAGCUGAGAGUUCGUGCAUUGUGGUGAGACUAAAUUAGCUGCUUAAUCUGCUGCAGGACAUCUGUUGGUCGUGUUAAUUCCUGCUGGUGGUGGAGCAAACCAUGACCGACUUAGUGAUCUCGGGCCGUUCAUCUUCAUGGUGGAGAACGUGAUUGAAGGCAUGGAGGAGCAGCGCAAUGCAAGACUGAAACAAAUCAGAUUUUUAUUUCUAAGAAUCCGACUCCGUGUAACCUUGCGAUAGUUCCUGGAUCAGUAGCUGUCACGUACAAAAUUCAACCUAUAAGUGUAUAGGACUUUGAGUAAGAAGGCACGAAGCACUUAGAAAUUACAUUAAUAGCCUGCAGCCUACAAUUAGCUGCAUGGAAAAAACUAUGAUUAGAUAUAAAUAAAACCAUCAGAGGAAGUAGGGUAAUAAUUUAGACAUGUCAAGUUUAGUAUUAACAGUCGCGCAUAAACAAUUAUAGAGUGCGAAAAUUUAAUAGGAAGGAUAUAGUAGAGAUUCCCUUAUAUUACAAUGUUAAUCUCCAGGACGGGGUACCGGUGGAGGCGAGGAGGGGAACCGGUGGAGGGAGGCGAGGGUUUUAGGUGAGGUUGAUGAGGUGGCGUCGCUCCCUUUCUGUUGUGCGAUGCUCCCUUUCUCCGAUUCCUCCAAUCUGUUGUGCGAGAUUGAAGGACCGAAAGAGCGACCAAAGGGGGGUGAAUGGGAGCCUAUAAAAAUUCUCAACGAGAACAAGGCCUAUGUCCCAAACGCAACCCCAAAGCACACCGUGUGUUUAAUCGUCAAGAUGACGCAAGUCAACUCGUGACAAGCUCACCCUAGGAACGAUAAGAGAUGCACAAAACAUAGCGGAAGCAAGAUAUGAAUUGACUCCAACAAGUUUUCUCAACACCCGGUUAACCAAGAUUACUACUAGCUAAUUAUCUAACUAAGCAUGCAUAAUCAAAGAUUAAUUUAAGUGCUAGGCAUGACUAGCAAAGAGUGAUAAAAAAAAUAACGCAAAUAGCACUGAUUAGCAAGAGACACUAGAGAUUAAAACGCUAAACAAAAUAACAAAGAUUAAUUAGCAAUGGCAUGAAUCAACUAACGACCCAAAAGGAGGUGCUCACUGUGCUGGACGUUCGCAUGGUCUGCUAGUGGAUUUUUUUCUUGCGGUCUGGUGCUCCUGGUGACCUGCGCUGGCCCACUUGGCCUGGUGGCCGGCCUGAGCAGCAAGCAGGCUUGAACUGGGCCGCGUGCUGCUGCCACCUCGCCCGGGCCUGCUUGGCAUACGCUGGGCCUCAAGCACCUGAGCACAGCUGGGCCACCUUUCACACGCGAGCUGGACCGCUGACCAGGCUGCUCGCUCCACGCACGUGAGCGCCUGCUGCCUGCCCCUUCCCGGUGGAACAUUCCUGCGAAUGAACAGAGAUGAACAGAACAAGAACACAAGAAGAACAAGAAGAACAGCCGAGACUUCAAAUCAUAAGAUCUCCUCCCAUACUUCACAGAUCGAGAUGAAACUUGAGAUAAGGAUGCAAUACCCCAAGGGCAAAUAGAUCUAUAAAGCAAAUCCUGAAAGAACUCAAGUAUACAUCACUAAUCUUGGAGAAAACCGAAACCCUAACUCAAGAACACGAUUUGGAAGAAAUUAGAAAUCCAAGCCGGAUCCGUGAGAGAUUUAAAAGGGGAUCAUAUCAAAUAUGCUCUCCAAGGUCUUAGCAACAUUUCCGUUCAACCAAUCUCACGAUAUUCGGGCUCAAACGUGAUGAACGAAAAUUCCCCAAAAAUAGUUCCGAAAAUAGGGAAAAAGAAAAACACUCAGGAAUCAAAGAUUUAGCACAAUUUGAGAUAACAAAUAAAGCUAAAUCAUGAGAACAUCUUCUAUACCAGAUGAGGAACUAGCCUCCUCCCUUCAUCCACCCACUAAAGAUAAAGAAAUCAAGAGAAAAGAGUAAUCACUCUCUAAUCUCCCUCUCUCCUCUCACUUUAAGCACAUGACUAGCCUCUAAGCCAAAAGAUAAUGAGUUGCUAAGCAAAGAGGUACUGAAAUAACCAGCCCCCAACCCUAUUUAUAGUCCAGGACGAAAGACUAUACUACCCCUACAGCUACAACUAAGUUAACUACCCACGCAGGGGUAUUUUGAUCCAAGUUUUUAUCCGCGCAUCGGACGGACACGCCGCCUUCACGACUUUGCUUCGCCUCGACGCAAGCUUCGCGAUGACGCCACGUGCCCUCCUUCUCGAAGCCCCGGCCGCACCGGGCUCGCCCCCGGUUUUGAGGCCCAAACCGGGAAACCUGCCUGCGCGGUGGUUUUGAGGCCCAAACCACCCAAACCGUCCAUCUUCGCUUGGCCGCCAUGCAACCUCCUCGAUAUCGACGCGUGUCCGGCCUCCGCCAAGCCUCCCGCUUGACUCGACCGACACCGUCUCCAUCCUGUCAUGCCCUCUCGCCAUUCCGUGCACCAUGUGGACCGCCCGUGACUUCGCCCGGACUCCUCGGGUCCAUCGGUCCAAACCUACUCGCGUUCAUCCUUCACCGCCUUUGGUCCAUCAGCAUGAACCUUUCGCUUGACCUUCACCGCACGCUGUCGACCGCCACGUCGCAUCCUACACCUGCACAUCACAAGCCAAGAGCAACAUCAAACCAACACAACGUUGUCAAUCACUCAUCAUCCAAGGGUGACCACCAUUGGUCCUCAAUCUUCCCCUUGAUGAGUGCAUUGACAACACCACACAAAUUCAUAGUAUUGAAACAGAAAGACAAGAAACUCAAAAUAGAAAAAUCUCAGUCCCCUAAAAUAAGAGCAACGGCUCUACACAACUGAGACAAAAUCAUGUGAUCCCUCAAGAAGAGGCAGAAAACAGGCUCAACACCAAUCACAUGAAAAUCCAAACUCAAAUCAAAAACCGGCUCCUCAAGAAGAGGUAAACAGCUCAACGCGACCGGUACAAGAGCAUAAGAGCAUAACAAGAGUAUAACAACUCAUAAAUACUCCCCCUGAACAUACACACUCCCCCUAAAAUCAUGCAUACAUGCAAAGUCUCCCCCUUGAUAGAUGAAAGAGUUUGUGUAGAUUUCUCUCCCCCUUGUUGACAAUGCAACCAUCAAGAAAAGCAUGAAAGCACAAAGUGCAUGCCAUGGAAAUGUAGAACCUAACAAGCUUCUCAAAUCUAUCACAAUGCACUCUCAAAGGCUACUAGGGAGAUAAAGCUUGAUAGAUCAUAAGAAACAAUAGCAUCGCCAACAAGAUGAUAUCAAGUUACAACAGUGGAGGUGAAGCAAGUAUCAAGUUUUAGCAAUGUAUAAAAAGAUCACCACAUGAGCAUUCACCUAGUUAAGAAUCACCCAAGCAAGAAUAGACUAGUCCAUCAAGACCUCAUACUAGGAAAAUCCAUUCUCAACAAGAGAUCAUUGCAAACACCCACAUAUGCAUCACAAGUCAUGUUUAAAGUUUGUUGAAACCAAGUGUCUACUGUCAGGCAUACACCCCAGGUCCACGAGUAGGCCUUGGACGGCCCACCAAGGGACGUACUCGGACAAGAUCAGAACAGGAUGGGCGUAUCCUACUCGGACUAGUCAAGUAUGUUUAUGGAAAACUACUCGGGCCAUUACCGAGUAGAACUCUAUAAUAGUACCCGACUAGGACUCAGACUUGUAACCCUGCCCUCCCGUGUAUAUAAGGACGGGCAGGGACCCCUCUCAACACCCAACCGGGAUAGACCUCAACACACGAGGACAACUCCAGUUCAUCAAAUACAAACCAACACACAGGAUGUAGGGUAUUACGCGAUCUAGCGGCCCGAACCUGUCUAAAUCGUGUUUCUUACGUCACCAUUGAUUCCUUGAUUCUCGACGACCCUUACCGCAUAAAAGACCACCUAGGGUACCCCAUAGGCGGGUUGCUGGUUCAAAACACCGACAGCUGGCGCGCUAGGUAGGGGACCUCGUCGAGUUUCUCAGCGCGAACUCAAUGGCAAAGGUCAUCAUCAGGCCCGUUUUCCUCAUCGAAGCCGGCGCCACCUUCAUUUUCGGAUCCUAGCUUUGCAUCGCCGACGGCUCGGAUUCGUUCUGACGCCAGAUCGUCGACGACCAGGAGAAGAAACCAGAAGAUCUGAUCGGAAAAAACCAAGAUUUCGAAAUCAACGAGUUCGAGUUCGACUACGCGUCGGAUUUGACUUCGCCUCGGACUACUCCGACCCUCUGCUCAGGGGUCGGGCGCACCUGACCCAAGGACUCAGGGUCGGGCGAGGCGGAGUUUCACCCCUUGGGGUCGGGCGAAGCGGAGCUACUCCCCCAAAGGGUCGGCCUCAGCCGACCCCAGAACUCAGGGUCGGACUCACCUUGGACUACUCGGUCCCAGCCAGUGUCCAAGUCGGUUUCGACCUCAAAGCGGUUCCCGCACGGACUCCGCAACGCAACCAAAGUCCACCAAGGUUUUCUUACUCGAACCCGAUUCGAACUCGGGCAUGACGAAGACGUCGACUCCGACUCGUCCUAUUCACCAGAAAUACCAUUAUCUGGUCCAGCCCAAGGAUUGGUAAUAACUUCGACAUCACAAGGCAGAUUCGUCCACUGGCCGGGAUUGCGACCAUCUCUUCUUGACCGCGACUACAACUCACGCCUUGUCGCCCAUAUAGACAACCUCCCAUAUCAAGAAGGCGUUCCACUCACUUCCAACUGCAAGGAAAGUUCCACAGAGAUUGCAACAUCAAGCUCCGGAAGCUACUACCCAGACAGGGAGAUACUUGUUAUUACUCAGAAUAACAACCCGAGUACUAGCCAGAAUAGAACCCCCAGGCGAUUAGCACAAAUCGACAACAUCUCCGAAGAUGAGUCUACAGCUGACGCCCCUCACAAUGAAACCUCCGAGCAGCGCAACCAAAGAAGGGCGCGCAAUGCUACUCGAGCCGAGCGACGACAGUUGAUGGCUACAAAUAUUCCCAUUACAAAUCUUGAAAGGGCUUUCAACGCAGUCCAGGCUCAGGAGCACAAUACUCCACUCGCGGCUAUCGCCUCAAUCGACCUUUUAACAACAUUGAUGCCUCAGGAUAAGGAUAACGCAGCCACAGCUCAACUCGUGCAGUGUGGCAACGGACUGAUCGCACAACUCGCGGAGCAAGCUUACAAGAUACUCGACAAAGAAUCACCAAUCCCGUCUGUUCCUCGUAUCACAUCUCAUCAAGAAGGUAGCAGGGGAGCUGCAGACAAUAACACCGCCCCACGAAACGAUAACGCAAUCAACCAACCUCGGCAACACAGCCAAGGUCCAAGCAAGCAUAAGGCCCCUGCUCAACAUAAGGAUGUUGGUGAGGUCAGCUGCACCAACUCGGUUAAAAGCAUCCGCCCUACUCGGAAGAAACACGAAAUGUCCAACUUCAGUGAUUUGCGAGAAAUUCUCAACAGUCGGCGCGAAUGGGAAGUCGACAGCUACAACCAUUUUCCUGCUCUCACAAACCGGGUAAUGAAAACAAAAUUACCCGACAAGUUCAAGCCAACCGGAAUCAGCAAGUAUGAUGGCAAGCAAGACCCAAUUCAAUGGCUACGAUGUUACUCGCUAGCCGUCCAAGCAGCCGGGGGCAAUAACGACACCAAAGUUAUCCAUUUCCCCAUAUGCAUGGAACCCGCACCACUGACCUGGCUUGAGUCACUCAAACCCAAGUCCAUUGACUCUUGGGCAGACUUGACAAAGGCUUUUACCAACAACUUCGCCGGCUCCAUGGCUAGACCAGGCAACAAGAUCGACUUAAGUCAAAUUAAGCAAAAAGAAGGCGAGACCCUAUGCGACUAUCUGCGACGGUUCUUCGAAAAGAAGGCUACCAUAGUCGACAUCUCCAAAACAGACGUCAUUGAGUGCUUCCAGAAUGGACUCUAUGAUCGACGAGCAUACCAAGACUUCGGUCGCCGACGACCAGCUGAUGUCAAAGAACUCAAAGUCAUGGUGCAACAGUGGGCGGAUGAAGAAGACAAAGAGCGAGAACGGUUCGGCUCCCACCGUAACCGCGGACGCGACAACAACCACAACAAUGACCCAGAUAGAACUCGGCAUAACGAUGCCCGGAACACCUAUUCGAGUAACCACAAUCGCAAAAGGAAGCCCAACAACACUGUUGCCGCCAUGACCAACUCCGGGAAAAAGGGACACCGCAGAAAUGAUGAAGGGCCAACCUUCACUGAGCUACUAAAAAAGCAGUGCCCAUGGCAUCCGACUAGCAAGCACUCGGCGAUAGACUGCUACAGCAUGCGCCGAGUCAUGCAAGACUUACCCGCACCACCACCCCCUGAAGAGUACACCAAGAAUAGAGAUAAGGGUAAGAAUAAAGCUCGCAACGACGAAGAUGAGGAAGGCGACUUCCAGACAGCUUCAAAAACUGUCAACGUCAUUUUCAGCGGUAUCCCAGGCACUGCAUCCAAGCGAGCCAACAAACUCGUACUCAGGGAGAUCAUGGCCAUCGAACCAACAGACCCUACACCGUUAAAAUGGUCAGAAGUUCCAAUUUCUUUCAGCAGAAAAGAUCAAUGGACAAAAUUUUCAGAACCAGGCCGUUUCCCACUAGUCCUGGAUCCAGUUGUGGCAGGAUCAAAGUUAACCAAAGUACUCAUUGACGGCGGAAGCGGCCUCAACAUUAUCUUCGCCAAGACAUUAAGGAAGAUGUGCCUCGACGUUACUGAAAUGCUUACCCCAACGGAUUUACCUUUCUACGGCAUCGUGCCUGGAAACGCGGCUAUACCACUAGGACAAGUUGUCCUUCCAGUCACCUUCGGCACUAAAGAACAUUACCGUACCGAGUACAUCAGAUUCGAAGUCGCAGACUUCGAGACAUCUUACCAUGCUAUACUCGGACGGCCAGCACUCGCCAAGUUCAUGGCCAUACCACAUUAUGUCUACCUGGUACUCAAAAUGCCAGGCCCCAAGGGGGAGCUCACGCUACGAGGAGAUCUACGGUGAUCCUACGAAUGUGACACUGAAGCUGUGGAAAUUGCUGCGACUACUCAAGCACCCAGUCCCAUACAACAAGUCUUCACAGCUUCAAAGAAGCUCAAUCCAACCGAACUAGAGAUCUCGGAAAACAAGUCGGGGUCCACAAAGGUGAAACCCGCCACUGAGCAAGACUUCAAAUUAGUUGACCUCCAGACAGGUGAUUCUUCCAAGACAGCCCUGAUCGGAACAGGGCUAGAUCCUAAAUAGGAAUUCGUGCUCGUCAGCUUCCUUCGGGCUAACCACGAUAUCUUCGCUUGGAAACCGGCUGACAUGCCAGGUGUGCCCAAGGAACUGAUUGAGCAUUCUCUCAAUGUCGAUCCCAAAGCUACUUCAAAAUGGCAACGACUACGUCGGUUCGCUCAGGACAGACGAGAAGCAAUCAAAAAAGAGUUAGCCAAGCUACUCGCGGCAGGGUUCAUCAAAGAAGUCUUUCAUCCUGACUGGCUCGCCAAUCCUGUGCUUGUUCGUAAGAAAAACAAUGAAUGGAGAAUGUGUGUUGACUACACCGACCUCAACAAACACUUAUCAAAAGACCCUUUCGGGCUACCCAGGAUCAAUCAUGUGGUUGACUCCACCGCUGGGUGCGCUUUGCUAUGCUUUCUCGACUGCUACUCCGACUAUCACCAGAUAAGCCUCAAAGAGGAAGAUCAAGCCAAAACAGCGUUCAUCACGCCCUUCGGAGCUUUCUGCUACAAAACAAUGUCCUUCGGACUAAAAAAUGCAGGAGCAACUUAUCAAAGGGCCAUACAGAUGUGCUUCGAAAGGCAACUUCACCGCAAUGUCGAAGCUUAUGUCGACGACGUUGUCGUCAAAACAAGAAACCGGGAGGAACUCAUUGCUGACUUGGAGGAAACUUUCUCUAGUCUCCGCGCUUUUCGAUGGAAACUCAAUCCUACUAAGUGCAUCUUUGGAGUACCUUCCGGUUAGCUACUCGGGUUCAUCAUUAGCCAUCGCGGCAUUGAGGCCAACCCGGAAAAAAUAUCUGCCAUCACAAACAUGCAGGCACCAGCCAGCAUUAAGGAUGUGCAGAAACUCACAGGCUGCAUGGCCGCCCUCAACCGGUUUAUCUCGAGACUUGGAGAACGGGGACUACCCUUCUUCAAGCUUCUCAAACGCCAGGACAAGUUCAAAUGGACGGAAGAGGCAGAUGAGGCACUAACACAACUCAAAGACUUUUUGUCAAAGCCUCCUAUACUCACCGCUCCUUCUCCGAACGAAGACUUGCUCCUAUACAUCUCAGCUACUAACUACUCAUGUCGUCAGCACGGCAAUAGUAGUCGAAUGGUCUGAACCGGGCCACGCUUACAAGGUCCAACGACCUGUCUACUUCGUCAGCGAAGUACUCUCGGACUCUAAAACUCGGUAUUCACCGAUACAAAAGCUCUUAUACGCUAUUUUGCUCACCUCCCGGAAGCUGCGCCAUUACUUCCAUGAGCACAACAUCACAGUCAUCUCCGACUUCCCGCUCGGCGAAAUUCUCCACAACAGAGAUGCCACGGGUAGAAUCUCCAAAUGGGCAGUUGAACUCGGAGCUCUCACGUUGAACUUCAAGCCAAGGACAGCCAUCAAGUCCCAGGCUUUGGUCAACUUCAUAGCUGAAUGGACUGAAAAUCAAGUUCCAACACCAGUCGAUCGACCAGAACAUUGGAUAAUGUACUUCGACGGAUCCCUCAAACUUGAAGGAGCCAGCGCAGGCGUAUUACUCAUCUCCCCCAGGGGAGACCAGCUCAAGUACGUGCUGCAAAUACACUGGGAAGCAUCUAAUAACGAAGCCGAGUACGAAGCACUGCUACACGGCCUUCGCCUCGCAAUCUCCCUCGGCAUCAAACGACUACUGGUGUACGGCGACUCUCUAGUCGUUAUAAACCAGGUCAAUGACGAGUGGGACCGGAACAAGGAAAACAUGGACGCUUAUUGCAAAGAAGUCCGCAAACUGGAAACCAAGUUCUCUGGCUUGGAAUUUCAUCACAUCGUCCGCGACAACAACGUUGCCGCUGACGUCUUAUCCAAAAUAGGCUCUACUCGCGCAGAGGUUCCAGCAGGAAUCUUUGUACACGAACUGCGCAAGUCAUCCAUAUCCGACCAAGUCACACCGCCAGCAAUCCCGACUGCUGACGUCUCUCGAGAAAUCAUGAUGAUAGAAGUCGACUGGAGGACACCCUUCAUCGACUACAUCAAAGAUCACCAGCCACCAUCCGACAAAAAUAAAGCUAACCAAACCUCCCGACGAGUAAAAAAUUACGUUCUAGUCGGAGACAAGCUCUAAAGGAAAGGUGCAUCGUCUGGAGUACUCAUGAAGUGCGUCACCAGAGAAGAUGGCCAAGAAAUCCUAGAAGAGAUUCACAGAGGAAUCUAUGGCAACCACGCCUCUUCUAGGACACUAGUUGGCAAGGCUUUCAGAGCAGGCUUCUACUAGCCAAUGGCUCUGGCUGACGCCAAACAACUAGUUCAGAAAUGCAAAGGUUGUUAAUUCUUCAUAAAAUAGCAACAUGUACCGGCCUACAAGCUAGUCACAAUACCUCCAACAUGGCCGUUUGCCUGCUGAGGGCUCGACAUGAUAGGUCCGUUACCAACUGCGCCAGGAGGAUUCAACAGAGUACUCGUGGCAAUCGACAAAUUCACCAAAUGGAUCGAGGUCAAACCGGUCACUUGCCCCAAGGCAGACCGGGUCCUCGACUUCUUGGAUGAAAUCAUACACCGCUACGGUUUUCCCAACAGGAUUAUCACAGACCUAGGGUGAAACUUCAAUAACCACGACUUUUGGGAAUAUUGCAAGAACAGCAGCAUCGACGUCCGCUACGUCUCGGUUGCUCACCCGCGAGCCAACGAACAAGUCGAGCGUGCUAAUGGCAUGAUACUCGACGCCCUGAAGAAAAGACUACAUGACGUUGGCAACACCAGAGGUGGAAAAUGGCUCAAAGAGUUACCAAAUGCUUUGUGGGGUCUCCGUACCCAACCGUGCAAGACUACGGGGCUAUCACCUUAUUUCCUGGUAUAUGGCUUGGAAGCCAUAUUACCCGCUGACAUCAUGUGGCAAUCACCAUCCGUUGAACAAUACGACGAAGAACUGGCAACAGAAACACGGUGAACAGAUAUAGACAGUCUAGAAGAAACAAGAUGCGCAGCGCUAGUGCAAUCUGCCAGAUACCUUGACGGUUUAAGGCGUUACCACAACCGCAACGUCAAGGAGAGAUCUUUCAACUCGGGCGAUAUGGUCCUUAAGCGUAUCCAAGACACGUCAUGGUUGCAUAAACUCAAUUCACCAUGGGAAGGUCCUUACAUCGUAUCAAAGGUUACGGGACCGGGAUCUUACAGACUCCAAGAGCUCUCUGGAGAACAAGUACCAAACUCCUGGAAUAUAGAACAUCUCUGUUGCUAUUACCCAUAGUGGCAUCCGAGUAAUUACUCCAAGGCAAUAACUCAUGAUUACUACUCGGGCUAACUUCCCGACUACCGACUUCAAGAUACCUCAGCUUUGACAAGAGUUACCAACUCAACAAGGAUCACUGCCCUGGUACAAAAUCUCCGUAUCAAUAUUUCUUUACUGAAACAAGGAUACAUCGGGUUACAUACGAGUACAAGUACUCGGACUACACAAAGACUACAAGCAACUGCCUACUGGCGGGCUGCAUUUAAGCCUCAGGCUUUUACUAUAUCACAAGGCCACUCAGGUCCGCCGACCACAAGGGGAAGGGCCCACACGCAAGGAAGAUGCGCAAAACGUAGCCAUAUCCAGGUCCUCUACCCAAGGCAACGCCAGGAACUCCAACAUCGCCACUGCCUUGACAGCGGCAACGAUGAAUCCGGCAAGACACGCCUAGAGGGAACCAAGGCUGCUCUUUUGCUAGCCUUGCGGAGCCAAUCCAAUUUACGGCCACACCUCCACCUCUCAGAGGGCGGGAUGAAGACCGCGGCACUCACCACCCAUCACUCGCGAGUUCCAGCGCGUACUCCAUUGGAUCACGAGCUGCAAGAUGAGGCGUGCGGCGAAACCUCCUACGAGGAUUCUUCUAGCAUCGCGGCUAUCCCUUCGAACGCAGGAGUCUGUGGAGGGAAGGUGGCCUCAAUCUGCAAGGAAUCUUCUAGCACCGGUGCACUCUUUGAUGGCUCUCUACACUCAAAAAGAAGCAACCGAAGACAAUCCAUCGCUACUCAGGAACUUGUUUGGUUCGCUCUCCAACUGGCUCUAUUUAUAGCCGAAAGAUGCAACUACCACCUGCCCAAGGAUUACUAUGCGCCCGUGAUCAAUGAGUCUGACGACUCCUGACUCUGCCCACGUGACGGUACUUAUUCCACAAAGGACAAAAGAGUACAGUACACCCGUGCAUCCACAAAGGACAAAGGAGUAUAGUACACCCGUGUCCCUCAAAAGACGAGUACUCGACAGCAUUACGACUACUCGACACUCGGGACUACUACAAGCCAAGCGUGGCCUACGCUCUCACCAUUAUCCCGGGGCCUUGGACUACUCCGACCCCCUGCUCAGGGGUCGGGCACAUCCGACCCCAGGACUCAGGGUCGGGCGAAGCAGAGUUUUCCCCAAAAGGUCGGGCUCAGCCGACCCUAGGAUUUCGGGUCAGCUAGCACUGCGUAAAACUACUCUUCGCAAGACAAUCACCUCAAGCAACAAGUCCAAUGGCCAAGUAUUCAUUUAUCAAAAGUAUCGUUCAAAGUACUUGACCCAAAUACAAGAGUACAUACAAAGCUCAAGGCUCUUCUAAAGUGACAAACUCCGACAUCUUCGAUGCAAUAGGCUCCGCCUCCUCGAGGUACUACGCUUAUGCUUCUUCUGUGCAGUUGCGAGCCACGCCAUCACCAGCUGCUGUCAAGUCUGCCCUCAGAUAGUAGAACUUCACAACUGCAAGGACCUGUUUGCAAAUAGUUUUGCAGAGUCCCGCCACUCUACUCGGGGCAGCCUUCAAUCGUUCGACUAGUAAUUGCAGCCCUGCGCCUUCUUCCACGAGGGCUAUGGCGUUCACCAAGUCUUCAGCUGCUACAGUUAGCUCUUGGAGUUCGCUCCGAAGUCUUCCCAUGGUCUGGGCAUGAUCUCUGCAUGCCACCAUGGCCAUGGCAAGCAUCACGCCAUUUUGCAUCUUUCAGUCCCGCUGAUGUUCACAAGCAGCCUGUGCUUCCGUCAGCGCGGCCCGAAGAUGUUCGGCUUCAUCCACCACUCGGUCGAGAACUUGGCUCCUUGCAGCCGCCUCUUGCUUCUUGAGAUCUACAAGACAAGUUCAAUCACAACCGACUAUAGUUGGGCAUACUCAGAGUAGGGAAAAUACUUACCCUGAUAUUUCUUGUUCAGCGACUUGUAGCGGCUCUCCAGUUUUUGCUGCAGGACCGCAUGAUCCGUACGCUCCACAGCAAAAGAUUUUGCUCCAACUUUAUGAACCCUCAGAGCUUCCGUCAGUCGGGCACAUUCCUGCUCCAGUUGAUGACUUCGUUCCUGAAAAAGUCCGACUACGGAGUGGUGAGUUUCAAACCUCACAACUACUCGGGACAUGCAACAACUCAACAAGGAAAUUUACCUGGAAGCUCCGGAAAACAUCGAUGGCCUUCUGGAACUCCAAGUCAGAGGGCAGGCUAAGUACUGGUCUUUGGGUACUCUCCGCAAGAUGAGGAAUCGUACCCAUAGUAGCACCUACAACAUUUAUCAUGUCAGCUACCUGCUAUGACUACAAUAAAAAGACUACAGAGACAUACCCGGAGCAGUCGCUUGUUUGGCUUUUUCAACACCCACUACGGCCAGCGAUCCGCCAGCAGAUGUUGAUAAGGCAGCACUUCCUGAGCCCGAUGCAGCGGCGGGAACUUCCGCCGAACGGAUGACAUCUUGGAGCAUCGACAUGGUAGCUCCAAGACGACCGGCGUCAAACCCGGGCACCUCCUCAACGACUAAAUCCUCAAAAGGAACAGAUAUUGUAGUCGAGGGAUCCGACCCUACCCCUAUUUCUACAGGGAUAGUUUCCUCUGCAUCUCUGCACCAAAAUGCGUCACCACAUGAUUUCAAGCCAACUCAAAGUCAUUCAAACAGACAAGAAAGCUCACCGGAUUGAACGUGGCAGCAAUCGCACACGUUUCUUCUCGGCGAUAGGCGGCUGAGUACUGGGCGCCGCGGGAACAACUACCGGCGCUGUCUUCUCGCCAAGGCCUAUAAAGCCGAAGUCAAGACUACAGUACCACUCAAACAAAUACAAUCGGAAGGGACAAUGCUUACCACUGGCGAUCACAUUGGACAGCAAAGUACCAGUAGCAAGUACUGGCGACACCUCCUUUGCAACACCCACUACUCCAGCAGACAGCCCCAGGACCGCUUGGUCAGCAAAGGGCAGCAUGGCAGCCGACGGAGCCGCUGAGGAUAGCUCAGGGGCUACUCCAACUUCUGUUGACAGCACCUUCUCCGACACCAUGUCAACAGAUACAUUGCCGACUUCUGGGUCGAUCACGACCAUUUCUUCAAAAACAGCCUCAUCAUCACCAAGCGCCGUAUCUACAGUCUUUACGAACAAGACAAAAUUCGUCGCAUCAUUAGCAAGUUCAAAUUCAUCAGCUACAGAUACGUUCACGACUACAUACCUUGGUACCCCGAGACUUUUCAGGGGUUGAAGCAGACUUAGCCACAGACAUCUUACGGACUACUCUGCGUCUCUUAACAGGAGGAGAAGGCUCGUCCUCCGACUCCUCAGCGACAGCUUCUGACUCUUCUUCCGACUGCGCUAAGUAGCCAGCAAGAACUCAAGACUACAAACAUCAAGUCGGUAUCAACAACAAAUAAGUCAAAAGAGAACAAGUCAGGUGCAAAAGACAUACCACUUCUGGCUCAUACCAGGCGUCAUACUGACGUAGAGCCGCAGGGAUUACUGGUACUCCCUGAUAGUUCCUGAAAAACUUGGCCAGCAACGCCUCUACAUCAUCAUCGGAUAUAUCUUCAUCGGACAUAUGCGAUGGAUCUUUAAGACCUGUGUACUCACUUCCCGAGUGAGCACGUUUUUGAAGCGGCUGGACUCUUCUCUUCAGAAAACUGCUCGCCACAUGAAUUCCAGUAAGACCGAGUGCCUUCAACUCGGUAAUCUGUUGCAUCAAGUGGUCAAGUUCCGGGGUGUCUUCGGGUUCGCUCACCCAGUUUUCCGCGUGUUUGGGCGCGUGACCAGUCACCACAGGCAGGCAAGGGUCGUGGUUCCCAAUAUAGAACCACCUCUUCUUCCACUCACCAUGGGAAUCAGUCAAGUUGUACUCAAUGUAUGCACCCGAGUUCCUAAGUUGGAACCCAGCGCCUCCGAAGACUUCUGUCCUAUGGACACUAGGCUGCGGCUUACAGCGGAACAACUUCCUAAACAACUCGAGGCUUGGAGGAACUCCCAAAUAAACUUCGCAGAGGUGUACGAAAAUGGACAUAUGCAGGACAUCAUUGGGGUUCAAAUGAACAAGUUGAAGCUUAUAGUACUUGAGGAUACCUCUGAAGAAAUCGGAGGUGGGCACUGCCAACCCCCUCUCCACAAAGUGUGCGAGCAUCACUGUCUCACCUGGAUGUUCCUCAAAUUGCCACGCAUUUGGAAAAGCUGGGCGCCACUCGAGUAUUUCCUACGGCUGUAGAAGCUUGGCGUCGACUAGUGCUUGCACGGCCUCCUCCUUCAUCACCGAAUGCUGCCACGUCACUCCAGGCGGCGGCGGCGCAGUCUGAUUCAUCGGCCCCACCUUCGGCGCCAACAACACCAGUUCUUUCCCCUUCUUGGACUUCACCUUGCCCGCCGCCGGAGCCUUGCCCUGGAUCUUCUCGGGUUUCUUGCCCAUCUUUUUGGUGCGCAUCUGCCGAUUUCAACCUCAGCAAAAGGCACUCACUCUCGGAUCUCUCUCAAAGGGGAGCAAUAGCGGCGGUGGUAUUUGGCAAUGGCGACGGCGCAAGCGUGAAGCAGAGGCACGGGGGAGGAAGAAAAGCAGAUCUGAUUACUGCAGGGGGUAAACCUAACCGAAAGGGGGCCCUCCAGUUUUAUCUCCGCCACCUCCGGUUUUCAUGCGUCAGUUGCGCAACGGACAGAUUAAUUGCAGAUUAAUCGCCUUUAACACUCAACGGCUACUCUUUUCAACGGACUGCUGACCACUUCAACGACAGAGAUCACCCAAGUGCUCGGGGGCUGCGGGUACCGUACCCGUUGGUCAGGUUUUUCUUUUUUCCAAGAUCUCCAAGGGUAAAAUGGACAAAAGCUGGUUCGACCCUAAGCCUGACCCUUCGACUCAACCUAAGGCUCGGGGGCUACUCCAUAUGGAGUGUGAUUGACAUCGCACUACCAUAUAAAAUUACUCGGGACGGAAACAACUCGAAGGAGCAAAAAGAGUACCUUCUAGCCACGUGACAGUACUCGAGCACUUCAGUCUGCAACCUCUACGACUAGCUACUCGGAUAGUGCCCGCAGUGCCCAAGACUGUGGCGCACGACUACAAAGUACUCGGGGGCUUGUCGGGCAUACACCCUAGGUCCACGAGUAGGCCUUGGACGGCCCACCAAGGGACGUACUCGGACAAGAUCAGAACAGGAUGAGCGUAUCCUACUCGGACUAGUCAAGUAUGUUUAUGGAAAACUACUCAGUCCAUUACCGAGUAGAACUCUGUAAUAGUACCCGACUAGGACUCAGACUUGUAACCCUGCCCUCCCGUGUAUAUAAGGGCGGGCAGGGACCCCUUUCAACACCCAACCGGGACAGACCUCAACACACGAGGACAACUCCAGUUCAUCAAAUACAAACCAACACACAGGACAUAGGGUAUUACGCGAUCUAGCGGCCCGAACCUGUCUAAAUCGUGUUCCUUACGUCACCAUUGAUUCCUUGAUUCUCGACGACCCUUACCGCAUAAAAGACCACCUCGGUUACCCCCUAGGCGGGUUGCUGGUCUAAAACACCGACAUCUACUUCUUUUGGUAGACAUCUUGUAACAACUAAGCAAGCAAUAAUAUCACAUUAAGCACAAAAACUUGGUGAAUUUAUGAAGUUUUCAGCAUAUUUCUUUUCAGUAUUCACACAAAGUAAAAUACAUGAAGUGCCUUUGCGGCACAAAGAAGCCAUGCUUCCCCAAGGGGUGCAUCAUGGGCUAAACAUUUGCAAUGAUACCUAGAUCUUUGACCCAAUUGAAAAGAACAUGGAUUCCAAACAUAAGCUAGAUAUGGAAUCAGUAUUCAAUCAAGGGCAAACCAUAACCAAGCAUCUACUCAUGGGUGAUAAGCAAGUUAAUAGAGUAGAAUUUAGCAUUGAAUUUCAAAAACAGUUAUCUCAACAAGUGUACAAUAUCAUCCAGAGCAUAACUGCACAUUGCAUCAAAAUCACCAACCACAGCACUAGCUCACAAGUAGCAUAAGGGAGUACACAAGAUAUAUAGGAGAAGCUCAUCUAGUGCAACAUGAUACAAAAUGCAAUAUGAUAUAAAAAGCAUGGAAACUAAGCUAAAAUGAUAUAGAUGAACAACAUGCCAUACCCAAAUGUGAACUAAGGUAAAGCAUGACAUGAUGUUCAUAUGUAUCAUCCACCACAAUAUAUCACAAAAGAUAGCAUGAUAAGCUAUACAUGAAGAACUCAAAGCUAUCAUGAAGAAGUGGCUAUCCUACCAUGUUUUGUACAAAAAUCAUACAAGUAUAAUACAAGAGAAGCUCCAAAACCCAACUCAGAAAGGAAAGCAAACACCCAACUCCCCCCGCAAACGAGCAAAAGUGGCUUGAUCCAGGAGUUUGGUGAAAAUGUCCGCGAGUUGGUUUUGGGUAGCAACAUAGCCAAGGUCAAUGUCCCCUCUCUCAACAUGAUCUCUCAGAAAAUGAUAUCUCACAUCAAUGUGUUUGGUUUUUGAGCGGAGAACGGGGUUCUUGGCUACAUUAAUUGCACUCGUGCUAUCACAAAGAAGAGGUACACGAGUAAAAUCCAAACCAAAGUCUCUCAAAGUGGAAAUCAUCCAAAGCAGCUGAGAACAGCAGCUAGCAGCAGCAACAUACUCAGCUUCGGUGGUAGACUGAGCAACACUAGAUUGUUUGCGAGAAGACCAAGAGACCAAAGACGAACCGAGAAACUGGCAAGUACCCGAGGUAGACUUACGAUCCAAGCGACACCCAGCAAAGUCCGCAUCGGAGUAUCCCCGGAGCGUGAGUGUUGAGGAGGCAGAAUACCACAAACCGAACUCAGGGGUAAAGCGGAGAUACCUCAUGAUCCUCUUCACUGCCUGACGGUGAGAUGUCCUCGGUGAAGCCUGAAAACGAGCGCACAGACACACGGCGAAGUGAAUGUCCGGCCUCGUCGCCGUCAGGUACAAGAGGGAGCCGAUCAUGCUUCUGUACUCCUUCUGGUCCACCGGUUCGCCAUCUUCAUCCGCAUCUAGUGCCGUUGUCGUCCCCAUGGGUGUGGAGAGUGGCUUAGCAUCAGCCAUGUCAAACUUUCUCAACACGUCCUUCGUGUACUUCCCUUGGUGCAUGAAGGUUCCUUCCUUGCUUUGCUUGAUCUGUAGCUCGAGGAAGAAGGUCAACUCACCCAUCAUCGACAUCUCGAACUCCCUGCUCAUGUCAUCUGCAAACUUGGCAACCAAAGCAUGAGAAGAACCACCAAAAAUAAUAUCAUCCACGUAUAUUUGAAUAAUUAAUAAGUCAUUGCCUUGCCUGAGGAGAAAGAGUGUUUUAUCAACUGAUCCCAUUUCAAACCCAUUCCCAAGCAAAAAGGAUUUCAAUCUAGCAUACCACGCUCGAGGUGCUUGUUUUAGGCCAUAGAGAGCUUUCUGGAGUUUGAAAACACGAUCAGGAUAUUUAGGACUCUCAAAACCAGGGGGUUGUUUCACAUACACUUCCUCCUCUAUGAAACCAUUUAGGAAGACACUUUUCACAUCCAUUUGGAAGAGCUUAAAACCUUUAGCCACAGAGAAGGCUAGAAGGAUUCUAAUCGCUUCCAAAUGAGCAACAGGGGCAAAGGUUUCCUCAUAAUCUAUCCCCUCUUUUUGGCUAAAGCCUCGGACAACCAACCUCGCUUUCUUUCUCACAAUCAACCCAUCCUCACCUUGUUUGUUUUUGAAAACCCAUUUUGUUCCUAUAGGAUGGCAAUUUGGAGGUGGUUCAACUAAAACCCAAACCCUGUUUCGCUCAAAGUUCUCCAACUCCUCAUGCAUGGCAUUAACCCAAUUUGAAUCAGAUAAAGCAUGUCCAAUAUCUCGAGGUUCGAAAGAGGCAACAAAUGCAGAAUGUGCAAUGUGUGAAAUCUGCCUAGAGCUAUGCCUAGUGGUGCGUUCAUGUAAGUUACCGAUCAUCUGUUGUGGAGGAUGACGACGCUGAAUGUGCCGUGGAGCCUCUCGCUCUGAAGUCGCCUCCCCCUCAACAGCAGCUGGAUCACUCUGAUCUUCUUCUUCAUCAUCCUGUAGUGGUACUGGUUGAUGGCUUGAAGUAGUGGAAGUAGAGGUAGGACCAUCAACUCUCGUAGUCGAAGUAGAAGGUACAGGUGCAAUAGCUGGAGCUCGGUCAAUCUCAUCAUCCUCUUCCUCACCACCAUCUACACGCUCUUCCCCUUCCUCAAAUAUGCUUUGCCCCAUUUCAUGUUCACCUGCAACUUCAAAAAUAGGAGUUGUGCAAGGCAUAGUUUCAUCGAAAGUAAUCUCACAAGUUUUCACGAUCCGGUUAGUUUCAAGGUUAAGCACACGAUAAGCACGACUAUGAGAAGCAUAACCAAGAAAAAUCCCAUCCGUAGAACGAGACUCAAAUUUAUCCAAAUUUCCUUGCUUGAGAAUGAAACACUUGCAGCCAAACACCCUCAGGUGACUCACUUUGGGGGAACGUCGAUGCAUCAGCUCAUAGGAAGUUUUCUUUAGGAAAGCUCGCAAAAAGAUUCGAUUGGACACAUAGCAAGCAGUGUUGACGGCUUCGGCCCAAUAUUUUCUAGGAGUCCUAUGCUCAUCAAGCAUCGUCCUAGCCAUUUCACAAAGGGUCCGAUUCUUCCAUUCAACAACACCAUUCUGAGGAGGGACAUAAGGCAAUGAAAACUGGUGUUCAAGACCAAGAUCAUUGCAAAAGGUUUUAAAACGAGCGUUCUUGAAUUCUGUGCCAUUGUCACUGCGGAUAGUUCUCAUGGCAUCUUUUGGUCGCUCGUUUCUCAACCUCAAGAUCAAAUCUCGAACAAAUGGAAAUGCCUCAUCCUUAGACUCCAUGAAGAAAACCCAUGAAUACCUUGAAAAAUCAUCAACGAUCACAAGCACAUACCAUUUCCCACCAACUGAGCAAACACGAGCUGGACCAACAGUGUCCAUAUGUAACAGCUCGCAUGGAUGCUUAGUCAUCACCUGAUUCACAUGUGGAUGAGAAGCGGCAACCAUUUUCCCAUGUCGACAGGGAGCACAAACAAGAUCUUUCUCAAACUUUAAUUUGGGCAAACCACGAAUAAGAUCCAAAGUACUCAAGCAGGAAAGCAAAUCAAAGCUCAAAUGACCCAAUCUCCUAUGCCACUUCCAAAGCUCAGAAGAUGAGCCAGCCACUAAACACCGAGAGAGACCAAAUGACUUGGAAAAAUCAACUCGAAACACUUGACCCUCGGGGACGAUCAUACAAACAAGAUCGCCUCGAGAGUCUAAAAUCCUUGAGGUCCCUUGUUUAAAACGGACCUCAAAACCAUCAUCAAGCAAUUGCGACAUAGAGAGCAAAUUGAAACCAAGAGAAUCAACAAGAGCAACUCGCUUGAGCAUGAAAUUCUCACUCACCUUGAUAACACCUUCAGACAACACCUUACCUUUGCUAUUAUCCCCGAAAGUGAUGUACUCCUUGGUCAUCACCGGGGUGAGGCUGGAGAACUACCUGUGAUCACCGGUCAUGUGUCGAGAGCAACCGGAAUCAAUAAGCCACGUGUUCUCCAGGCCUCCGACCUCAGUUUCUGUGUCAGAGUCACUUUCCUUGUCAUCCUUCUUGGAGUUGAGAGCCAUGACACAGUACCCGUCGCGGUUCUUGCCGGAGUAGAAGUAGAGGCCAUUGAAGUUCUUGCCGUCCUUCUUCUUUGCCUUGCGGUCGUCGUCCUCCUCGCUUGAGCUUGAGUCGGUGUGGUCGUCGGUGUCGGAGUCGACGUCGCUGAGGGAGGCGAUGAAGGCACGCGCUUUGGCCUUCUUGCGAUACUCCUUCUUCUCACGGUCGGUGUACUUCUUCUUCUUCUUAGUGCCAACCUUGUUCUUGUGCUUGUUGUAGUCGUACUUGCUCUUGGAUUUGUUCUUGUCAGGGCAGUCGGCGGCGACAUGUCCUAGCUUCCCACAGUCGAAGCAGUUGUUGUUGUUCCUUCGCUUGUUCUUGCAAUUGUCGUUGAAGCGCAUGAAUCGCCUCGUGAUCAAGGCGAGCUCAUCAUCAUCAAGAAACUCCAGCUGCUCCUCUGAAACAGAAACCAAAGAAGACAAGGCAAACAACAUAGAAGAAGAGUUACUCAAAGACUUAGGCUAUCCAGAGCCUGACAUGAGAGCCAUACUAUUUGGAUCAGUAGGGACUCCUUGUUUUGCUCGGAGCCUCUUGUCAACUUCCGUGGAUUUCAACUUGGCAAAGAGUUCAUCAGUGGAAAGUGUUUCAUAAUUGGGUGACUCGAUGAUAGCAUCAACCUUCGUACCCCACACUUCAUGAUCCAAGGCAUGCAGGAGCUUUAAAGCUCUAUCAUGAUCAGUGUAGGGUAAGACGGUGAUAUUUGCUUUCAUCUUGUUCACAAUAGCCAAGAAACGCUGAAACAAAGCAUCGGCAGACUCACCAGGCAAAUGAACAAAGUUUUCAUACUCACACCUAUAAGUCUCAAAGAGUCUAGCCUUCACCUGACUGUUUCCCUCAUGGAAACUCUGAAGUCGAGACCAAAUCUCAUGAGCAAGAGACAGAUCUUCGACUCGAUCAAACUCAGCACGACUCAGACUCGCAAACAGAAUAUCAAGCGCCUUGCUGUUGGCGUGAUACUUCUCCCUAUCAUCCUGAGUCACACGAGUAGUAGGAAUCACAUAAGUCACAUCCUGAGUGAUUUCCCAAACCCAUGCUCCUCUACUAUUUAGAUGGGCUCUCAUACGAGUUUUCCAAUACCGAUAGUCAGAGCCAUCAAAGUAGGGUGCAGCGGUCGAGGAAGAACGCUUAGAGGUCACCAUAAUAGGUUUCGAAACCGAUUAGGGUAUGGAGAAACCUUAACCGGCUCUGAUACCAAUUGAAGGACCGAAAGAGCGACCAGAGGGGGGGUGAAUGGGAGCCUAUAAAAAUUCUCAACGAGAACAAGGCCUAUAUCCCAAACGCAACCUCAAAGCACACCGUGUGUUUAAUCGUCAAGAUGACGCAAGUCAACUCGUGACAAGCUCACCCUAGGAACGAUAAGAGACGCACAAAACAUAGCGGAAGCAAGAUAUGAAUUGACUCCAACAAGUUUUCUCAACACCCGGUUAACCAAGAUUACUACUAGCUAAUUAUCUAACUAAGCAUGCAUAAUCAAAGAUUAAUUUAAGUGCUAGGCAUGACUAGCAAAGAGUGAUAAAAAAACUAACGCAAGUACCACUGAUUAGCAAGAGACACUAGAGAUUAAAAUGCUAAACAAAAUAACAAAGAUUAAUUAGCAAUGGCAUGAAUCAACUAACGACCCAAAAGGAGGUGCUCACUGUGCUGGACGUUCGCAUGGUAUGCUAGUGGAUUUUUUUUCUUGCGGUCUGGUGCUCCUGGUGACCUGCGCUGGCCCACUUGGCCUGGUGGCCGGCCUGAGCAGCAAGCAGGCUUGAACUGGGCCGCGUGCUGCUGCCACCUCGCCCGGGCCUGCUUGGCAUACGCUGGGCCUCAAGCACCUGAGCACAGCUGGGCCACCUUUCACGUGCGAGCUAGACCGCUGACCAGGCUGCUCGCUCCACGCACGUGAGCGCUUGCUGCCUGCCCCUUCCCGGUGGAACGAUUCCUGCGAAUGAACAGAGACGAACAGAACAAGAACACAAGAAGAACAGCCGAGACUUCAAAUCAUAAGAUCUCCUCCCAUACUUCACAGAUCGAGAUGAAACUUGAGACAAGGAUGCAAUACCCCAAGGGCAAAUAGAUCUAUAAAGCAAAUCCUGAAAAAACUCAAGUAUACAUCACUAAUCUUGGAGAAAACCGAAACCCUAACUCAAGAACACGAUUUGGAAGAAAUUAGAAAUCCAAGCCGGAUCCGUGAGAGAUUUAGAAGGGGAUCAUAUCAAAGAUGCUCUCUAAGGUCUUAGCAACAUUUCCGUUCAACCAAUCUCAUGAUAUUCGGGCUCAAACGUGAUGAACGAAAAUUCCCCAAAAAUAGUUCCGAAAAUAGGGAAAAAGAAAAACACUCGGGAAUCAAAGAUUUAGCACAAUUUGAGAUAACAAAUAAAGCUAAAUCACGAGAACAUCUUCUAUACCAGAUGAGGAACUAGCCUCCUCCCUUCAUCCACCCACUAAAGAUAAAGAAAUCAAGAGAAAAGAGUAAUCACUCUCUAAUCUCCCUCUCUCCUCUCACUUGCACAUGACUAGCCUCUAAGCCAAAAGAUAAUGAGUUGCUAAGCAAAAAGGUACUGAAAUAACCAGCCCCCAACCCUAUUUAUAGUCCAGGACGAAAGACUAUACUACCCCUACAGCUACAACUAAGAUAACUACCCACACAGGGGUAUUUUGGUCCAAGUUUUUAUCGGCGCAUCGAACGGACACGCCACCUUCACGACUUUGCUUCACCUCGACGCAAGCUUCGCGAUGACGCCACGUGCCCUCCUUCUCGAAGCUCCGGCCGCCCCGGGCUCGCCCCCGGUUUUGAGGCCCAAACCGGGAAACCUGCCUGUGCGGUGGUUUUGAGGCCCAAACCACCCAAACCGUCCAUCUUCGCUUGGCCGCCACGCGACCUCCUCGAUAUCGACGCGUGUCCGGCCUCCGCCAAGCCUCCCGCUUUACUCGACCGACACCGUCUCCAUCCUGUCAUGCCCUCUCGCCAUUCCGUGCACCAUGUGGACCGGCCAUGACUUCGCCUGGACUCCUCGGGUCCAUCGGUCCAAACCUACUCGCGUUCAUCCUUCACCGCCCUUGGUUCAUCAGCAUGAACCUUUCACUUGACCUUCACCGCACGCCAUCGACCGCCACGUCGCAUCCUACACCUGCACAUCACAAGCCAAGAGCAACAUCAAACCAACAUAACGUUGUCAAUUACUCAUCAUCCAAGGGUGACCACCAUUGGUCCUCAGAGAUAUAUGCUUUAACUGUCUCUAUAUAAUUGAUAUAUAUGGUUAGAUACGUCAUUCUGUGGUAGCACCUCGCGAUCACAAUGUGUGCCUCUAUAUAUGUUGUGCCAAUGCGCAGUCCAUUCGAGGGAGUACCAUAGCGUGGCUGAACUACUACUGAAAAUGAAAGGCCUAGACUCCUGCAACAGCACAGUAUACCCCUAUGUCUACAACCUGACUUCCUCCUACAUCGACCAGAACAAUGAGGCCACCAUGGUGACCACCACCUUGGUCAUGUUUAUGCUGGCCGUGUUCUUCUUCAACCUCAACCUCUUCAGCCGCUUCUCCGACGUGAGCGCAAUUCUCAACCCUAGCGUCCGCCUCUUCCUCUCCACCUCCCUGUCCCUCUUCCUGCCGGUCAUGUCCUACCUCUUCUCCGAGGCCAAGAACCAAGGUGCAACCACGGCUGCUAGUUAUGGCCAGGUCGGCGACGAGCUGUCACUUCGAGCUAGGACGAUCCUCAUGUGGAUGCUUCUUGUGGAGCUCCUCCGCAAGAAGGUGGAGGCCGUCCUGGUCAACGUGGGCAUGCAGUGGUACUCAGGCGCCAUCGAUCGCUUCGCCCGCAUUGUUUGGCUCGGCUACCUCGUCUUCUACAAUGUCAAAAGCCCUGGCAAGAAGGCGAUCUACGGCACCUUAUGGGUCCUCACUGCUGCCAAAUUCCUGCAAAGGGUCGUGGUCAAGAUGGUGCUGGAGCGUUCCUUCGCCUACGGAAGGAACACCCAGCUGCUAAACUCAUACAUGGCCCAGAUCAUCCAACAAGAGCAAGAGGAGCACGUGGGAUCGUCGUCGGAGCUGUUGAAGAAGUGCGAGUACACUGUGAUGGGAGAAGACAACCUGGAGAGGACGGCUGGCCGGCAUGGCUACCAGGUCGAGCUGAACAAGGCAGCCGUUGUCACCGUUGGUGACAUUUGGACGCAGGCAGCAGCCGAGCCGGACAGCCUCCUCCGGAGAGAACACCUCAGAAGACUCUGCCUCUCCUUUGCUCUCUACAAGCUGCUGCGCCGAAGGUUCGAGGACAUUCCCACAACAAGAGAGGAGACCCGGAACUGCCGGAACCUCAUCUUCAAGGGCAUGUUGAAGGAGGAGGCGGAGAAAGGUGCCGAGGUCGCACUGUUCCAAGUUUUCAACGAUGAGACCCAGUUCGUUUGCGAGUACUACCAUUCCGUCCUACCCGUCGUGUUGUCCAACCCUUUCUUCUUCCUAGCCAACUACAUCUUGUUUCCCAUUGUAGUUUGUGCCUUCUGCCUCCUAACAUUCAUCAUUUGUGGCAAUGGGAGCGUGCCCUACGCCUACCACAGCAUCGUAAGUGACAACUACAUCAUAUACACUGGCGCGACGACGCUGGCCAGAUGCCUCCUGAGAAACAUCGCCCAUUCACCCGAGGUGCUGUUCGCCAGCAUCGACCUAGGCACCACCACUCUGCUCAUCCUGGCCUUCGUCUACGAGGAAGUCAUGGAGUUCCUCGUCUUUAUCCUCUCCAAUUGGCUCAUCGUGUCGCUCCUCUGCGAGUACACCGCCAAGCUCCACUGGCGGCAGAGCCGCAUCCUGUGCUGGCUCAUCCGCGGCAUCCUGUGGGUGCGAAGCAUGCUAAGCCACCCUAACUUCUGCUUCAAGCAGCUCUCCGUGCUAGGGUUCUUCCAACUGUCGUCGCCUUCGCCGUUCAUGGUGCCAACCAAGGCAGUGCCAAAGGAAGUAAUGAAGUCAAUCGUGGAUUAUCUGGUGGCUCACUUGGAUGUCUAUGGCAUCGAUGGCCAUGCCGACCCUCUCAAUUCGGCCUGGUCCUCCACACUGCAACUGGAGAAGCACAGGGCAUACCGUCCCCUGCUCUUGCCAGUGUGUGAGAGCAAGAGCAUUGCUGAGUUCAUCCUCACCUGUCACAUUGCCACCGGCCUAAUGGAGGUGAGGUAUCCACAGGACGAAAAGGAAAUGAGAUCUCAUAGCAAGGUGGCGACGACGCUGUCCAAGUACUGCGCCUACUUGGUGGGCUUUUACCCGGGGCUUCUUCCGGACGACAAGAAUGGGACAGAGCACACUUACAAGAAGAUGAAGGAGGACAUGAAUAAGGAGCUUGGAGGGUGCUGGUGGUACCACCUGUCGCUGCAGGGAACCAGGUACAAGAGGCUGAUGGAGAUCGGCAAAUCGAAGCAAAAGGCCGUGACAAUGGUGCACAACGGGGCCAAGUUAGGGACAGCACUGAUCGAGAAGGCCGAGGAGAACAAUGAGGCGCGUGAGCGUGUGUGGGAGCUGCUGAACGACCUUUGGACGGAGGUCAUGGUGUAUGUGGCGCCAUCGGCCGGCGACCUCCACGUGAAGGCCCACAAGGAGGCGCUGGCGCGCGGCGGUGAGUUCAUCACCGUGCUCUGGGUGCUGUGUACGCACACUGGCAUGACCAGGACGGCCCUCGCACCGUGGGAGGUAGCACGUCGUGCGUUUGAACCAUAGAGCAUUCGCUUCCCGUGUGUGCCGAUUUUUCAAGGACAGCUUGCUUGGGAUGGUUCGUCUGACGUGCUUCAUCCUGGUGCUAAAAAAGUCUUCCGGAGCCUCAAAUUUGAACCGGGUACUAAUACUAAUAUUAGUACCGGGUUAAAAUUUGACCGGUACUAAGAGAGUGAAUGAAAUGUCAUUUUUCAAGUAGUGUAUAUUAAAAAUAGAUAUAUAACCACCCCAUGUGAAUGCACGGGAUGAUGCCAGUAAUUCCUAAAGAUAUGCGCUGGGGUGGGGUGCCGGCUUAAAAAGACCGGAAAGAAACGUAGAUAUGGCACACACAUGCUUGAUCUUUGUCGGUGCUUUAACUGUCUCUAUAAAAUUGAUAUGGUUAGAUAUGUUAUUCCGUGUGAAGGACCGAAACGGCGAUCAGAGAGGGGUUGAAUGGGAGCCUCAAAUGUUUCUUUUUAAAACUUAGGCAACAAUCCAAAAACAAACCUCAAAUCAAAACAAGCGGAAGAGGAGAGAUCCACGAGCCACCAAGGUAGCUAGGUGUCUAUGAUAAUGGUUAAAAGACAUAGCGGGACUCUCGAGAAACACCCAGAGCAAAAACUAUGACAAAAAAAGCUCAAGGUAGAGCAAUUCUGUGAGCUCUAGACGGAUGGUCCGCACCCCAGGGGCGGACGGUCAGGCCCAAGCGGACGGUCAGGCCCAAGCGGACAGUCUGCCCUAGGGGGCGGACGGUCUGCCCCUACCACGCAUAAUUCCUUGAAAACGUUGCACGAGCACAAAAACGCCCAAAACUUGAUCGGAUCAAGUCCAAAUGUAACUAAAAUUGAACCAAAGUAUCUCAAGGUAGUAAAGAAGCUACUCCUAAGAAAUCAUCCCUCUAAGAAAUCAUCCCUCAAAGAUUUUUCAAUGAAUGGGAAACAUCAAAUCAUGUUAAGAACGCCACUUUUUCAACCCUGAAACUUGAAUUGGCCCGAUCUAUGAACUCGUGUGGUUUCAAUCGAAUUCCUUCGCUGGAAGGGAUCAACUCACAUCCUAGUUCAUUUCAAAUCCAUUGGUUUGACUCAAAACCCCACAAAAAUCACAAAUCAAACAAAACCGUGAGAGGAGUGAAGAAGAAAAUAAGAACGUGAAGAACACAAAUGGGAAUUGCACAAAGAGAUCAUCUCCAAAAUCCCAGAGGACACGAGGAGGUCAGGGCCUCCAUUCCCGCAACAAAACUUCGGUUCACUACACGGAUUCAGUGUUCAAAUCAUCCGAGCACAUCUAGAGAGAUUAGAGAGGGAGAGGAACUAACUCUAAUCUAAGGAUAAUGAAGCACUAAGCUAGAGAUGAAGGAGAUGCUAAUGAAGUGCUCAAGAGGUCCUGAAACAACCAGCUCCCAUCUCUAUCUAUAGUACAAGACUAGUCACUAAAUUAACCCUAACACUACUACUAGGAUAACUACCCACGCAGGAGUAUUUUGGUCCAAGUUUUUCUGUUCUCAUCGGACGGACACGCCGCCUUCACGACUUUGCUUUGCCUCGACGCAACCUUCGCGAUGGUGCCACAUGUCCUCCUUCUCGAAGCUCUAGCCACACUGGGCUCGCCUCUAGUUUUGAGGCCAAAACCGGCAAACCUAUCUGCACGUUGGUUUUGAGGCCCAAACCACCCAAACCGUCCAUCUUGUCUUGGCCGCCACGCGACCUCCUCGAUGUCGACGCAUGUCCGGCCUCCGCCAAGCCUCCCGCUUGACUCAACCAACACCGUCUCCAUCCAGCCAUGUUCUCCCGCCGUUUAGUGCACCAUAUGGACCGCCCAGGACUCCGCCCGAACUCCUCGGGUCCAUCGGUCCAAGCCUACUCGCGUUCAUCCUUCACCGCCCUUGGUCCAUCGGCAUGAACCUUUUACUUGACCUUCUCCUCACGCCAUCGGCCGCCACACCGCAUCCAACACCUGCAUGUCAUAGACCAAGAGCAACAUCAUUCCUACACAACGUUGUCAAUCACUCAUCAUCCAAGGGUGACCACCAUUGGUCCUCAAUCUCCCCCUUGAUGAGUGUAUUGACAACACCCAACACAAAUUCAUAGUUCAAAGAGAAAGAAAAAAAGAAACUCAAACCACGAAGUCUUAGUCCCCUAAGACAAGGACAAUGACUCUACACAACUGAGACAAGAAAACACAUGAUCCUUCAAGAAGAGGCAGAAAUGGCUCAACACCAAUCAUGUGAAGAUCACAAGCUCAAAUCACACACCGGCUCCACAAGAAGAGGUAAAAAGCUCAACACGACCAGUAAAAGAGCAAAUCAACCAAAGGAUCCUCAAGAAGAGGUAAACAGCUCAACGCGACCGGCAAAAAGAGCACACGAGCAUAAAAGCUCACACAUACUCCCCCUAAACAAAUGCACUCCCCUGAAAAUAUGCAAUUUCUCACCAAAUGAAUUUGUAUAAUAGCCCACACGAGCAUAAAAACUAACACAUACUCCCCCUUAACAAAUGCACUCCCCUUGAAAACAUGCAAUUUCUCCCCAAAUGAAUUUGUAUAAAAGCCUCCCCCUUUGAAAGUCUCCCCCUUGUUGACAAUGCAAACAUCAAGAGUAGCAAGAGAACACAGAAAUGCAUAUCAUGAGAUGCCGAAUCUACCAAGGUAAACAAAUACACCACACAACACUCACAAAGGCUACGAGUUCAUCCAAUGACAGGUAGAUCAUAGAAAGUAGUUGCAUCGCCAUCAAGAGGAUAUUAUGAUAUAAGCAUAAGGCAUAGCAUAUGUCUAGUUUUAGGAAUUUGCAAAAAGAAGAUACAAGCAGGAAAGAACUAAUCCAUCAAAGCUCAUACAAGGAAGAUACAUUCUCAGCAAGAGAUCAUUGCAAACACCCACAUAUACAUCACAAGUCAUGUCAAAGCUUGUUGAAACCAUGUACUUACUUUUGUUUAGCAGACAUCAUAUAACAACUAAGCAAUCAAAAGCUCUCAAAAGCUCGAAGGUCAUCUACCACUGACAUAGAUGCAGCCUGGAGGUUGAAGAUGAGGACUUUUCACUUUAGCCCUCGAAGAAAAAGGAAAUCCUAAUCUAAAAGUGUGUCUUGUAGGUUUCAUGAAAAAGUUUUCAGAAAGUUUAGAUUAUCGCGGUCCAAUCUGUCUUUAAGCUUUUGCGCGUUAGCCCUCAAGUUUCUAUACAAAAUUAGGUUUGUGCCAUCGGUUUCUCGCAUUUUAGCACUUGGAAGCUUCUAACCCUCGCCAGCAAGUCCUUAUAUCUUCUUUAAGUUGGGGGUAGCUGAGAGUAGAGGGGAGAGGGAGAGGGCGGUGGCGGGAGAGGGAGGGGGCGGCGGCAAGAGAGGAAGGGGAGAGAGACGGACGGUGUGUGGGGGGAUGGGGGAGCGGAUAAGGAGAGGCCGGUGCGCAAGGUGGGUGUUGGGUCUUUAGUACCGGGUGGCAUUUAGUACUGGAUGGAGACUCCACCCAGUACUAAAAGCACUCGGUUCCAUCUAUGAGCAUAUCUAGAUGACAGGGAAGCACUUACCCUGCUUGGCUAACCACUGCCUUGGUGACAAGGCAUACCUAAGUACCCACAGCUAAACCUUAUUGCCUGAAGGUCAUCGCAUCUGUCAAAUUUCAGUGAGUUAAAAUUUGACAUGCCAUAAGUAGGAUUAAGCAGCCUGUUUUAAGCGGCUAGCUAGUAGUACCCACUUGGUUUUUUAUUGGUUAUGGAAGUCCUCUUGUCAGCACAAACAUAAAGUUUUCUUUGUUGCUGCUCAAGGACAGGUUAGGCAUCGUGAAUCUACUUUGAAGAAGAAACAUGGAUCUUCCAUCAUACGACUGUGUUUUGCUCUCAUGCAAUUGACGAAUCCUUGAUUCAUCUCUUUAGUUCCUUGGUUGCCCCUUUGCACACUGCUAGGGAAAGUUUCUUCAGUACUGGUUCGUAACCCACCUUUAGGAACGGUUGUGCAACCAGUAUUGCUAGUUCAGUACUAAAGGGGGGCCUUUAGUACCGAGUCAAAUAACCGGUACUAAAGGAGGGCCUUUAGUAGUAGUUGUUUAUACCAACUGGUACUAAAUUGGGUGCCACAUCGCACGUGCUAGAGACCAAUUUAGUAUACCAACCGUUACUAAAUGCUUUUUUUCUAUUUUUUUCCUUCCCAUUUUCUUUUUUGUUUCUUUGUUCUAUAUUGGUAUUAUUUCCUUUACACGUGUACUAGUUAUAAUAUGCUAAUAUAUAUCUAUAACAUUACAUUUGAGAUCUUAGAGGGAACCACUUCUGAUAAUAGUUCAAAUACAUAAGAGAAGUCAUUACUUAAGUUCGUACAUCAUUACUUAAGCUCUAGAGAAAGGUUCAGACACAUGAGGAAAGGGUACAUCCAUGCAUGAUACAUAUUUCAUUCUCCGAAAUGCUUCCUUAGAUAUGAAACAUAGUUUAUGUCUCCAAUCUUAAGUCUAGAACUUCAUCAAUAUAAGCUAGAGCAUGAAUUAGUGCACUCUCUAGCACUUCAGAAUGACGGUCACAUGAACUACCAUUAAUCUCGAACAAUGGAGGCAUUGUCACUUGAAAUGGCCUGUAGAAAGCGAGAUGAGCCUAGAGCUUCAAAUCUCUGGUAUCGGGUUUCCAUCACUGUAACUAUAAUUCAACACUUCCAAGGCUUGCUCCAGAAUCACCUGAAAACUCAUUGCCACAGAGGUUUUAUGAAAGAUAUCCUAAAAGAAGAGAAUAAAGUGAUGAAAUAUAAAAGAUGUAACAUAAUUAAAGAUAAAAGGAUGAUUAGAUAUAUAUUCCAGACCAUAUCGUGUUGAUUCUGCUGACAUAGCCUCUUAGCAGUUCUAGUCAUAUUGCUUUCUCCCUCCUCAAGCGCCUUUAUUUUGAAAUAUGAGAAGUUUGGCACAAAGUACCCAUGAUCCUUAAGUUGUUGCAGGCAUGCCUCCACAGUGGUCCUUUCAAAAGUUGUCACACCUGGUUUAAAAAAAAACCAAGUGCUGCCUAUAUGUAUGUCAGGAUCAAGUUUCAUAUAUAUAGUGGCAUCAUUAGUGUAUAACAGCAACAGUAUCACGUAAAAAGAUACAAAUAAAGACUUACGAGACUAUCAGAGAUACACAUCUUAAACCCUGGAAACAGAGGCUACAAACUUCACAAGCAAUCGACUAGGGGUUGCGUACGCCUAGAACUCAGCACCAUCUUCAUAACAAACUUGAUAGCAGCUUCUUCUUCUAAGCAACGUUGGUUAUAUCAAGGGUGAGCACAUGUCGUACUCAACAAGUGUGCGGAAAAUAUGAAUGCAAGGCUUAAUCAAGGAAAGGCUGACUGGUUGACAGCAUUAAGCAUUUUUAGUUGGUCAAAUUUUAUCAGCACCUGAUUACUAAGGUAUAAGUAUAUACCAACCCACAAUUAACAUAAGCAUAAGCUAUAAGCAUAUGGCACAACCAUAACCACGAUUUAAGUCCAUGCUCAAGCGUAUUAAUCAUGUGCGGGUCCAGGCCGUUCUUAACCGUGAGCACGGCUGAUCGAUCUGUUUUACACUAUGCAGAGGUUGCACAUCUUUACCCACAAGUCGAGUAAAAUUUUAGAAGACCUUUGGACCCAACCAUGUUGUGCAGAUCAGGCACUCAUCACACUACUGAUGUGUGACUGCAUAGGGACGCUACGAGGCUUUUACAAAGAUUUGUUAGUAAGUGGUAACCUGCUAAGGUUUCGGUAUCUGACGUGCAUAAACCUCCCUAGUGGGUAUAGUAUCUUAGAGAAGCCCACUUCCCAAGAGGAAGUGGUUAUACAAUGACUUAGUGCCCCCUCUUGCCCCUUUCAGGUAAGAUUACCCCAAACUAGAGUUUCUAAUUAAUUAGCUAAGAUGAGAGCCAUGAUAGUUCUUGUGGUUGCACUAUUUUCCUUGGUGGUUCUCCAUGUUUCCAUUAAACAUAAUGAUCUUAUCUUAGUGAAAGGUAUAGCAUAAAUAAAACAGGUUUAAUCAUUGAUUUCAUUAGAACCACCACAUCCCAAGUAAAGCAGCUGAGCAUAGCUACCCAAUAGAGAGAUAAACCCAGGUUGACAAGGGAUGAUCAUAAAAACUAGGCAAACCUUAAUAGGACCCAUCAAAUUAAAUACAAGCAUAUGCAACCGUGAUUAAAUAAAGUUAUUGGGAUAAAAGCACAAGGACACACUUGCCUUUCUCCAACGAAAAAUUUCUCUUACUACUCUUCAGCUCUUGCUCUCUUGAAACUCUGAAUUUUCAAAUCUUGCGAACAGCAAUCCUUCUACUUGAAGCAAUCAUCGGCACAAACAAACAAGCAAACAAAUAAGUACAACUAAGAACAACACACCAGUCAAAGAAAAAGCUUUAAAAGAGCGUAAUAAAGGAUAAGGCUUGAUUUUAAGAUUACGCAAAUGUGAAAAACGCUGAGAACGGAACUAUGGUUGAAAAGAUAAGGCUAUCCAGAGAUUUGAAUUCUAAAAGAAAAGACAAGAGCUACAUGCUGCAUUUAUUUUACUUGAGAAAAACAACGUAAAGAUAUUUUAGAGAAAUAUCCCUAGUUAGAAUUAAUAAAGUCGUAUUUAUAUUUACAUAUGAAAAGAUGAUGUAAAACUUAGUCCAAUUUUAUUUAUAAAUAUUACAUUUUAUGCAAACCAAACAUUUAAUUUAAAAAUAAGGUACAUGUAAACAUCUAAGCACAUAGCUUUAUGAUUCGGGUUGAACUAACCAAAUUAAAAUUUAAAAACAUAUUUAUAUUCAUAUUAGUCGAAUUAACAUUUAAUUAUGAAAACUUGAGAUAUAACCUAUGUAACAUUUAAUUGAAUAAACAUUAAUCAAAUUGAAUUUAAUUUAUGAAAAGCUGAGGUAUAUUUCUAAUUGGCUUUUAAUUGGAAGAAUUAUUUAGAUAAGCGUUACUCAAAUUAACUUCAGUUUAUGAAAGAUCGAUAUAUAACCUAAUAUGCUUUUAUUUAGGAAAGUAUAUGAAGUAGGUAUUAAUCAAAUUGAUGUUUAUUAUGAAAAGCGGUGUAUAACUCUGAGUAGAUUUUAUUUAGAGAAGAAACACGCUUAUCAGGCAUUAAUCAAUUUAAUAUCAAAUUUAUUUUCAAAAAAUUUAUGAAGGCAAACAUAAUGACUAACGUGUAAUUUAUGUUGUUAUGAAUCUAACGCAACUUGAACUGAUUAAAAUAUAGAACCUAUGAGCUAAACAAGGUUGCAAGAAUCUAGUCGUAAUUAACCAUAUACCUCAGGGGUUAGCAAGGAAUAUUUGUGAGACACAAAUAAUAGUGCUCCCAAAUAGAUUUAUGCUCAGGGAUAGAUAUUCAAACGAGGAUGGUUUGGGCUCGGUUGCAGGGACCUAUCUUCCCUAGGGGGUUAUUUGUAGAUUGCCUAGACACAAAGAUCGUUUGAGAAAUUACCAAGUCCUUUAUGGGUCAAACAGCAAAAGUGCCACCUCAUCUUCAACCUCCAACCGAUUUUUGCAUCAGCCCAUGGCCAAGCCGGUCCUGCCGAUGGUGGCGACCGGGGCCAGGGCAACUCGCGCGGCUGUGGUGUGGCUAUGCUGCCCAGUCGGUGACACUCGGCGUGCAAGCCAGGGGUACAGGAUACAGGCGUUGAUCGAAGGCUCAGGAUCCAAGCGAUGGGGCCCCUCUGGCGACGAAACUGGGAUGGCGAACGGCGGUGGGUGCACAUCUAGGCGUCGCAAAGCUCAUGGCGUCCUCCUCUGCUCAGACGGGCGAUGGUCGCGAUGAAUUGGUCGGUCAAGAGAGCGAACGAUGACCUGCUCAUUACUUCUCGUGGUGACGGGGCUCCAGUGACAAUUGGACGGCGGGAAGAGGUAGCGGGCAUGCAGCCUGGCAACGUGGAGCUUGUCCCGGUGACGGACUUCGCUGACGACGCCCAGGUCCGGAGAAUCAGCGGUGGCGCUCAGCUCUCCGACAGGUGCUUGCGGGUGGCGGAGAUUUGGCCGACGCUGGGUGGCAGAGCAAAGGACCAGCAGGCGGCGCAAGGAGGGCGCUCUCCCUUUAUAGGGUUGCAUGGAACCCUAGUGGCGCGCACACCGAGUGAGGCCGGUGGUGCCAUCGGCCUUGCUUGGCCUGGGAGGCACGGGCCGCGAUGGACAGAGAUGACGAAAACAGGCGCACCUUCAAUGCGUCUUGUGUGCCUGCUUCACCACACUAGAUGAUGAACCUGUUUAUGUGCUCCACUGUAGAAGUAUCAUCUUGGCCCGAGAACUUGGUGAAGUCAGGCUCCUUAUAGCGGUGUGGGAACGGUAGCAGAUCGUACGCUGGUGGAUAUGGCAUUCUGUACAUGUACGUCUGCACCUUUGGCUUGAGCCCAAAUUGAUCUUGCAUCACUUUGGCUAUCUUGGAAGUCCAAUCAACCUGCUGCGAUUGUUGUCUGGCUUGCGGCAGGAUGAUGGGUUGCAUAGGUUGCGCCUGGUAGUGGAUGGCCGACGGGAUCACUUGCUGAGCGAUCGACAUUGGCUGUAGUGGUGUAGACGGAAUGAUCGGCCGAGGGGCCGAUAUCUGACGCUGGUAUGGGUUCUCCUGGUGAGGUAUGUUAAUAACCCCAUCAUACACGACUCCCGAGGACUCAGCCUUGUACGGACUUGUAGAAUUCACCUUCUGAUUGGCCUCCGGCGCGGCCUGCUGUGUCAUCGGCUGAAGGGCCGAUGCUGAUGGACUCUGAUGUAUCAUCGGCUGGGAAACCGAUGUAGAGGUGCUCUACUGGUACUGCUGGAUCAUCGGCUGAGAAGCCAAUGGUGUUGACAUCUGUGUAGGAUCCCUUGAUGCUAUGGUGAAAGAUCCAGGUGGCAUCUCGUAGCCUGUGGUUGGGUCCCAUCCCAGCGACGAUCCUGCUGCCUCCCAUGGCACCGAUGAUGUCAACAGCGGCUGCAUUGGAGGAACAGGUGUAGGCUAAAGUGGUGCUUGUGAUGGAGAAGGUGGUGAACCACCGUAGCCCAAGGGCGGUGUAGCGUUGUAUCGUCCACUUUGCAUCUGCAUCAGCUGAGGAGCCGAUUGAAACACAUCGGGUGUCGCCGAAAGGCUUCCGAUCGGUGCACUGAUAGGAGGAGCGUAGACUGGCCUGCAGUACCCCUGGGCCACGCCAUUGGCCAUAGAGCUGAUGAUCGUGUUAUACAUGGUGUUAUUAAUCACUUUGGAUUGGUCAAUGAGAGCUUGGCUCACAGACUGGUGGAUCAUCUCGGACAUCUUCCCCGAGUCCUCAGCGAUGGUGACGUGACGAGGACUUGGGAGAGUGUUUUUCUUAAUGGGUUCGCCGUUCCUGGUACGGCUGUAGGACUAGAGGAAUGCCUUCUUGAACUCUUCAAUGGCCUUCACCAUCUCAGCCCUAUAGUCAUCCUUGAGAUCUGCCUCGGUGACUCCAAUGACGUUGUCAUCUGAAACUUUUGCAACCUUUCCCUUAGUCAUGUUGGAUCUUCAUUCUUGCUCCCACCGGGCGUGCCAAAAGUGUGUUGGUGCAAAAAUUGAAUAGUGGGCCCGAUCCUCGCGUCAAACACACGACCCAGGAGAAUCUUCUUAGCUCCUGUUUGGGUUAUUGCCCUGGUGCGGUUCGCGCGGCGUGCCAGUCAAUCUGACUUGUUGAUUGACAAGGAAGAACAUGUGUCAGAUAACGAGAGUCGAUUGGCUAGUGUUCCGAUCUGCUCUAAAGACGUAUCGGCAGAGUGGCCGAUAGGGUAAAGAGACGAUUGGCCAAGAGAUCGGCCGAUAGUCAUGUAGCAAACUGUAAAGGAAACUGUGAAAAGCGAGCUAAACAGCGCUACGUGAACAACACCUGGAAUAGAUCUAAUUGGCUGUAGCACAAUAAAUUGAUAUGAAAAGUAAGGUAAAAGUCGAUCGGACGUGUUCUAAGCUAGAUAACUAGUGAUAAAAACUAAAACAAUAGGAAAACCUAUAAUUCUAGCAAGUAUCGAUAACUGGUGAAUAAAUCUAAACCAGACGAUAGCGAUGCGCCCGAAGUCAAAGCUUAGAUGUUACUCGAGAAGAAGAACUUAUGUUUUGGCUGGAGAUCGAGUUGAUGCAGUCCUGCCAAUUCGCACGAACUCGUGAAAAAAGAAAAGAACUUAGCGAAGUCGCCGACUUGAAAGUAAAUGCGUGAAAUAGUAGAUUUGUAUUGAUUUGAUGUGUGGUUUUUUACAAGCCCCUCGGGGCACCUAUUUAUAGCCUAUUACAAUACACCUCCUGGUCGAUCAUGACUUGACUCUAUCUCUAAUUUAAAGUAAUGAAUCUUGAAUCUUUACAUACAAAUUUGACUCGCAUCGGAGUCGAACUCCACCUAGGCCUUCACGGGCCUAUCCUGCUUCUAUCCUCCAAGCGGCCUCCUUGGCCCAUUCAAGCCCUUAUCGACGCAUCGGCCGAAUCACUUUGGCCACCAUCGGCCGAUCCUUACUGAUGCUAUCGGCCAUCACAUAUGGCUCCUAUUGGUCAAAUCCUUUAACCAUUGCUUCUCAUUCAAUUUCAUCGGCCAUUUCCCUUUCUUCUUGACGCCGAGCCAGCAUGUGUCAAAAACCGGCGUCAACAGUUGUAUUCUUAGUUGCCGAGUGUUUUUUUACUGCACUCGGCACAGAUGUUUUUUGCGGAGUACAAUAUGUUUGCCGAGUGCUGCUCUCGAAGCAAUGCACUCGGCAAACCCCUAGGCACUCAGCAUAUAUAUUGUUUCCGGUAGUGCUGUAAUAGGACCUGUUUUCUUUAUUUCCUUUUAAUUUGUUUCUUGAGCUGUACUUGUUACUUCUCUUCUUCCUUUAUAUAUAUAUAUAUAUAUAUAUAUAUAUAUAUAUAUAUAUAUAUAUAUAUAUAUAUAAAAGCAGGAGGGGAUUACCCCUCCUGUAAAACUGGCUGCUUUGGCAGCUCUCGUACGAAUACAGAUUUCAGGUUGGUGUCUCGGCGCCGUUGUUUCGUCGAAAAAAAAAAUCUUGAAUGAGGGACACGGUUUGCCGAUGAAUACUGCUGAAAUCAACAAGCUGGCCAAGAGCUUUAAAAAGUGGUUGACUGUUGAAAGCUAAAGAAACAAAGCGCACUCAGUCAAAGACACAACUUCCACAAAUUAAACAUGAGCGCGAAGCAGUUCAUCACGAUGGAGACACACGACUGUGCGGACAUGAAGCUGUUGAUGCAUGCGGUCUCCUGAUCAAGUACCAGAAGGUGAUGUACCAUUACCUGCUACUGCUGGCGGAGGAGAUGGUGCCGGCGGAGGGUUCUGCCAUGAGACCUUGUACUCCAAAUCUUCUUCCGUCUUGCAAGCGACCUCGCCGCCGUCAGGGAUGCUUGGAUAGCUGCGGAGGAAGGUAACCGGCCAGCAAUAAUAGGUCUUGUUGAUGCUCUUCUCCGAUAGCGCUGGCUUGUAGGUGGUCUCCACCACCACCAUUACGGGGAAGCCGAGGCUUCGGUCGACGAGGUGCCUGUCGUAGAGGUAGUACAGCGAUGCAUUUUGUCCUUGCUGUGUGAGGCUUAUCCACCUUCUGUAUCUGUGCGAGCUGUGCGGCUGCAGCUCGAAGCUGACAUUCCUCUCCGGAUCCGGCUUGAACCAGGAGAGCUCCACCAUCUCCACGAAGGACGCAUUGGGGAUGUCCAUGAUCCUGACGAUGUUGAUGUUGCCCUGGAUCUGGCCGCGGCCGCUGGGGUUGAGGGCGUGGAUGAUGAUCAACAUCUGCACCUCUUUCGCUGGCUCGUACACACGCGUGGUGUUGUUAUAAUUCCACCACCAUUCUAUUGUCUGGACAUAGCCGUAGCUCUGGAAGCCCAUCUCCACAGGGCGGUGGACGAAGACGAUCACCAUCACCACCACUGCAACGGCGAGCACGGAGACCACAAUGGCCACCAGUGAGCGCACCGUGGCUAGGAAGGGGAAUGUAGUGUUCUCGCCAGCGCGGCAUGCUGCCAUUUUUUCUGUGUCGGUUCACGUAGGUAGGGUGGAUGGACUUGUCCAGGGACCUGCCAUAUAUACCCAUAAACUACUGUCCGAAUGUCCAUUCCCUUUGAUUAGAUGACUCAGAUUAAUUAUGACUUUGCUAAUGGCCGAAGCUAGCUAAUUGUUACUUUCUCUGUCCCAAAUUAUUAGUCCCACAUUUUUUUUCUAGAUAUAUAUUUUUUACCUAUGUAUCUAGAUGCGUAAUAAAAAACUAUGUAUUUAGGAAAGUCAAAAUGAUUAAUAAUUUGGGAGAUGACUAAAAUUAGCACUACGCUGUUUGGAUAGUACAUGGGCUAAUAGCUCUGGCAAACUUAUUUAUUCUGCACUUGGUUUCUACUGCUCCAGCUUGAUUUUGCGUGCGUGCGGGAAACGGAUUAGGUGGAACAGUUAGGGGUGUUUUUAUAUUUCUUGAUAUGAUGGUUGCUAUUAGCCCCAACUAGCUAUGUUUGGCCAGCUAAUAAAUGGGCUACUGGUUAACAGUGGACUUUGGCUAACAAUUAGGCCGCCUAUUAACCUCUCAUGUUAGGAUCAGCCAUGGCUAAGUUUUGCACACACACAUGUACACACACCAAUCUUCAAAAUUUCAGCCGAACUCCACCAUCUCCAACAGAGUUUUGGAAUUUUGGAACCAGCAGAACUCCACCAUCUCCAACAGAGUUUUGGUGGUACUAAUAUUUUUUUAGAUUAAGGAAAAUCAUCCGGCCUCGGUCAUCCACGAGUGAAUGCAUGCCUAUAGCCAAACUUACACGAUCUUAACAGAAACUUAGCGCUUUGGCUGCUCUAGAAGUACUCACUACUAGAAAUACAACCUCUCGUCUAGUGGUGGCGGGGGUGGCGGCGGAAGGGGGUGGCGGGGUGGCGGAGGAGGAGGGCCGGGGCAGCAAGGUGCGUGGCAGUGGAGGGGGCCUAGGCCGGCUGGGUGGCGGCGGAGGGGUGGCGGAGUGGGCUGGGGCUAGUGGGGAGGGGCAGCUGCAACAAAUGAGCUCAAAUUAAACCUCAUUAAGGUCAAGUGGAACCAUUAGAGCCUAAUGGAACCUUUGAACAACAACACAUCCAAGUAAAAAGACACUUUUGACCCUCACAAGCUAAACUAGUAUUUGAGCCAUAACUCGAAUUUUUGUUUAAGAACAUCAAAAUCUGUCCAACUAAGAGUUGUAGAACUCAUAUUCACUAGCAGCUUUAGUAUUUAACAUUUGCUUUGAAUCUGAACAUAAAGCAUUCAAAAACUCGAUUUUCAAUUCUGUGCCGAUUUGUGCAAAACGUGAAAAACCCAAACUUUGGAGCCCUUUUUCUCUCAUUUUCAUAUGUAAUAUAAAGCCAAACCUUUUACAAAAGUUUUAGAACUACGAGCCAUGAACAAUUUUGAUUAAAAGAGUUAGGCCAAAAUCUACACAAAAGGGUUUCGAAAAUGCAGUCAAACAUAGCCAAAUCGGUCAACCGGCGCGAAACUGAAAUCUCGUCUAAAGUCUGAAAUUCCAGACUUUUCGCUGAACUUUGACUCGAUUUAUCUUCAAAUCCGUUUGAGAUCUGAACCAAAACCUUUUGUAAAGUUUUAAGUCGAGUCGUAGAUCUACAAGUUUGACAAAGGGAUAUUUGAAUGUUUAGUUCAGAAAUUUUGAAGAAAUCGCCCUCAAAUCUGGCCCUUUCCCUGCCCUUUCCUUGUCUCGCGGUAGACUCGCCAGAACGCGACGCGACGCGCGUCACGCCUAACGGCCACCACGUGGCGUGCCUUCCCCGGCAAGCCAGCUUGCCGCUGCCCAACCGGCACAACUUCAAGACAAAACAGAGCGCCGUCCUAGCCAACCGCCCGCCGAGGCCAUCUCCCACCCCUGCCCGCGAUCCCGACCAACCCCUAGGCGUGCGCCACGUCAUGGCCACCCGUUGGUCAAGCCGCCUCUGCCAAUCCAUCGCCAGACAACGACUACACGAGCGCCUCGCUCCGCCAACUGUUGGUCGCGGAAAAGCCGCGCUUGCGCGCUCCAUAUCGCGCCGGCCCAAUACGGGCGAGAUUGCAUCCCACGACCUCCGCCCCGUGCGCCAAUGGCGUUGCCGCCCCAUCUCCAGGCGUCAGCGCACCACCUCGCCCUCUGGCCCCAGCCUCCAGCGCCUCAAGCCUCGCCUCGUCGCUCCGCUCCCGCCCUGGCCCCAUAAAGGGACCAGCGCCCCCGCCGGAGCCCCUUCUUCCCGCGCCACAACCUUCGCCGCCCCUGUUCCACUGCGCCGCCACCGAGCUCCAAGUGAACCCCCUGCUCCGCUGCUCCCCGCCCCUCGCCACCGCCACAGCCAGCUUCGUUGCACCCCGCGGAGCUCCCAAGCCCGCUCGUUGGACUCCCGAAGCCGCCGGAGCACCGAAACGCCGUCCGCACCACCAUCGCCGAGCCCGAGUCGCCGCCGUCCGCGUUCCACCCCGGUGAGGUUUCCCCCAAUGCCCGAGACCUCUCCAAUCAACUCACGUUGAGCUUAAGCUCCUCCUGACCCAUCCUUAGCCCAAAGACGCCGGCGCAUCGCUAGGAUUCCAAUCGCCGCCGCCGUGCGCACUGUGGGGACAACAUUGCGUCUCCCCCGUUCUUUCCAGGGUCUCCCGUGCAAAGUGCAGGGGCCCAUUCGUAAUAAGUGAAAAACCCGAGGGCUUUAAUCAUGAGUUUGCACGGGAAAAGUCAGCCGAGGGCAUAUAUGUGAAGUGGAAGGGUAUGGUUGUGAAUAAAAGAAAGUCAGAAGGGCCUAUAUGCAAAUGUGUUUCGGUUAAUUAAUAAAAAUUGGCAGAAAAUAGGAGAAACAUUGUAAAUGCACCAAAAAUUGUAGAAACCUCAGAAAACUUCCAAACAAAAUUUGAUGGACUCAGUGAACUGUCUACUUUUAUAGAAAAAUAAUUUUGCACCUGUCACUGUAGAUAUUUUGCAGUUAUGAAUUAAUCCUUGCAUGUGCUAAUUAAUUCACCAUAAAUCACAGAAAAAUGCUAAAAGGGUAAAACCAACUCUGUGAGGAGCACAGCCUAGCCUUUGAAGUCCCUGUUUUUCUUUAUUAAGUGAAAUCUGCACUAGAAUCUUUCUUUUUGCACAGUAAUUAAUCCAGAGAUGAGAAAACUGUGAAACUAGUUGGGUUGGUUCUGUUUUGGAGUAUAGUUUGCAGGAAAAAUAAAGCCCCUUACCAGAAACAGAAGGGAAAACCUUUUUCUUUUUAGAGAAAGAUAACUAAGGAUAAUAUAUGGAAAAUAGAUCUCCUUGUCUGAUAAUUAUGAAGAAUUCACCAAAUCAUGUAAGCCAUUCUUGGAACACCCUGGUAAAGUUUCAUGACCAGAGCAUCUGUAAAUUGCAAGAUAAAAAUUAUUAAGCCCUUUCUACCUUAGGGUGAGAAGGAGCUUUUAAUUAAUUUUGUAUAUCCUUAGUGAACCUCAACUUUUUACAGUAGCCCAGCAGUGACAAGGUUAGGGUGCUGGUGAAGUUUCACCCUCUUUCGUCGCUGUUUGGUUGGUUAAUUAAAAUUUGGAAGAUGAACCGGUUAAAGGAAAUAAAGAAAAGCCUUAAUUAAAGAAAAGAAGAGAUAAGGUAUAUUGGAAGAGGUACAGAAAAACAUUUAGAAACAGGAUAGUUUUCCGAUCUUAAAUAACUAAUAAGUUAAUAAAUGUGUACACAAUCACCAUAUUGAAGCCGAGGGUUUUAAUGGUAUAAGCUUGCUUUCUACGCCAAGUGAGCUGUCUGUGAUGAUCUAGUGUUAACCAGUGUGCAAUCAAGUUUACUUCAUAAUAAUGCACGAAAUGUCAUCCAGACUCUUGAAUACAAGUUUUCAUAUCCUUGCAUUGCAUCCCGUAGAGCUGAACGUUGCUGACGAGAUGUACGAGCUACACCUGGCGACCGAGGACGACAUUGCCGCAGAGCUACACCACGCCGAGGUUGAGCCCGUGACCGAGCAAGCCGAAGACCCGCCUGCUAACCCCGAGUUUGAAGGCAAGCCCCGGAGCAUAAAUUCCUAUGUUUUAACUACUUGCAAUCUACUUGAUUAUCUUGCUUGUGCAUUUACAUUUUCUAGGAGUUGCAAUGAAACCUUAAAUGCAUAAAGUUAGUACCCUUGAUCUGAACACUAGUAUGGUAGGCUGAGUAGUUGCAAUGCUUAAUAGGACUCGGUAAAAGUCGAGUGACUUCCUGUCACUCACGAGUUAUAGGAGUUGAUUGCUUCCUUUUUGCAAUAAGGAUGAUGGACGGGACAGGGCUAUUUGCAUUAUUUUGGUGGUUGGUAGAUUGCCCCAUCUAUCUAAAUUAAAAUGGACUAAGGUUGAGAUGUGAUAGUGUUCGUGAUCAAGUGUUUAAAAAUAUUAAUCUCAUACCUAGUAUGGGAUAGGGAAGCCUAGUACCUGAUUGAACCGGGGUGGACCUUUCCCCCGCUCUCCCUGGAACGUAGUUCCCAUGGUGCAUCAUGUGGGUACAAGUGCAGCCUCGAUACGGCGGAGUCCGGGACCGUUGGGGCAUUGUAUGCCAAGGGAAGUGGGAUCUGGAUAAAUGCCGUGAAUUGAUGGGGACGGCAUGAUAUAUGUGAACCUGUUGGGUAGUAGCAUAUGUCGUGGCAUUAGGUUCACCAUGCAUGGUUAAGAAAUUCAAAUUGAUUCAUCUGCCUCUCACAGUUUGGGACUACUUGAUCGCUAUGCUACAUUGAGUAAGAAUGGAAGAUGAUAAUGUUAAUAUUGAUGCUUGCUAUUAAUUGUUUGGAAAACCUUGCUUGCUUAGUAUAGUGCUAAUGUAGACUGGAUAAUGAACUUAGAAUUUGUGGCUAAAACAUUGAAAGUAAGGACCUACACUAGUCGCUUUUGGCAAAAACAAACCCCUCUAGCCAAUAAGCUUGCAUGUCUAGGUGUUGGUGGAGUAGAUACCACCCGUUGGGUAAGUCUUGUUGAGCGUAGUCGCUCAGCCUUGCUUGUGGCAUAUCUUUUCUGGAAUUGAUAUUGAUGAGUUCGCUGCAAGUGUUACUUGGCCUACCCAACUCCCUCCAGGUUGGACGGUCGAGUGGGAUCCCUCCUCGAACGGCGAGGAAAGGGGUGAUUGAUGUCGUGAUUAGCUUCGUCAUGAUAUCCUGCAUCGAUGUCUAGUUAUUGUUCGUUUUAAAUUUCACUGCUUGAACACUCUCCAACUUUAUGUUUGAAUUUCGAACUCUGUUGUUGUAAUAAAUCAAUGCACUUGUUUUAAUUUGAAUGGAUUGUUGUAAUCUCUGUAACCGCUCACCUUCGUGUGAGUUGCUUUUCUCGAUCCUGUCAUGUGGUUUUAUCGAAAUGAAUCCGACGGACGACCGAGUUGACUUGCUUAAAACACAUGAUCGCGUAUUAGGAGACUUAAGUGUGUUUUAGUUGGGUUAAUCCGGGCAGUUCCGCCACAGCAGCAGGUUGGCGGCAGAGGGGGAUGGGGUCGGCGGGGUGGCCGUCGGCAGAGGGGGGCAGGGUCGGCAGGGGAUUUUCAUUUUCUUUAUUUUUUAACACCCUCUAGUACCGAUUAUUCCAAACUUUACUAGAGGACCCCCCUCUAGUACCAAUUGGCCAGUACCGGUUGCACAACCGGUACUAGAGGGGGGUUUCUAAUCGGUAAAAGAGGCACUUUUUCUAGUAGUGACUAUAGUUCAUACUCAAAGUUCGCACGCCAAAGAUAAAUCUACUUUUAGGACCCCCUAACACCCAAGCACCCGAGGGAACGUCCUGCUACUAAAGAAUCCUUCUCCUGAAGUUCCAGCCAUAUUUGUUGAAGAACUCAAAGGUAGUGACUUCAAGCCUAUUGUAGUUCUUCUUCAGAUCAAUUUUCUCUUCCUCCUUAGAUAGCACCGCCCAUGCUCUUGUCCAAUAAGUCCCUCUAAAAAUUACCUGCAAAAAGGAAUUAGUGGUUGUGCCUUUAAAUAGUAAAUCAUUUCUAUUCAACCAUAUAGCCCAGCAAAGUGCAAUAGCUCCUACAAUCAUCUGGCUUCUAACCUUCCGAGGAUACCCUCUAGUCCAAGAACCCAGCAUAUUAGGAACACUAACAGGCGAUUGAAUUCCAAACGAAAAGAACAUUGUACUCCAAAUAAAUCUAGCUAAAUGGCAAUCAAAGAAGAGGUGUUGCACUGUCUCUUUUGAAUUGCAAAAGCAACGCUUGGUACUUCCUUGCCAUCUCCUCUUAGCAAGGUUGUCCUUUGUUAGAAUCACACCUAUUUUCAAAUACCAUAACAAGAUUUUGAUCUUUAAUGGUGAUUUUAACUUCCAAGCUACACACAAGGAUGGUAUUCCUUCAGCUUGCAUUAUCUCUUUGUACAUUGACUUCACUGUGAUGUCUUUGUUUUUAUUCAGAUUCCAAAUAAAUUCAUCUUCCUAUACCUCCAUACCAUGUGCUACUAUCUCAGCCACUAACUUAGCCAUUCAUUUAAUUUGUGUCAUGUAAGUGCUCUUCUGAAAAAAAAUAUUUAGAAGGACAGAUCCACAAACUUUGACCACAGUGUCAUCUUUCCUUCUAACUAUAUUAUACAAAGAUGUAUAUCUUUCCCUCAAGGUUUUCUUUCCAAUCCAUACAUCUUCCCAUAACCUAGUUUUCUUCCCAUUGUGUACCUCAAACUUACCAAUUGACAAUAAUUAGUCCUUUAUUUCCAUGAGGCUCGCCCAAAAGUGUGAAUCACCUCUUUCUUCAUCACUUGGGAUAGAGUCUUAUUAACUAAAUAAAUAUUUUCUUCUGAGUAACUUUUUCCAUACUCCUUCCUCGUUUAGAUGUUUAAAUAACCACUUGUUUAGCAAGCAUCUAUUUAGAACUUCCAGAUUGGAAAUACCCAAGCAUCCUACAUUCUUUGGUGCACAAAGAAUACUCCACUUGGCCAGUCUAUAUUUCUUUUUGUGUUCAUCACAUUGCCAAAAGAAUCUAGACCUAUAAUAAUCCAAUCUUUUAAGAACACCUUCAGUACUAACCUUGGUAAGCUAGAGAGGACAUUGGUAAGCUAGAGAGGACCCUUAGAAGCUAUUCCUAGAGUUUCAUUCAAAUUCAUUGGCUACAUUGUUGGGAUUCGUGAUUUAAGGUUGGAUUGCCUGGACCAGUCUGACCGGUCAGGUAGACUGGUCUGACCGGUCUGCACAAUCAAACCCUAAAUCAUGUCUUUUUGUUGUAUGAUCAAUGUAUCUACAUAGGAAUACCUCAUGAACAAAAAUUUCCACAUCUUAAGUGAUCUAGCUACUAUGUUUGGUCUCCAGAACCAUUGGUUCUACUCUGGGCCCAACUGGUCUAACCAGUUGCUCAUAUCGGUAUGACAGGUCUAGUUCAGAGUUGCCCCAAUUGUUUUGAUUCCUGGUUGUUCAGCACCGUAGUGGCAAGGGGCCAGCUGAUAGUGAUGAGAGAAGCAGUGAUGGUGAUCCCAAUGGUGGAAAUGGUAAUGGUGAUGAUAAUAAUGAUGAUGAUGAUGGAGAUGAUGGUGAUAAUGGUGAUGAGAAUGUGGGUGACAUAGCUAUGCCCACCAUUCGUAGGCCAACCUAACCCAUUCAUAGAGGACCUACAAAUUAUUUUGGGUAUGGGAUGACUGAGAUGGCAAAAACGCUAAGAAGAUAGGAUACAUACAAUGUGCCUAAGACUGCUCAAGAAUAUAGAUUUUGGAAUUCUUUCCGGCAGGACUUCUAUACCACAGUCAUUCUAAAGAAUUCCAAAAUCACUCAUGAGGCACAGUGGGUAGAUUGGGAUUACAUGAGGAAGAAAAAUGAUCCCAUCUUCAAUGAAGUCAUGGAGGCUUGUGCUAGCAAAAGGAUAAAAACAUCUCAUGGGCUUCAAGCAUAACUGGAAUAGGAAGAUCAUUGCCCAGUUCUAUGCCACUAUUUAUUUUGGACAUAUUGCAAAUGAGAGGGCGAUGUUUUGGAUGACAGAGGGUGAAAAGCAUCAUAUCACUUAUUCCGCCUUCACAUCAUUGUUCAGAAUCAAAGAUGAUGACACUCUUCCUAAGCUUCAUGAUGAAGGUGUUCUUGAGAAUUCAAAAAUGCAUUUCAUGUAUCCCAAGAAUAGGACAGGAGAUUGGGGGAAGGUCAAGAGCCUUUACACCAACUAUGCCAUUUUUAACCAGCUAUUAAGGAAGACCCUCACUCCUAGAGAUGGGAAUCCCUCACAUGUAACUCUCUUUUAGAGGAACUUGAUGGCAGUGUUGAAACUAGGGGAACCUCAAUUUGAUGUGGGUGACUUCAUUUGGCUAGAAAUCAAGAAUUUAAUAGAAAAUCCUUAAAAGAUUUGUAGCUACAGUCCCUACAUCAUUUACAUGAUUGAGAAGGUGACCAAGAGCAAGUUUCCUAGUGAUGUAAAGCACAAGCCUUUGAGACCUCCAGUGAGCAAGACUCCUACGAUCCCAUCUCCACCACCAGAAGAACCUAAACUGCAAGAACAAGGGGGCAGAAAGGCAUGAGCAAUAGCAAUUUCAGCAGCUAGCUGGUGCCCAGGCAAAGACCGCUUUGUGCCUGGGAAACGCAGCCACUUGUAGAGGUAGCAUGAGAAGCCCUCUUCUCCAAUGAAGAAGUUUAUAAACUUUCUGGUUGGCAUGUGCAAAAGUCAGAGAGACAUUGAGGUUGAACAACGGCGACGAUGGACGGCUAGUAAAAAAGAGAGAGAUUUGAUUAAGAUGAUGCAUAAUCACAUGAAUCUUCAGCCUCCUCACUCUCCCAUUUCUCCUUCACCUCUAGAAGUUGAAAUCCCAUCAGUUGUGGCUAGAAUUGGAGAAUACAUGGCACCUGGCUACUUUGACCAAUAUGGCAAUAUGUUUUAUCCAGAUAUGGGAGGCUCAACCUCAACUCCUCCACCUUUUAAGCCACCUCCAACCGGAGGAUUUGAUGCUUUUGUCUCAGAUCUUGGUCCCGGCAUUCAUGGUGGUGCAUAUCCCUUCUAUCCAGGAUCCGCUUUUAUGCCUUUCACAGGAUCUUCUUCUUUGGCAGCGGCUACUGGCACCAUUCCAGGUCAUCCUCAUGCAGCAGUACCUCUAUCUCCUACAGACACAACCGAGUUUGAUGCAUAGGCUAUCUUUGGUCCUCCUCCUCCUCCAUCUACUCAGGGUAUGUCUGACAUCACUCUUGCCCCUCUCGAAGAUAUCAUAGUGUCAGAUUCUAUAUAUCUUAUGUCUCCUAUGCCUUGGUUGGAUUAAGGACUUCAUUGGCCUGAGGACUCACCAAAGGAUAGUAGAAGUGGAUACGGAGAUCAGUGACUUCAGUUGCACCUUCUCGAGGCCCUUUUAUGGAUGAUUGAUGACAAAGGUUGAGAAGAAAUGGUUUAAAACUUCAUCUUCAGGAUUUAGUGUAGCUGAGCAGUUGUGACCGAUAUGACCGUUGGCCAUUACUAGCCAUUACAACCAGGACUAAAGAUCCCCUUUAGUCCCGAUUGUUAUUACCAACUAGGACUAAAGCUCCCGUCUCGGUGGUCGUUGGUGGUGGCUGUUUGACUUGGGACUAAAGGUCAAGGUGUGACAGCCUUAGUAAUUAAGCAGCUAAAUUAGGAAAUCAUCGAAGUGAUUAAGAAACUAAAUCAAAGAAUCAAAAAAGGGAUUAAGGAAUAAGUUAGAGCUAACUCUAAGUUGCUGAGAGUUAAGAACCCAAAAACACCUUAGAUUUUGGCUAGAUGUUAAAAAUUUCUCCUAUUGAGAAUAACUUGUGAGGCCGAUAGAAACCAACUUCAUAUAAAAACUUAAACUUUGAACAAUAUAAAGAUAGUAGAUCUUUUCAAAGUGAACAACCUUCAUAAUUAGCACCUUUCUUCAUCUUGAGCAAAGGGUGUUCCCAAAAUCAAGUGGAAGUUCAGUCAAAUUUCAAAUCUGAUUCAAAAAUAGCUUUGACCGACUUCCACCAAGGACCCUACCAUCCUAUCUCCAACUUCAUCGAGCUUCUCCUUGUUGAAAUUUAUAAAAUUCAUAGUGCAUACCUUGUUUCCUUUUGAAAUUUAAACCGUGUAGUUCGAACUUGGUGUGAGAAUACGCGUUAAACCCGAUACCGUCACCACGAUGCGCAUCACGAGCAUCAUCAUGCAUAUUUAAGCAUCAUGAAUAUCUAUUUGUGCAUAGUCUACCAUCAUGAGCAUCAUUUGUGCAUAGAUGAACAUUUUAACCACACAUUAAUAAGUGCCCAGAAUUUUAUUAUUUAUUGGUGAAAAAUCAAAUUUGUGAAGGAACCCCAAUUUAUUCCAUACCACUAUGCCCCAAAAUAUUUUAUUCAAAUACUAGACACCAUUUAGUGAUUUUAAAAUAUUUUUACUAAAUUUUUCAAAGACGUUUGAUUGGGUUAAAAAUUCAUUUAAAAUUCAAUUAUAGCUAUUUUGUUUUGAUGAUUGUGUGCAAACUAUAAAAUAUUUUGGAUUGAUUCUUGUGGCAUUGGAUUAUUGGUGAUUUGUUCUUUCCAACGAGUAUUUUUGAAGAAUUUUUGAACACAGUUAGCUAGGUUGUUUAAGGGGACAAAGUUGGCAUGAUGUUUUUCUUAGCCGGGCCCACACGUCAGCACCUUCUUCCAUCUCCCUCUGCCUGGGCGCCAGAUGCACACACAGCCCCAAGAUCGCCGGUUGGCCACCCCCUAGCCCCUGCAGGGCUCCUCCUCCGCCCAUAGGCCACCCAAACUCCUCCCACGUGCCCUUCCCCUCUCUCCCACGCCUCCUAUCGCCCCUGGUUGGGUAGCCCCUCCAUUGAACACGCAUGGCUGCCACCAGGCACAGCACCUCUGGCAACGCCCUCCCCUCCAAUCCUCGCGCCCGGUGCUGUGUCACCUCGUCCGUGCUUAUCCUCGACUCGCCCCGCCUAUAAAACCCAAGCCCCUGCCUCCCCCGGACCGCACCACCCCCAAUCCUCCAUGGAGAGUACACCGAGCUUCAAAAAUCCCCAUCCUUUGCGGACCAAAUUCGUCGUCGUUAUUGAGUCUCAGCUCGAUUCCUCACAGCCACACGAUCCCCUCGACAUCAUGCUUCCGUUUUGCUACCUCCCGGCCGUUCUCCCUCGCCGGAGAGCCCUCUCCACGGGAGCCCGCGUCUGCCCCUUCCUGUUGCCCGGGAGCUUCCUGCGCCGCCCCAUCUUCCUCGUCGCCACGCCGCUGGUGAGCACCUACUCGGCCCCGUGCGCGCCCCUCUUCUUCCCCAAGCCGCCCAUUCCUUUCCCCGCCGAUGGCCCCCAAGUGCAUGGGCAUGCCGUAGAUCCAGGAGCUAGAUUGCAAGAUUGUCUCGAUUUUCUUUAUUUUCUAGAUCUAAAAAGGCUAAAACUUUGGAAAUUCAUAGUAAAUUGUAGAAACAUCACAAAAUAGCAAAUGAAGAUGUUUUGGAAUCCUUGUGAGUAGGACUAUGCAGUAGUUGUAUAAUAUGAUACAUUUUAGUAGAAAAUGUUUGCGGUAGAUUUAUAUCUAUGCUUUUUAGGGUUAAACUCAUAUCUGUAGUUAUGUUGCUCCGUUUGCUGUGAAAUUGUUAUGGUAGGUUAUACAUGAUGCUCUUGUACUGUGGUAAAACUUUCAUAUCUAUUGGUGCAUGUAUGACUGAGUUAUUAAUUUAACUUGUUUAAUGCUUGUUAGGUGAUUUAUAAAUAUUAGGAGUGUUUAAAAAUAGAAAAUAUGGUUCAACUACCUUUAUAUGAUGUUUUUAUAUAAUAAUAACACAUAAUAUGGCUAUGUGUUUAUAGAAAAUGAUGAUCUUUAAAAAUUAUCUUGCUUUUACAUGUUUUCUUGCAUUUGUAAUUUGUCUUUUUCAUAGCAAUUAAAUUAUAAAACCUGGGCAUGUGAAAAUUUUACAGUAACCAUGUUUUGAUAGCAUAUACCACUCAUAAAAAUUUCAGCCCCAAACUAGUUGUUCUCAUAUGGCACUAAAAAUAAUAUAUGUACAUGUCAUUCAAUGGGAGUUAAUAACAAAUAGACAUAUUUCUAAGCCAUGAGAUGCCACUUCAAUUAUACCAACUUUGUGAAAUGUAGUUGAGCUAUAUGAAUGUUUGUUUGAGCCUUUGAAUGAUUUAUGUAUGAAAUCUCGGUUGGGAGAAACACGUGAAAACCAAUAAUAUGCUUGCUAUCCCUCUAUAAUAGGUUGUGUGAUGUAUAGUUAAAUAACUCUAGGUGCCUAUGUAUUGCAUGAUCUUAUGUUUGCCUUGAAUGUUUUUACGUGAUGCAUCUUAUGUGACCAUUCUUCGUAUUCAUAUACUUGCAUCUUGCAUCUCAUCUAGAUACGCUAGAUAAACCACGUGAAGGACAUGAUGAUGGAACCAAACCCAAAGACGGUGUAUGGUGGAACUAUCCCGAAGAUGGAAGGACUAAGAAAGUGCCAAGAUGGGAGAUGCUCGCCAAGCGAGUGUCGUCUAACAAACACUAACCUAGUGUUGGAUUCCAGGCAAGUCCCGGAGCAUAAAUUCCUAUGUUUAAAUACUUGCAAUAUUUUGGUUGUUUUGAUUGUGCAUUUACGUUUCUAGGAAUUGAUUGAAACUGUAGAUGCAUGAAUAUAGUGCCCCUUGAUCUGAACACUAGUAUAAGAAUGUCGAGUAGUUGCAAUGCUUAAUAAGACUCGGUAAAAGUCGAGUGAUUUCCUGUCACUCGCGAGUUGUAGGAGUUGAAUGAUUUUCAUUUGGUUGCAACUAUAAGGACGAUGGACGGGGUCGGGAUUAUGUUGGUACUCGGUGGUUUGCCCCGUCUAUCUACCGGAAAUUGGCUAAGGUCGAAAAGUGGUGGUGUUCGUGAUCAAGUGUUUGAAAGUACUAAUCUCAUACCUAGUAUGGGAUGGGGAAGCUUAGUACCUGAUUGAACUAGGACGUGGCUUAUACCCCUGCUGUCCUUGGAACGUCGUUCCCAUAGUGCAUCGUGUGGGUGCAAUGGCGGUCACAGUACGGCAGAGAUCGGGACUGUGGAGCAUUGCACACCAAAGGCAGUUUGGACCUGACACAUACUUAGGGAUCGAUGGGGACGACUGACAAGUGAAGUGACCCUUCGUGGUGCGCGGAUGUCGUGGGAUUAGGUUUGCCAUGCAUGGUUAAUAAAUUCGAAUCGAUUCAUCUGCCUCUCACAGUUUGAGACUGCUUGAUCGCUAUGCUGCACUGAGUAAUAAGUGGAACAGUAUGAUGAUAAUCUUGAUGCUUGUACUUAAAUUGUAUUGAUCACUAUGCGUGAUUAGAAUAGUUAAUCAACUAUAAUGGUUAAUCAACUAGAACCUGAUGCUAAAACUUGAAAGUAAGGACCUACUUUAGAUGCUUUUGGCAAAACAAACCCCUCAGCCAAAAAGCCUUGCAUGUCUAGGAGUCGGUGGAUUAGUUACCACCUGACGGGUAAGCCUUGUUGAGUAUUAGUAUACUCAACCUUGCUUGUGGCUAUCUUUUUCAGGUGUAGUUGCCGGUGUUGACUUGUUUGGGAACCGUCCUCGGUUGGCGAGGAUGGUGAUUGUUGAUGUCAUGAUCGGCUUCGUCAUGAUGUCGUGUAUCGACGUUUAGCUUCCACUCGCCUUUUAUCUUUCGUUGUUGAACCCUUGCAAGCUUUGUUUGGAUUUUCAAAACUUUGAUGUAAUAAUUGUUGAACUAUGUUUAAUGUGAUGGGAAUGUUGUAAUCUCUGUGUAACUACUCACCUUCGUGUGAGCUCGCUUUCCUGAUCCUGUGUAAGUGGUUUAUCGGAUGAAAUCUGACAGAUGACCAAGUUGACUUGUUUAAGAUGCAUGAUCGCGUGUUAGGCGACUUAAUUGCAUUUUAGCCGAGUUAACUUGGACGGUUCCGCCACACAAAGCCCUUUAGUCCUGGGUCCAAAAACGAUCGGAACUAAAAGUGCUGGAUGGAAGGUCGAUUCUCUACUUAGUGCAAGAGCCUCACUUCCGGACAUGCGUCCCUAUGAUCCUUUAUAUACUCCAAAUGUCUUAUUGGCUUGCUAGACAGACUCAUACUUGCCAUGGCGAUGUGUAUCCCUCCUCUCAAAGGAUGGAGCAGCAAGCACCUUGUAGUUGCGGCCAUGAUAGGAACCCUGGUCGUGGUCGCCAUCGCCGCAGUCAUCAUCGUCGACCUCACUCCGCCUCAAGUCUUCUUCUCCAUCGAAGAUGCAAGCCUCCAAUUCUACAACUUCACUCUCUCUGCCAACAACACCAGCCGGCGCAUGGAGGUGCAUUAUACCACCCUCAACACUGAGAUAUGGAUAACCCCGUCUGAUUGGUAUUCAGCCGAGUUGAGCAUGAGCGGGUUCACGCAGCAGCCACCGGACAACGUGACCAAGUUCGCCGGGUGGGCCGAGUCGUAUCAGCUGGAUAGCAUGAUGGCGUCGGCGCAGGGCAGCGGCGCGGGGAAUUGGCCAAACUGCACCGUGGUGGUGAUAGCCAAGGUGUUGUUCAAGGUCGGGCUGGCACGCACACGGCCGUACCACAUCAGGGUGUCCUGCUUCCCCGUCAACUUCCGCGAUAAGACUCGGUACGCCAAUUGUACCUACUGAUCUCUCCAGUUUAGGAAGGGGAGAAGAGCCGAGGCUUUCUAGGGAGGUUGCCGGAGGAGGAGCUGAGGAAGGAUGGGGCGCGGCAAGAUCGAAAUCAAGCGGAUCGAGAACUCUACCAACCGCCAAGUGACCUUCUCCAAGCGCCGCAACGGGAUCCUCAAGAAGGCGCGGGAGAUCAGCGUGCUCUGCGAUGCCAAGGUCGGCAUCGUCAUCUUCUUCGCGAUUUGCUGGGCGCUCGAUCUGCCCCGCCCUCCGCCCUCCGCCCUCCCAGCCUUGCGUCGCCCCUGUCACCCCUCCCCCGUGAACUUCCUCAAUACGACUCGGUACGCCUCCCAAGCAAGUAGCUGAAGCAAACAGGCUGAAAGAAAGGCUUACCUUAAAUUCUGUCAGUCUCUGUAUGGCUGUUGUCUGGAGGGCUCCAGUACACCUUAGAUCUGCUGUUGUUGGUGUUGUUAAUGGACUCCUGAUAUCUGCUUCCGUUCAUGUUCCAGUUCCAUUUGGUCUCGAAAUUAAAGAUAUAUUCUUCAUCAUAUCGGUAAUGUCGCGCGGUUCUUGGUUUCAAGUACUGCCUGCAUUUGUUUUUUCUUUUCCUUGUCAUUUGGUCCGUCAGAACUAAGUUUGUUGAAUUCCUUCUGAGUAAGCUUGAGACGCUGGUCGUGCUUGUUUGUUGGUGUGCCUACGUGCCGCAUAGUUUGUCGUAGCAAAUACUUCCGGUUCCAUAUCGCCUGUGUACUACUGGACCGGGAUGUUCUUCAAUCUGUUAUGACCCUGUAUUCUGUUUUUAUAUAGAUCCCAUGUAUGUAUUCUGAAUGCACAGCCCCUGCUGGGAAAUUGGUUUCCCUACUGCGUGUCUGUGUUUACAUGCAUCUUCUAACUGUGGUUCCAAUGGCCCGUCUAGGCCCAUACAGGCCUAUCAGGUGGACGGGCCGGCCGGCCUCCUGGAUCAAAAAGGCCGGUACCCAUCCCUUCUUGGCCCGCCCGCUCCCGCUGUAGAAACAAAACCAGAGCCAGCAGAUCCCCCGGGCCCUGAAGAGAAAGAAGACGACAACAGAAGAAAGAGCUCGCAACGAAGCCGGCGGAAGCCCCCAAACCCUCCCCACCCCAGGCAGCAGCGGCGCGAUGAGAUGGUCGACGACCCACCGCCGGCGGCGGGAACACCGUCGAGGACAUCGUCCGCGCGGAGGUGAGCAUCCCCGGGCAGCCCUCGUCCUCUUUGCUAUGAGUGCCGGGGAAUCCGAUCUCCGCCCGCGCCGACCUGGCUCUGCUCGGCUGCCCCGAUCUGCCCGCGCGGGUGGCGGCGCCUCGCCCCUAGUUCGGUUUCAGGUUAGAGGUGUCCCAGCGUGGUGUCUGGGCAAGGGGAAUCCAGCAACGAGGCGUUCUCCCUCCCAUCGACUCGGUUGGCGCGGACGGACGCGGUGGGUCUGGUUGGGGAAUUUGUGCCCGUUUCGAUUUGGGUGUAGAAUAGGUAAAUAUCUUCAAAAUUGAUAGAAUUAGGCCCGUUUAUAUCGGGAGCUCCCUCCCUGCUACUUGGGCCAUGACGCUUUGGAUCGCCCACAAAAAUUCACAAACGCAGGCAGGGCCGAUCAUCCCGGAUAAAUCCAUAAUGGUUUUUACCGGUUACCGACCCCGGCGGAUUCGAUUUUUACCGAAAACCGGUCGGUAACCGGUAAAAACGGGACGAAUUCAAAAAACGAAUUGCCAGCACAACUGGUAAAAACCGCAUAGUAAAGGGGGCAUUCCAGCGGCCUGCAAGGCGGUUUCCCAGCUGGCCCGUUGUUAUUCCCCACCAAGCUUUAGCAUCUUUCCUUUGUGAUUGUGCGCUGGUGGGCCCGGCGCCGGGGUGAGAGAAGACACGGCACCUAAUACUUUCCUCACCUUUGCAGUGCCGUGGGCCCGCCACUUCCAUUCUGGCCCACAAGUGAUGGAGGCGCGCGAGGAGGGGUAUCGGUUUCACGAUGAUUAAUAAAGAAAGGCCCAAGACACGUCACGCUGUGGGGGAAAGGGAAGACACCGCACCGCACGCACCUCCACCACUUGCGUUGCCUUUGCCUUUGCUUUUCCCCGAGCUCGCCCGCCUAGGAGCUCCAGCAGCCGGUCCGCUCCGCCGCCGGUGCGGCAACCACGCCGCCGUCAGACCGCCUCGCGCGGCCACCGGUCGUCCCCGCGAUACACCGCCGCCGGUGCGCCGUGCGCGGCGGCGCUGUCCCGCCGCUCCUCCGCCUACCGUCCGCCUGCGCCACCACCAGCGCACCGGCAGCACCGCGAGCUGCUGCGCCACCCCGACGUUGGUCCUUCCUGAGCCCGGUGUCGUCACCAGCGUCGCGGAGAAGCUAAUUACCUGAAGCAAUUUGUAGAAACAAAUAGUACUGGUUCGUUCACUUAUUUCUUUGCUCAAACUUAAUUUCUGCUUAGAGUUUGUGCCUAAAUUAGCUGCUUAUUCUGCUGGUUGCAUGCAGGAGAUCGAGCUGCGGGCGUACGGCCGGAUCGGAGGAGGACAUAUCAGCCGGGUUCCUGUUGGUUGUGUACUUGUGUUCCUGCCGGCGGAGAAGCAACCAUGGCCGAGUUAGUGAUCGGGCCACUGAUCUCCAUGGUGAAGGAGAAGGCAUCCAGCUACCUGCUGGACCAAUACAAGAUGAUGGAAGGCAUGGAGGAGCAGCGCAAGACCCUGGAGCGCAAGCUGCCAGCAAUCCUGCACAUCAUCCAGGAUGCGGAGGAGAAAGGAGCCUCCCGACCUGAAGUAGCAGCUUGGCUCAAAGACCUCAAGACAGCGGCCUAUGAGGCCAACGACGUCUUUGAUGAGUUCAAGUAUGAGGCGCUUCGGCGAGAAGCCAAGAAGAAGGGCCACCACAGCAAGCUUGGAGCAGAGGUAGCAAGACCAUCGAGGCGCUUCAGCGAGGCGCUUCGGCGAGGCGCUCGUAAUCCCAUUGUAUUCCGUUACAGGAUGGGCAAGAAGCUACGCAAGAUUGUGCAGACCAUCGAGGCCCUAGUCACCGAGAUGAAUACAUUUGGUUUCAGACACUUGCAGCAAGCACAGCCAUCAAGGCAGUGGCGACAGACAGAUUCCAUAAUCAUUGACUCCGACAGAGAUAUUCUUAGCAGAUCUAGAGAUCGGGAGAAGAAGAAAAUCGUGGGGAUGCUCCUUGAUCAAGCUAGCAACAUGGAUCUCAUGGUUCUUCCAAUUGUUGGGAUGGGUGGGAUGGGCAAGACCACCUUCGUGCAACUCAUUUACAAUGACCCUGCAAUCGAGAAGCACUUUGAGCUUCGGAGGUGGUGCUGUGUGUCAGAUGAUUUCGAUGUCAGUACCAUUGCAAUUAACAUCUGCCAGACCAAUGAGAAAUGUCGUGAAAAAUCAUUGCAGGAGCUCCAGAGUAUAAUAAGUGGAAAACUGCCAGACCUCAUUGUGUUAGAUGAUGUAUGGAAUCGGGAUGCUGAUAAGUGGGGAAAACUAAAGAGUUGCCUUAAGCAGGGUGGCAAGGGCAGUGCAGUACUAACAACAACUCGUGAUGCACAAGUGGCUCACAUUAUGACCAUGGGUGUAGCUGAAGCCCAUAAUAUGGAGAAUCUGAGUGACGAGCAUUUAAAGGAAAUUGUCCAAAGCAGAGCAUUCUGCUUGCAAAAUCCAAAUAUUGAAGAGCAAGAUGGCAUUCUCAGUGGAUUUGUUCGUCGAUGCGUUGGAUCUCCCUUGGCUGCCAAAGCCUUUGGCUCUAUGUUGAGUAACAGGACUAGUAUAAAUGAAUGGAAGAAUAUAUUAGCUAAAAGUAACAUUUGUAGUGAGAAAACCGGAAUUUAUUUGUUCCUCAAGCUCAGUUUUGAUGACCUAUCCUCAGAUAUGAAGCAGUGCUUUGCAUUCUGUGCUUUAUUUCCUAAAGAUUAUGAGAUCGAUGUGGACCUCUUGAUUCAACUGUGGAUGGCACAUGACUUCAUAACUGUGCAGGAGGAUGACAAUCCAGAAACCGUAGGAAAAUAUAUUUUCGAGGAGCUAACUCGGAGGUCAUUCUUUCAAGAUGUCAGGCAAACACUUCCAAUUGGCAAUUUUGGAAGGUUGUCGCUUCGUAAGUCAACCAUAUGCAAGAUACAUGAUCUUAUGCAUGACAUUGCUGAAGGACUGAAAGGGCGACCAGAGGGGGGGUGAAUGGGAGCCUAUAAAAAUUCUUUACGAGAACAAGGCCUAUGUCCCAACCGCAACCCCAAAGUACAUUGCGCGUUGUAUCGUCAAGAUGACGCAAGUCAACUCGUGACAAGCUCACCCUAGUACCUAUAAAACAACACUCAAAUCACAGCGGAAACAUAGCAUGAAUCGACUCCAUCAAGUUUGCAUAUAUGAGACAAAGCAAAGAUACUACUAACCAUUUACUAAAUUAGGCAUGGAAAGAUUAGCAAUAAACUAGGCAUGAUUAGUAAAAAAACUAAACAAGAUGUCAAAGAUUAAUUAGCAACGUGCAAGAACUUAAUCAGUAACCCACUAACAUGAUUAGUAAGUGACAGUUCUAAUUAAGAAGCUAAACAAAAGAAUAGAGACUAACGAGCCAAGUUCCAAGAAUUAACCGUUCGCUACUUUCCUGUCAGCCUGCUGGCUUGCAACCUGCGCCAGGCCCGAUGGCCUCCCUCGCUUUGCUCCUGUUGGGUCGGUUGGCCUGCCGCAGCUAGCUGGGCCUCUAGUGCUGCUGCCUGGGCCGUCAGGCUUGUCUGGCCCGCGAGGCAAGCAGCUGUCCUCCCACUCGGCCUGCUGCCCAAACAGGCCUGGCCCGUGCACUGCUCCCCUCCUGGACCGUGUGCGUAGCUGGGCUGCGAGCUGGACUGCUCCCUGCAGCUGAUGCUGGCUUCGGUCUGGCUCGCGUGCACGUCCCGUGCCUCCUCCACGCAACGACCUGCGAACAAACAGAGCAAGAACACCAAGAACAACCAGAGAACAGGGAAGAACACGUUCAACUUCAAAUUCGAAAUCCUCCGUCAAAUCUCCAUGAAUUGCGACGAAACUUGAGACAAGGAUGCAAUACCCCUAAGGAAAAUAGAUCUAUGAAACAAAUCUUGAAAAACUCAGGUAUACAUCACUAAUCUUGGAGAAAACCGAAAGCCUAACUCAAAAACACGAUUCGGAGAAAUUCGAAAUCCAAGCCGGAUCCAUGAGAGAUUUAGAAGGGGAACGAAUCAAAGAUGCUCCCUAAGGUCCUAGCAUCAUUUCCUUUCAACCAAGUCCACGAGAUUCGGCUCAAACACGAAGAACGAAAAUUCCCUAAAAAUAGCUUCGAAAAUAGGGAAAAAGAAAAACGCUCGGGAAUCAAAAAUUUAGCACGAUUCGAGACAACAAACAAAGCUAAAUCACGAGAACAUCUUCUAUACAAGAUGAGAACUAGCCUCCUCCCUUCAUCCACCCACUAAAGAUGAAGAAAUCGAGAGAAAAGAGUAAUCACUCCCUAAUCCCCCUCUCUCCUCUCACUUUAAGCACAUGACUAGC
rnacentral:lncRNA from 1 species